rnacentral:lncRNA from 1 species
AAUGGUAGUAAAUUGAUAAUUUCAUAUCUUGCAAGUAAAUAAAAGAUUGUCAUUUUAGUUGAGGUAAAUUAAAUUAUACCCAAAUACAAAUGUUCAUUAAAAUAAACGAGUGCCUAUAAUGUGAUCUGCAUUAGAUUUCUAAACUUAUUUGAAAAGCAAGCCAAAAUUGACCUUCUAAAGUAACUCUUGCUUGCUACAAAUCAAAUUAUUAGGAACUGGUGGAGAACUUAAUUCAUUAGAAAAACUUUUAAGAUUGUGAUUGAUUUGAACUUGAAGAUUUUUCACCUAUAAGUAUAUUUAUUUCUUUCGCAGCACAAACAAAUUAUGUACUUCACAAAUGUGAAUAAAACAAUACCUCAAUUUGUUUACCUGCAACUGCGAGCUGCAAGAUAGUCAUGCCAUAAUCAUCCUCAGGAUUCAAAACUUGAGGAUCAUCCAUAUAAUCGAACAAAAAUUUCAGUGCCUCCAGCUGAUCGUGUUUCACACACAGAUUUAAGAUGGUCUCACCCCAUCAUCGUGGCUGAAGCUGCAAGCGGUCAGGUUCUGAACAACUCUCCCAAGGGCCAAGGCAUCAAUCCGUCCUUUCAUGGCUGCCAAAUGAAGAGGAUUUCUUCCAUCCAGAUCACGAGCAAAACACAUGGCAGGAUUAACUUGUAAAACUGCUUUUACCAUGUCAACAUAACUCUUUUAUGAUGCUAUGUGAAGUGCUGAAGAGUGAUUUGGGUCCAACUCUCUAGCAAGCUCUGGCUUUUGGCAUAUAAUCUCCUUCACAAAAUCCACAUGUCCAAGCAAUGCUGCCACAUGCAAAGGAGACUCAAAGAGCCAAUUCAUCCUAAAUCUGUUUAUGAUUAAUAGAUCCCGUUAUUCUAACAAGGUAGGCACGCUCCCUUUUAAUGCCUGCUUCAUAAAGCAUACUUUUCAUUGUUUCCAUAUCCAGUGCUAUUGUAAUUGUUCUUUGAUGUGUGGAAAAUUCUGCUUGCAUAAAUUAAAAAGUAAAAACUUUAGAUGAAUUAAAGACCAGCAGUCAGAGAUUCAUGCGUACAGAGCCUUGAGUAGACUUUAGAUAAAGUAAAAAGUUGUGUCCAAUUUUUCAAAGCAUAAAAUCUAUUUCAUUCCUAAUUUCCAUCCUGUGGACCUGUACUCUUUGAUAUUUUGAUGUGUUCGAAAUGUUGCCUCUUGAAUUUUUUAUACAUGUAGGACCCUAAUGCAUGGGGUUAUGGUAAAAUGUGAAAGAGCUGAUCAAUUUUUUUUUUAAAUCAAAUUGUUUGUGGUGAUGUGCGAAUUUCUUUGAAAGAGUUUAGGAGAAUGACAACUUUUUUUAAUUCUCAGAAUUUACAGUCAUAAUAUUCAUCAUCUCAUUAACUGGUCUAACAAUUAUUGUUGUUAAAUGACAAUUAGUUGUGUGAAGUGCUUCAUUAUUCCGUUUUGUCUACUUAUCUUUGCCAUCAUCGUUGGCGCGGUGCUUUACCAGUUCCAGCAAACGUAGACAACCAAAACAGUGAAAAUGUUGAUAAUAAUAAAAACCUGAGUUAUCGUUGAGGUUUAGGUUGCUGUCAAGAAAUUAUGAUAGAAGGAAAAUUCUGGCAAUAAAGGCUGCUUGCUCCAGGCUGCUUGCUCCAAGCUGCAGCUAUCAAAUCCUCAAAAUUUCCAGCUGCAGCUAAAUGCAACUGCACAAAAUUAAACGAAAAAGAAGCUAACAUUGUUCAUCCAUUACCCUUGGCCAGACUUGAAUUGACAUAAGGACACUAGAAUUUCAUGCCUUUUAACAAUUUCAGUUCCAACCCGACAAUUAAUCAUCAAAAUUUAAACUGCAAAUCAGGUUAGAAAGAGAGAACAAUGAAGACUUGGUGAUUAAGCAAUUUUGACUUACCACCUUUGCUGAUCAUUAUCUACAGAAUAUAUCUAUGAAUUUGCUGCCAACUGAGUCCAGGAGCUGGUUUCAUAUUCUAAAUUAAUUUAGACUUGUGAAUCAGGUAAUGGUUCAAACAUGUCAAUAAUUUACUGCUUUUGACAGGUUGAGCCACCACUGCUUCAUUCAUUUAUUUACAGAUGUGUAAAAUAUUAGAAAAUAUUGCGUAUUCUUUAGAGACAAAUUGAUUCAAAAAAAUUAAUGCUUUUCAAGGGAGAGCAAUUUUCCAAAAAGAGGCAACUGCCCACAAUGUUUGCCAUAACUGUUUAGAUUGGUUAAUGAGAUCAUCCAGCUGGGGAAACAGCGUUGCCUCUGUAUGGCUCUAUUGCUAAUUCCUUUAAAUUGAGAGGUGUCUGCAAGGCUUCAAGAAGUUGUUGCUCGUCAUCCUUCUUCCUCCAUCUUCAUCUUCCUCUGUCGAAAUUAAGUCUCAAAUCAAUGAGGUUUUUCAUUUUGUCUAGCUCUAAUCUCUUAGCCUCGCCCACAUCUGACACGUUUCAGAAUCCUCUGCUCCGUCCUCUAAAUAUCUGCCGCAAUUUUCAAACGUAAAACAUAAAUCAAUAAUAGAUCUGCAAAAUAGCUUAAACCUUCAAAUUAAUUUCAGUUUUUUUAAUUCAUAUAUAUAUUUCACCUGUCUAUGCGCACCAAAAUAAUUUCUGGUGACAUAAUAACAACUGGUAUCUCUCUGCGAGUAGAUGAUUCCUGCUCAGGAUUAAAAAAGAAAAAAUUAAAAAAAGGAAAACAAAAACAGAUCGAGAAAUGAACAAAAAUUGAUUCUGUCAAUUAAGAAAAAUAAUUGUUGAAUAAAUAAAGUUAAACAGAGUUGUUGCCUCAAUUUUCUUAAAGUAGCUCGUAUCCGGUCAUUCAGGGCAUACAGUAAUCUCUGACUAUCAAAUCCAACUCUAAACCUGAAUCCAGUGCACAAUUGAUUAGAAAUCAGCUCGAAUUUUAUUUAAAAAAUACAGAAAAUUGAGCCUAAUGUUUGAACUCUUAAUCCAGUUCAAAAUUCACUCACAUCGAAGCCAUUAGCGCUCUGUUCCUCAUCUAAUCCAAGGAAUUGCAGAGCUCUCCUUCCGCUACAACUGCAGUAGCUGCAAAUGGAAAAUAAAAUCAGGAAAAAAAAUUUAAAGAAAUAAUUGAAGAAAGAUGGUAAGAAAAUACAGAUCUCUACAAGAAGAGAUAGUUAGCAACCUCUCAAUGACUUUUCUAUCAACAAAGCUAUCGUUCAACUGCCGGGACAUGAAGUUCUUCAGCGUCACACGGCGAUAAAUCGAAACCGUUGAUCAUAUCAGACAUCAACCUCCAGGAAGCGACGCCGUUUGUCGUCGUCAUCUCUUUUCUUAGUUCUCACAACAAAAAAAAGAAGAAAGGAUUGUUGUUCACGUAGAAGUUACUUAAGGGGCCGAGUUGAAAAUUAGACCCCACAAUCAAAAACUCGUACUUACUUUCACUUCCGAUAUUCUUUUGUCCCCCUCUUGUAUUUAAUUUCACUUCCGAUAUUAUUUAAUGUAUGCACCAGUAAGAGAGUAUUGCCACCUCAAAUAAAAACAUUAGAGAUUAAUUAUAAAAUAAUAAUUAUGAUAAAAAUUAAUUAAGAAUUUUAUAGUAAAUUAAACUAAAAAAAAUAUUAACUUAAUAGAAAAAAAUAUGAAUUAGUACUAAACCGGAUAGUGUUUUUCCUCACGCAGGUAACUUUAAUUUGCAUAUAUUACUGUUUAUCAAUAGUCUUUUUCUUUUAAAUAUAUAUUACAAUUAUUUUAUUCAGAAUAUUUUACUAAUUGAAUCUAUAUUAUAAAUCGGAAGUUAUGAUAAUUUAUGCAUAUCUAUAACCUUAGGAAAGAUAAAGUAUUACUUUUUCAUUAUAAAAGAAGUUUGUAAACAAUAUUCAAGUUAAAUCGCAUUAAAUAUAUUUUAUAAAAUAAACAAUUUUACAGUUAAGAGUGAUAACCAAUCAUUUCCUUAAAACGAUUCCGACAAAAUAAAAAGUUUUGAAUAUUGGUGUGAUUGGAUCGUGAGUUGCAUGCGAUCGGAGCAACGUCGUUAGUUUAAAAGAAAUUGAAACACUUUUUUUUUUUAAUACUGUUAUAUAAAACUGUUAUUCAUAUUAUAUCAGGUAUUACAAUUAAUAUUUACAAACAGAUUAUAUAAUUGGGACCUUCGUCGUGGCACGUACUCCUCUAAAGCGCGGCCUAAAUUCUUCAAACAUUCUCAAAUAUUCAAGGGGACUGUGUCUCCACUCAAUUAUAUGAUAAUUGAGAGAUGAUUGAAACUAACCCCAUAAAUACUUUUAUGGAGGCUUGAAGUCUCGAACCCUUACUUUCAACAUUGUAAGUGUAAGAACUCUCCUAUUGAGACAGAGGCCCAUUGGUAAGAAAUUAAAACACUUGAUGAUGAACAAAAGAACCCUAGAGGAAGAAAUAUGUGGGUACUGGGUAGGUUAGAUGAUACAAGUUGUUUCGUUUGUCAUGGAGGUGGAAAUUUGGACUUUAAUUAUAAUAUAAAAUAAAAAUAAAAAUACGACGGGCGAAACUAACUAUAGUUAAGGGGAAGAAGUUGAGACAAAUUAAGCUUGGUUAAUUAAUCUAUUAAAGAUAAUUAAUAAUAAUUUUUAAUUAAAUUGUUAAUAAUAAUAAUUAACAAUAAUUAUUAUUAAUAAUUAAUUUUUUUAAUAAUAAUAAUAAUCACUAUAAUUAAAAUACAAAAUAAUAAUUAAGAUAAAAAUUAAUAAGGAUUUUAUAAUUGAAAUACUAACUCGGCAACCCAAGAGGGGGGUGAAUUGAGAUUUUAAAAAUUAUCCUAGGCAAACCACACAACAAUUUAAUCUAAUGCCUUAAUAAAUUCGAAAACAAUAAAUUCAAUAAAAGCACAAUAAUAAAUGAGUAAGGGAAGAGAAAGCAAACUCAAGGAUUUUUACGUGGUUCGGCAAUCCCCGCCUACGUCCACGCCUCCAAGCACACCGGGCUUGAGGAUUUCACUAUCCAAGCCUUUCCAAGGCUUCAAAUGUUUACAAUUGACUUCAAGGUGUCAAUGAACCUUUACAACAAGAGAUUAUAUCUCCAAUCUCUUCACCCCAAGUGUUUCUCACACUUGUACUCUCACAAUUUGAUGAGAAAUAAAAAAUACAACAAUGAAUCUCUCUUUAAGAGUGGAUAUACAAAUUGAAGAACAAAGAUGAUUUAAUGAAUGAUGAUUCAUGAAGUUGAAGCUCAAUAUAUGUUGUGUGCACUUGUUCUUGCUUGCUUGGAUCAUCAAAAAUGAAUUGGUUUUGAAUUUAUAUAGUUUGAACUCAAAAACUAGCCGUUACUCACAUUCUGAGCGUAUCCGGUUUGCCGGUUAUGGAAUCCGGUAAGCCGGAUUUAUGUUACCGUUAAGGCAAAAUUCAAAAUUAUGCCUAUCCGGCUUGCCGGUUUCUGAAUCCGAUAAGCCGUUUACGUUCUGGAUGCAUUCUGCCCCGUAUCCGGUUUUUCAGUUUUUGUAUCCGGUAAGCCGGAUGCUACAGUAACCUGCUACAGUGCACUAUUUUCUAAAAUUAUAGUUUGACCCCAUAACUUUACAAAACUGUACUAUGGCCUAAAAUGUUAUGAAACUUUGUAAAUAGAUCCAAUUUCAGAACUUCUAAAUAAUGUUUCGUUAAUCCCAAAACUUUUUGAAAUUAUGAUAUAGCCAAAAAAGUCCUUCACCAAAAUUUCAAGCAAUACUUGUUUAUUUCAAAGUUUUCAAAAUUCUUUCAAUUAAACCAUAAACUUUGAAAAACAACCAAUUUCAUAAAAUCAUUUUUCCAUUAAAUAUAAAACAUUUAUAAUGUGAAAAUAAUGAUUUAUUUAAAAAUAAUAUUAAAUAAUUUGAGCUUAAAGAUUUAUCAUUUUUAAUCUUGUUUGUUAUCAUCAAAAUCAACAUUAUGAAAAUAUAUAUGUUAACAAUCUCCCCAUUUUUGAUGAUGACAAACAUUUCAUGUAUUUAAAGAAUAAUUCCACAAAUUUCUCCCCCUAAAUAUAAUCUUCUUUUACAAUUUGCCAAUUAGCUAAAUUCAUGAUUUAAAUACAUGGAAUUUUCUCCCCCUCAUCAUCAAAAAGAAAAACUUAAUUGGCAAAGAAAAAAAUAGUAAUUUUUUUUUUUUAUAAAUUUGAAAACAUGUAUUCUUCUCCCCCUUCAUCAUAAAAAAGAAAACAUAAAGGAAAAGAAUAAGAGUAGGAAAUUUGUUACCCAUGUUGUCCAAGUAGAAAUUUCAAUACAUUCUUCCCCUAACAACAAGCAUCACUUCAAAUACAAGAUUAGUAAUAUCACAUCCAAAUUAUUAUAGAUCAUGAUAAAAGCCAGCUCCAUACACAAAUAAUCACACCAAAAUAUCAUGAACCAUUAUUCCAUUAAUUACCAAAUCAACAACUCAUAGCAUAAAAUUUAUCAUAUAAAACACCCAUGCAAUCAAAUCACCAUUAUAUCUCAAAAUCAUCAAAAACAUCAUCAUAAUCAAGUAUCAAUUAUCAAAACAAUUACUCAAAAUGCAUAUUAUUCAAAAAUCAUAUUAUAUGCUCCCCCUAAAUAUAUGGCCAAUUUAAAAAUUUAACCGAAAGGAUUUUAUCCAAAAACAUAUCAUAUUUAUCUCCCCCUUCAUCGUAAAAAAGAAAAGAUAGAUGCAAUUAAAACAAGAUAAAAAUAAUAAUAAUUCGAUGAAGAUAUUACCCAUUUUGUACGAGCAAAAAUUUCGGUAAAGUCUCCCUUUAAAAAUGGACAAAUUCUCAAAUACACAACAUGGUUAAAAAGAUAUAAGCUUCAACAAUUAUAACAAACCAAUAACUCCAUCAAUUCAUCAAGCAAUGCACAUAUAAUCAUCAAUCAUCAAAAUCAAUAUGAAUUCCCCCAACACUUGUAACAAUUAAAUCCGAGAAUUCCAUAAUCAUAUAUCAACCAUUAAAAGAAUGCUCAAAAUGCAUGUUAUUUCCCCUAAUUUACAUCAUUAAAAUGAUUUAUUACUUUGUCUCCCCCUUUGGACAAUAAAAAUGUUAAAAAAAAAACAUAUUAUCCAAAAUAUAACAAGUAAUAAGCUAAGAAAGGGAAUGCAAAAGUCAUAAGAGCAUAAUGUCAACAAUUCAAGCUCUAUAAUUACUAAUCACAUUUUAGAAAUCAAGACAACUAAACUCAUCAAAGAUCUAAUGUGACAUUUUAAUAUAACUUACACUCUCAUAUGCGCCAAGAUCUUAAUGAUCAUGCAUUUCUCCCCCUUUUGAUAUCAUUUAAAGCAAGUAAUGCAUAUUUAACAAUGCGUCAAGAAAGCACAAAAAUAUAUCUAUUCACCAAUCAUAAAUUCCAUAAGAUCAAAUUUCAUCAAAUACAAUGGAAUCAUCAAAGCACAUUCUUUAUCAUCAAAACUUUAGUAAAGCAUAAGUACAUAAUAGCAAUAUAUAGAUCAUCAAAAUCAACAUAUGCUUAAGAAUCUCAAAGUAGAUGUAUUUCUCCCUUACAUCUCAUAUCUCCCUCUUGAUCAUCAAAAAGUCAAGAUAAGCACAUUAGUUCCACAUUAUCCAAAUAUAAAACAUCCAAAUAGCAAACAAUAAUCAUCAUCAAUCCACAAUGAAAGCAACAAUGCAUAUGAAAAUGUAAGUGCAUAAUAUAAUAGAAAACUAUGGUAAAAUCCAUAAGGAAAGCACACUAUGGAAGUGGUAAUUUGAAAUACUCAAAAUGCAUAAAUUCAAAAUUUUCAAGAUAUUGAGUAAAAUGAGUAAGUUUGAAUCAAUUAAAAUGAUUUUAGACACAAGAAUGGAUGGGGAAUAAUUUAUAUGAAUCAAUUUGGAUUGAAAACGAAUGAGAAUGAUGGAUUUUGGAAUGAAAAAGAAUGAAGGAAGAAACCAUUUUUAAAGAGAGAAUGAGAUCCAGUUUGCCGAAAUGAAGAAGAAGAUGAAUGGUUUUAAAAUGUGCGAAUUCGGCUUACCGUUUAGCAUAACCAUAUGAUAACAAGCAUAUCAAGCCAUGUAGUAAAACAUGAAUUAAGAUUCAACAUUCAUCAUUCCAAGCUCAUGCCUUAUCUUUAUAAAAUGCUCUUCACUAAGAGGUUUUGUAAAGAUGUCCGCAAGUUGAUUUUCAGUGGAAACAAAUUUAAUUACAACAUCCCCUUUUUGAACAUGAUCUCUAAGGAAAUGAUGUCUAAUUUCUAUAUGCUUAGUCCUAGAAUGUUGAAUGGGAUUCUUGGAAAGAUUUAUAGCACUAGUAUUGUCACAUAAGAUAGGAAUUUGAUCAAGCUUAAUACCAUCACUUAUAAUCAAUAAGGCAAUAAUAGUUACCAAAACAAUUAAAUCAUCUUGCCUCAUUAUUUUUGCUUUAGACUAUGAUCAAGUGAUUAUCUCCACAAGCUUCAUCAAGGAACUUUCCACCAUUCCUUGUUUAUGGUACCUACAAAAACAAAUUCAAGUUGUACCCUUUGGUACCCAAAUACUCUUGGGUCCUUGAAUGUUAGAUUUAGUUCCUUUUGGAACCCAAAUACAUUUGACUCCAUAAUAUACAUUUCUCUUAAUUGGACAUUUAAAACUCAUAUGACCAUUUUCAUUGCAAUAAUGACAUACAAUUUGAUCAUUUGUGGAGGUAGCCUUAACAAAAUAAUUCUUAUAAUAUUUUUGUUUCAAGUAAGGCUUAUACCCAAGUCCUCCUUUAUCAAACACAUAUUUUUGUGAAUUAAGCAUGUUAUCCAACAUCUUUUGCCCAUUUGUGAAUUUCAAAACAAUCUCAUUCAACUCAUUGCUCUUUUUCUUAAGCGUUUCAUUUUCAUUUAUUAAUUCAUCAACAUGCGAUUUUUCAUGCUCAUACAAAGUACUUUGUUUACAUGUGAAUGAUGCAAUUCUAUCAUGCAACAUUUUAUUAUCUAACUCUAGUCCUUUAAUCUUUUCAUUUAAUGAAUCAUUGCAUUUUUGUAGAGCAUCAUUUUCAUUUUUCAAGUUAUCUACAUAUGAUUCUAGAUGCUUAUGUGAAGUGCUAGGUUUCUCAUUUGAUAAUGCAACUUUAUCAUGCAAUGUUUUAUUUUCUAAUUCUAGGCAACUAAUCUUUGCACUUAGAGUUUCAUUUUCAUUUGUGAGCUCUACCAUUUUCUUUUUAAAACAUGCAUUCUUUUUACCAAUUUUCAUCCAUUCAUCAUACAAUUCUUUAAACGCAUCAUGUAAUUCAUUAUAAGUAGGAAGAUCAUUUACCUCGUCAAGUUCACCAUCCGAUUCAUCUCCAAUCGCCAUAAGUACCAAAUUCGACACUUCAUGAAAUUCCUCCUCGCUUGUAGUCUCCUCAUACACAAUUUUAAGUUUUCUCCAAAUUUCAUAAGCAUUAGAACAAUUUGAAACUCUAUGAAAUUCCUUUUUAUCUAAGGCACAAAAUAAAGCAUUCAUAGCCUUGGAAUUUAAAGACAUCUUUUUCUUAUCCAACUCACUUAAAGCAUUCUUUCUAGGAAUGAGUAAAUCAUCACAAACAACUUCCCAAAUUUCAUAAUCUAAAGCUUGUAAAUAAAUUCUCAUCCUAGUUUUCCAAUAAGGAUAAUCAUUUCCAUCGAAAAAUGGAGGUCUAGUGAUAGAUUGUCCUUCCAUGAUGGUUGAGCUAAUUUGGGUUGCUAUUGAUCUUUAACUCUAGACGAUUAAGUCUACACAAGAGCACCUCGCUCUAAUACCAAAUGAAAUACUAACUCGGCAACCCAAGAGGGGGGUGAAUUGGGAUUUUAAAAAUUAUCCUAGGCAAACCACACACCAAUUUAAUCUAAUGCCUUAAUAAAUUCGAAAACAAUAAAUUCAAUAAAAGCACAAUAAUAAAUGAGUAAGGGAAGAGAAAGCAAACUCAAGGAUUUUUACGUGGUUCGGCAAUCCCCGCCUACGUCCACGCCUCCAAGCACAUCGGGCUUGAGGAUUUCACUAUCCAAGCCUUUCCAAGGCUUCAAAUGUUUACAAUUGACUUCAAGGUGUCAAUGAACCUUUACAACAAGAGAUUAUAUCUCCAAUCUCUUCACCCCAAGUGUUUCUCACACUUGUACUCUCACAAUUUGAUGAGAAAUAAAAAAUACAACAAUGAAUCUCUCUUUAAGAGUGGAUAUACAAAUUGAAGAACAAAGAUGAUUUAAUGAAUGAUGAUUCACGAAGUUGAAGCUCAAUAUAUGUUGUGUGCACUUGUUCUUGCUUGCUUGGAUCAUCAAAAAUGAAUUGGUUUUGAAUUUAUAUAGUUUGAACUCAAAAACUAGCCGUUACUCACAUUCUGAGCGUAUCCGGUUUGCCGGUUAUGGAAUCCGGUAAGCCGGAUUUAUGUUACCGUUAAGGCAAAAUUCAAAAUUAUGCCUAUCCGGCUUGCCGGUUUCUGAAUCCGGUAAGCCGUUUACGUUCUGGAUGCAUUCUGCCCCGUAUCCGGUUUUCCAGUUUUUGUAUCCGGUAAGCCGGAUGCUACAGUAACCUGCUACAGUGCACUAUUUUCUAAAAUUAUAGUUUGACCCCAUAACUUUACAAAACUGUACUAUGGCCUAAAAUGUUAUGAAACUUUGUAAAUAGAUCCAAUUUCAGAACUUCUAAAUAAUGUUUCGUUAAUCCCAAAACUUUUUGAAAUUAUGAUAUAGCCCAAAAAGUCCUUCACCAAAAUUUCAAGCAAUACUUGUUUAUUUCAAAGUUUUCAAAAUUCUUUCAAUUAAACCAUAAACUUUGAAAAACAACCAAUUUCAUAAAAUCAUUUUUCCAUUAAAUAUAAAACAUUUAUAAUGUGAAAAUAAUGAUUUAUUUAAAAAGAAUAUUAAAUAAUUUGAGCUUAAAGAUUUAUCAUUUUUAAUCUUGUUUGUUAUCAUCAAAAUCAACAUUAUGAAAACAUAUAUGUUAACAAUAAUAACCUUUAAGGAUAUUAAUUAUCAACAAAAUUCUCAAGGAUAUUAUCAUUCAUCUUUAUCUUCUUUAUAAUAUCGUCUCAUAAUAAUAAUACUUUCAUGAUAAAAGGAUUAAUAAAAAAAAAAAUUUCCUUUGAAUCCAUCGCUCUCUAAUAUUAAUUUCUCUUCAUCAGCAACCUUCAUCGAUAAUUGAAUCCAUCAUUAGACUCAUCACAGAGAAAGAGAGUGAGAGAGGGGAAGAAGAAAUGAGAAAAAAAAAAUGUUUACAAUUUUAUAGUGUAUUCACAAAAUAAGAAUCGAAAUUAGCUGGAAACAUAAUGAGUUAGAAUUAGAAUAGAUAAAAUCGAAAUGAGAAAUUGGAAUAAGAAUAAAUAAUUUAUUAAUGAGCUAUAUUAUCAUUUAUGUGUUUACUUUAUCUUAAAAUCAAAAUUGAAAUGAGUUAAAUUGUAACAAAUUACUAUAAAAUCUUUAAUUAAUUUUUAUCAUAAUUAUUAUUUUAUAUUUUAAUUAUUGUGAUUAUUAUUAUUAUUCAAAAAUUAAUUAUUAAUAAUAGUUAUUGUUAAUUAUUAUGAACAAAAAUUUAACUAAAAAAUUAUUAUUAAUUAUUGUUAAUAGAUUAAAUAAUUAUAAUACUUUUUAUUAUUUUAUUAAUAAUUAUUAUAAUAAUCCAUUUAAAUUAUAAUUAUAUUUAUAAUUAUAAUAAUUAUAAUUAUAAUCCUUUAUAAUAAUUAUAUUUUAUUAUAAUUAACUAUAAUUUUAUUAUAAUUAUAAUCCUUUUAAUAAUAAUUAUAUUUUAUUUAAAUUGAGGGUAUUUUGGAAAUUGAAAAAUUGUAAGAGAUGACUUUGAUACUAUAAAGAUUUUAAUAAAAUAAAAUAAAGUGCAAGAGGCUCAACGAAAUAUAAUACUUAUGGAUAAAUUUUGAAAAACAUAAAGCGCAAGAGACUCAACAAUAUUUUACAGUAACAAUUCGGCUCCACUAAUUAAACCAGAUCCGAGGGUCAAAAAUUAAAACAUCUGGAGUCCUUUUGUGGAUUUAAUUGGGCUCCAUAAUUAACCAGAUCCUAGGGUCAAAACUUAAAGUCAAUUGGAGUCCACAGAUCCUAGGGUCAAAACUUAAAGUCAAUUGGAGUCCCCUGAUCCUAGGGUCAAAACUUAAAGCAACUGGAAUCCUCUUGUGACUUUUCUAAUUAAACCAUCCUAGGGUCAAAAAUUAAAGCAACAGGAAUCCCCUUGUGACUUUUUUAAUUAAACCAGAUCCUAGGGUCACAAAUUAAAGCAUCUGUUUGUCAAAAACAAAAUAAAAAUUAAAGCAUCUGAGAGUCCCAUUUUCCCUAUAUAAACUCUCGCAUUUUUUUCUUUCUUGAUUCACAAACUUGCUUCUUAAUUCAAUUCAGUGUAUUAGCAGCUAGUAAAUUAAUUGACGUUCCGAACUCUUUUAAAAGUCUUGCUGCCCCUUAUUAACUAGCAUUUUCUAGUGGAAGAGAGAUUUGCAGCAGAAAGGGUAGCAAAGAAAUGGAAUUGCUGGGGCGUGAUCCUCGUCAAAGGUAUGAAUUAAUUCUCUUCUCUUCUCUUCUCUCAAUGAUAUAUAAGUCAUUUGCUUAAUUUCAAUAGUAUCCUUUUGAUUUCAUUACAAAAUUUGGGUUUCUAAGUGGCGAGAUAAAUGCAUUAAUUCAUAAUAGAGAAUACUACAUUUUGCAGGUCAUACGCUAUGACUAACAUGUCCAGCAAUAUAACCCAUGUACAUCGACCGACUAUUAUUGGGUAAGCAACUACUUUCAUUCUAUAAUUUAAAUUAUUUUCAGUGUCAUAUAUUUAGGUUAUUUUCGCUAUUAUUAUUAUCAGUAUAGACUUAAAUUAUAGACUUAUUUUCACCAUUAGAAUUAGAGACUUAUUUUAUAAUAUCCAUAAUUUGCUUAAUUUAAAUUAUUUUCUCUAUUAGAUAUUUAUGGGAAAGAAUAAGAAGUUGUGCUUUACACUAAUGGACAUAGAUCUUGUUUGUAUGUAUACGAUGCAACACCGCGAUAUAAAGCCAUGAUUUGUUUCAUCUUGCAUCAAAAUUGGCACAAGCCAUAGCUUUGUGAUCCAGGCUUUAGGCCAUAGCCCAAGAUGAUAUUUAUAACAGACAAUAUCACAUAUUCCUCAUCAUUUAUAUUACUUUGAUGUAACACUUUGUUAUCAAAUUAAGUAAUUAUAUCUUGUUUUGAUGGUUUUGCAGUGUACAAAAUUUCUCAUCACCAUCGGCACCGUACCACACACUCUUUGUAUUUCUAAUUCCAUUGCUUGUCGGAGUUAUUGAUAUUAAUAAUGUUCAAGAUAAAAAUAAAUCCUUGAUCGAGACACACCCGAUGAAUAUGUGUCCAUUUCUAUUGGCUCUACUCAUCUACGUCUUUGCAUAUUUUGCUGCCAUAAUAUCAGAGCGUCAAAUCUUCAAAGCAACUGUUGUGAUCUCAGGAUCUCUUUGCUCAGUCUCAUUGGUCUCCAUUAUUCUGCCACACCCAUAUGGAUAUUUCAGUUUCAUUAUAUGGGUUUUUCUUCUUCUUCUUGUUGCUUAUCACAAGAGCCUUCAUAAGAAGAUUUGGCAAUUUUGGAAUAGAUUUGGAGGAAACAACCAGCAAUUAUUGCCGAUAUACGUACCAGUAAGAGAGCGGCACACGCCAUAAAUUGCCAUCUCAAAUAGAAAAACCUAUACCACCUAAAAAGGCCAAUAAUAAUAUGGCACUGCCGAAGACCUGAUAUAAGCCAAGUCUACUGCAGGGGGCCGGGCCAGUAAUAUUCCUUCGGUGGUAGUCCAUUGAAGUAGAAAUGUGAUUGCUCAUAGAUUAGUUAAAUGUAUAUGCUGUUAGCAAACCGAGCGGUGCAAUUUGGUUGGACGAAAUUCCAACUCAUGUACAUCUUUUCAAUUUAAGUGUUUAAUAGAAGUUUUCAAUUUUUUUUUUCAAAAAAAAAAAAGUAAUCCUUCAUAGCUAUUUAUCAAACGUAUAGUUUUGAGAUUCUCAUGGACUUAUUAUUACACAAAUACCCAUAUUUUAGGAAAUUAGAAGUAUGAAAAAUUGGGCUUUUUCUACAGCUUUAUUAUUAAUAGUUUGUUGUAGGUGUAUUUAGUGACAAAUUGUUUGCUACAAAUUACAGUUGUCUUAUGCAUAUUUGAUGAAAAAAGCACUAAUAAAAUAAUGUUUGUUAGUCACUCAUCUCUAUUGAUCUUAUUUUGAAACAUUUUCGAUAAAAACAAGCUUUGAUAGAAGACAUAUAAGAUAAGACAUUGGUUGAUCUUUAUCAUUCAUCUAAACGAUUACUCCACCUGUCAAGUUUCACUAUUUAAGCUUUGAAUAUAAUUGACUUGUGAUGUAAUCCUAGACAGCCAUAUUACUCCACCCUUCUAGUUUUACCAUUUUGUCCUUUAAAUAUUUUUUACUUAAUAAGUAAUCCUUGAUAGCUAUUUAUCAAACUUAUGGCAUUGAGAUCCACAUGGGCUUAUCAUUAUAGAAUUACCCAUAUUUUAGGAUCAAAAGAAAUUAGAAGCAUGAAAAAUUAGGCAUUUUCUAUCACCUUAUUAUUAAUAGAUUGUUGUAGGUGUAUUUAGUGAAAAAUUGGUUGCCACAAAUUACAAUUCUCAUAUGCGUAUUUGAUGAAAAAAGCACUAAUAAAAUAAUACUUGUUAGUUUACUUUUUAUUUUUUAUUUUUUGAUGAUUUGGUUUUAAAAAGAAUGUUUAAAUCAUGAAAGAAUCCUAUUGUCAAAAGGUACUUUAAUCAAAAUAAAUCAAAGCCAUCCAUUUAUCUUUUUGAAGGUAACUAUAGAAGCUUAUGAACAUAAUUAGAAUAUGAAGUUUUGAAUCGGACAGGUGUUUGAAAAUUUAGCACUAUCAGAAGGUUUUCUGUGAAAGAAUAAAAACUAAAAAUGAUAGUGAUAACUGACGAAAUACAUAUAUAACUUCCUAAUAAACUCAAAUCCGAAUACGUCCUCUCAUUUCUCUCAUCGUCAAGCUCCCAAAAUUCACUCCAUGCAGCUUUGUCGAGAAUCAUAAACAAGUUUUUGGCGAACAAACCGAGUUAUGACAUUUGCCUGCUCAGUAUCCUUGACCUGAUUAUAUAGACAACCGAACAAAUUUACUCAAGUUUAAUCCUGAGAGUUUCAAAACAAUGAAAAAGAUGAUAUAUAGCCAAGGGUUCAGGUUCCACAGCUUCUGGAAAGUCUUGGCAACAGAAUCUCCAAGCAACAGCUUAUCACAUCUAAUUUAAGCAAUAACACGGGCAGCCAUCAAAUCCUCAAAUUUCCCAGCAGCAGCUAUACGCAAGCAUGCAUACGGCUCUCACUUGAUAGCACACCAAAAUGCACAAAAGGCAAAGAAGCUAACGGCCUUCAACCAUUAAACUUAUUCAAACGUACAUGAAUUGACAUGUGGCCACAAUAAUUAUUGCAUGCCUUUUAAAAUUCAAUGCUUCUUUUGAGUUUUAACCACAAGAAUUACUGUAGGUUAGCCCAAUGGCUUUCUAACAAUACCAGCUACAACCUAAUUUCAAAAAAAAAAAAAAAUUGCGAAUCACCUUUUAGCUCACCAUUGUCUACACUUUAUAUGGAUUUUCUGCCAACUGCUUCCUGGAAGAGGUUUCAUUAUAUUUUUCAAAAAUGAUGUCAGAAGAAACUUUUUCCUGAGCUCUGUUUCUGUUUAUUCGUUAGGUAGUACAUAUGCCGCAAAGAUAUCAAUGCAAACAGAUGGAAAUAAAAUAUUAGAAACUUUUACAUAUUUCUGCUAUAGAAUUUCUUUGAAAUACUUUAUGCUUUUGGAUUAGAGAACAAACAACGACAGAGUAGGAGAAGAAAUCACCUGAGGCAGAGGAUGAUUGUAAUUGCAAAUGACAAAACACUCAAGCUCCCAAAAUUUGCUCACACAGAAAACUAUUUUAUUAUCCUUGCUAGUAUCCUUGUCACCACACCAGUUAUGAACGAAAAAACUGAAUUCUGACGUUUGCCUAAAUAAGCUGCUGAGUAUCCUCAGCCUGAUUACAUGGAUAGUUGAAACAACUUUACUAAAGUUUAAUCCUAACAGUGUCAAAACAGUGUGAAAGAUGAUAUAGUUGAUAACAAAAACAUGAGGAGUUUCUUGGCAAAAGCAUGGGCAGCCAUCAAUUCCGAAAAUUUCCCAGCAGCAGCUUAAUGCAAUCAUACAUACAGCUGUCGCUUGAUAGGACCAAAAGAAAAAGAAGCUAACAAUGUCCAACCGUGAAAAUUCCUUUCUUGUGUUUUGUUUCUGUUUGAUCUUGUAACAGAUGGAAGUAAAAUUUCCUGAUUCAGAUAAAUCAGCCAAAACACAUACUCUGUAGAAUUAACUGAGUUCAAGCUUUCACUAAAAAGCUUCUCUUCUCCCUACUCCUGCUUGCUGCCUGCUUCACAUGUACAUUUAGCACCAAAGAAAUUGAGAAUUUAUCAAUCAACUGGACAAAAAUGGAGACUUGUGAAUCAGGCGCUGGUUCAAAGAAGGCAGAAAAACUGCUGAUAAUUUACCUCCUUUUGCAUUAAUCCCCAAUCUAGCACCAUUCUCACUCUUCAUCACUUGCUCUGCAAUUGUCAAAAAUGAUUCGGUUCAAAAUUAUCCUACAUUCAAUGACAGACAAAAAGGAGAGAUUACCAUCAUUACACCCAUACCAAAAUUUUAGAAACUGUUGCAUAUAUUCCUAAUAUAGAAUUUGAUUAAAAAUAGUUUAUGGUCCUUAAUUAGAUAGCAGAUAACAAAAAUGCAGAAGAAGAAAUUACCUUUGGCUGAGGAUGAUCAUAAUUGCAGUGCAACUGGUUGAGAAUUUUGUCAAUUGCUGCCAUGAAAUGGUUUCAUUUCCUUUGGGUUCUGUCAUGGGCAAUCCUUCCACUAGUAAGCUUCUCAUUUCAUUUCCUGCCCUGCUUCCUGCAUCAUAUGAUACAUUAGAUGACAAUACAUGUAAUCUGUGGUCACUUGACCUGCAAAAGAAUUGCUUGUAUUGCACUAAUAAUCUUUACAGUAACGUCAUCAUAUCACAAAUUAAAAAUUGUAUAUUCAUAGGAUAUGAAAAUCAGAAUAUUAGAAAAUAUGUAUUGCAGAUUUUGAUUCAAAAUGAAAUUUAUGCUUCUUAAUUAGAUUAAAAAUAACAGCAAAGCAAAUCAAAGUAAGAGAAUAAAUUACUUGUCAACGCCCAAUCUCAAGGUUGGGAAUGUGAGAUAUCUUAGGCCAGUCUUCUCCUUCCCCCCUUUUGUAACGUUCUACCAGAAUAUCACAAUCCCACCCAAUGCGCAAUUCCUUCAAUGUUGUCCUUUGAUGAAUGUGGUCGGGCAGUGCCUUUAAUUUGGGGCAACUGAAAACUUCCAAGGAAGAAAGACAUGGCAUGAUGUUGAUGAAGGCGUCUCCCGUUCUUAUAAUCCCAUAAUCCCACUCGUCCAAUUCCUCCAAUCUCCCUUGAUCCCUUGUGCAGAAAAUUGUCAAUAAUGGCAAUACAUGCAAUCUGUGGCAAAUUAAGCUUCGUUUUUUUGUUGUCCUGACCUCGAAAGGUUAUUGUUCAACUCCAACGCCAAACUAAAUGUAGGUCACUUGUCCUGCAAAAGAAUUACUCAUAUUGCAUUAAUAAUCUUUUACAGUAACGUUACCUAUCUCACAAAUUAAAAAUCGUAGGAUGUGAAAAUCAGAAUUUUAGAAAGUAUGUACUGCAGAUUUCUGAUAUAGAGUUUGAUUCAAAAUGCUAUUUACGCAAUUACGCUUCUUAAUUAGAUAAAAAACAACAAAGCAAAUCAGACUAAGAGAAGAAAUUACUUGUCAAUGCCAAAUCUCAAAUGCGCAAAUAAUUAAUAUAUAUGUUGGGAAUGUCUGAUAUCUUAGGCCAAUCUUCCCCCUCCCCUUGCGGUAACGUUCUUCCAGAAGGUCACACCCCCAAAUGCUCAAUCCCUUCAAUGUUGUCGUUUGAUGAAUGUGGUCGGGCAGUGCCUUUAAUUUGGGGCAAACAGCAAUUGCCAAGGAAGAAAGACGUGGCAUGAUGUCGAUGAAGGGGUGUCCCGUUCUUGUAAUCCCAUAAUCCCACUCCUCCAAUUCCGGCAAAUCCUCAAUGAAAAGUGAUUGCAAUUUGGGGAAGGCAAUAAUAACCGAUGAAGAUGAAGAUGAGUCAUGAUGAUCACUUUCUAUCCCCAAAAUUUCAUUACCCACUCUUUUCACACUCUUCAUGUCCGAUAUAUAGAGCUUUUCAAGGGAUGGCAAUUUUCCCAAAGGAGGCAGCUGCUCACAAUUUUCGCACAAAUGGAGAUUUAAACUCCUUAGAUUGGUUAAUGACAUCAUCCAGCUGGGGGAAACAGUGUUGCCUCCGUAUCCCUAUAAAUAAUUCCUUCAAAUUCAAAGGUGGUUGCAAGGCUUCAAGAAGAAGUUGAUCGUGCUCGUUAUUCCUCCUUCCUCCGCUUUCCUUCACAUCAAACCAAAGUCUCAAACAAGAGAGGUAUUUCUUUUUGUCAAGUUUUAAUCUCUUAGCCUCAUCCACAUCUGACACAUUUCCCAAUCUACGUAUGCCACAUACUUGGAGGAGUUCCAAGUUUUUAAGAGAUUCAAGCCUACAUCCUUUGCGACCAUCGACACAUUCUCCUCCACUCACAUGGAACUCAUCCAAUGUCCGAAGACUCGGUAAUCUCGCAAUCCCAGCCGGCAUGUGCCCUAAGGAAUCAGUUCUCUCAUUUAGUAAAUGCUUCAUGUUUAUUAACUUCCCAAUUCCUUGAGGUAAUGCUUUAAGAUUAAUACAGUAACUAAUAUCUAACUUUUCUAGAUUAUAUAACCCACACAACGUCUCAGGAAGUUUCCUUAUAAGCGUCACAGAAGACAAAUUAAGGUAUCUUAAAUGUACCAGCUUUUCUAUAUUUCUUGGAAUAUCUAGAAUGGAAGAACACAGUGUGGCAGACCAGUUUCCUAUAUCUAAUGCCCUCAAACUUGUCAAUUUCCCAAACAAUUCUUUUAGCAUCUUACCAUUUAACGAUGAAUUGUCAAGCAUGUUACCACUAAUAAAGAGGCUACGCAUUCUUUUAAUUCUACAAGUGGAGACAGGAAAUGAAGCUCCUAGACCAAUAACUAACAUUAAAUGACAAACCUUCUCAUCCAAAGAGUUUAUGGCGUUUGGUUCUUUGCUACCAUUAAUUUCCAUCGAAGAACAUUCAUUUUGACUUACAAAUUGGGCAAAAUUGUGUACUAUAUCAUGCAUCUUGCACGCUACAAUAAGAUUAUCAUGAUCUCUCUUAAACUCUUGAAAGAAAGAGCGAGUGGCUAAGAUGUUAAAAUACUCUUCACCAAUUAUGUCCAUCUCUUCAUCUUGUUCUGCACUAAAGUAACCUUGAGCCAUCCACAUGCUAAUUAGUUUCUCUUUCAUUAUAUUGAAGUCCUUUGGAAAGACAGCACAAUAUGAAAAACACCUUUUCACUCUGGACGGCAAAUCAUUAUAACUCAACAACAGAGGAGAUAGAACACCUUUCUCAAUCUCUUCGAUUUUCCACAAAUCAUUAUUUAAGAUUCUACACCACUCUUCUUCGGUUUUUUUGGAACGCAUGAGACUCCCUAUUAACUUUGCUGCAAGAGGCAAACCUUUGCAUCUACUUGCAAUUUGUUGCCCAAUUUGCUCUAAUUUUUCACAUUCUUCAAUGGCCCGACCAUGAAAUGCUAUCCGAUUAAACAAUAACCAACAUUCCUCUUCAACCAAUUCUUUGAUGGAGAUAAUAUCUAAAGAUCCCAUCAUGCACGCAACUGACUCUUUACGUGUGGUAACUAAAAUUUUACUUCCAUGGAGACCAUUCUUUAGACAAUGGUAGAAUGGUUCCCAUUUCAUGUAAUUUCCAUCCCACACGUCAUCUAAGACAAGAAGAAAGCUCUUCCCUGCAAUGGAUUCAUAAAUAUGUCUAAGAAGAGAUUGGAAUUCACCUAAAUGAGAUUCAUGACCAUCCAAAGCUUCGACCAUUGCUUUGGCAACCCUGAACUCUUCAAAAGUUUCUGACACACACACCCAUAGAAUUUUAUCGAACUUUCUUAAAUAUAGGCAUGGGGAUGCAAUUACUUAUUUGGAUGUUUCUAUUUUGGAUAGUAUUCUCGAAGGCAGGGUGCUUAAUGUAGGAUAUAUUAUUGUUCAACAUAUGCUUAGCACUCCGUGUAUAGGCAAACAUUCCUUACCUUUUGGUAGCAUUAUCACCCGGAUUCUUAAACAUUUUUUAGGUCAUAUUACUGAACCACUCUCUUUCGCACUAAGGAAUUAGGAGACAAUGCUAUAGCAAAUUUAGGGUUUGUAUAGAUGGAAGAUCAGUGGGUUAAAGAUAUGAGGUACAAUGGCAAGAUUGUUGAACUAGCUCCUUCAGAUCAUCAUAUCUUCAACGAUAUACUUUCACCAGAAGAACUCAUUGACCUCAGUAAUCCAUAGCGUUAGCAACCUCCACCUUCAAAAGAUCCUUCACAUUCUGGUCCAGCCGCUCCUAAUCAUCCAAAGCAGUAGCUAUUGGUUGAAGUGCAUUCCAUUUCCGAGCAACAAAGCCAACUUCAAUCCCUGUUUGAGGCCUUUCAAAUUCACUCCAUUUCUGAGCAGCAAUGUCUCUUUGAUUAGCAGCAGUGCUUAUUUGAUGAACAACAACAACUCUUUGCUCAACAAAAAUAUAUUUUUAACAACCAGCAGCAACUUUUCACUACUCUUAUGUUUCCACCACCAUCUUCCUCCUGACAUCCGCCAUCUCCGUGGUGUCCUCUCAUUUUUUAUUUUGUUUAUAGUUCUCUGUUUUAUUUUGCACCUGCAUUAUCAUGUACAUUAACUAUGUGUGUUUUAACUAUAAUUUAAGGAUUCUUGUUUGAUAUUUAGAUGCUUUGUUUUGGAUACUAUUUCUGGUUUCUUAAAUGCUUUGAAUAUUUGGUUAUUCAUUAUAGGUUUCUUGAUUAACAAUUAUGAAGUUAUUUUUUAUCUUAGCAUGAUUUGAUAAGUAAUUUUGAUGAUGAAAGGGGAAAAGUAGCAUGUAUUUUAAUCUUAAAGUAUUGAUGCAUGAUUUUAAAAUAUUUAAGGGGAGCUUACAAUUGUUGUAGAUCAUGUAUUCAGGGAGAGUUUACAUUUGAUUUAUAUGUUGAAUCAUGUAUGCUUUAUAUUAAAGGAGAGUAUAAAUAUCAAAAUACAUGAGAUGUUUGUCAUCAUUAAUAAGGGGGAGAUUGUUAGCCUAAUAAGGUAUAUAAGUUGUAAUUUUGAUGAUAACAAAUACGUGUCUUAAGUAAUUUGUUUCUUGAAGGAAAAAAUUUAUUCAAGUGAAAUCAAGCUCAAAACACUCAAUGAACAAUGGCUCGAUCAAGAACAAGUAUUAGCUCAAUGAAAUUAUUAUUGCGACAAUUCUUGUAAAAAUGGUAUGAUUUAAUAUAUGCGUGGUUUAGCAUUUGAGAAGCUCAAGUAUUUAUUUUAUAAGUAAUCAUUUUUUUCAUAAACCAAAAGCUUUAUAAUCAUAAGACAAGUAUUUUAUAGAUUUGGGUAUUUUUCAAGUUUUGGACUAAAUUGAAAAGGUUUUGAAAACUUUGAGUAUUAUGUUAAAAAUUCUGAAAACUUUGAGUAUUAUGUUAAAAAUUCUGAAAUGAACCUUUUUGAAAAGUUUUAUAAAAGUUUUGGGCCACAACAUAAUUUCAUAGAGCUUUUAGAAUAACUAGUAUUAUCUUGAAAUCUGAAAAUGGACAUGUUUGCAAAGUUUUAUGAAAAUUUGGACCAUAAUCAAAUUACAUAAAGUUAUAGGUAAAACAAUAAUUUUGAAAAGUAGUGUUACUGUAGAAAAAUUCAAAUUGUAACGAUAACUUGCACUGUACUAAGCUGCGAUCCGGCUAUUUAAUAAGCUAGCUGGCAAAACUUCAAAUGUCAAUAAUGUCUAGUUUUCUUUCAAAUUUAAUAACUUUUGCAAGUAAGAACAAGUGCAUACAACAUAUUUUGAGUUUCCAUUUCAUAAAUCAUCAUAUAGUAAAUCAUUAUUGUGCUACUACUUGUAUAUUGACUCUAAAAUAGAGUAUUUGUUGUGAUCUUUAAUUUCAUUAUUAAACUUGUCAGUGUUCAAGUGUGACAAACACUUGGGUGAAGAAAUUGGGGAAUAAUCUUUUGUUGUAAAGGUUCGUUGAUACCUUGGAAGUCAAUUCUAAAACUCUUGAAACCUUGGGAGACUUGAAUACUGAAAUCCUCAAGCUUGGUUUGCUUGGAGGCGUGAGCGUAGGCGGGAAUUGUCGAACCACGUAAAAAUAUCUGAGUUUGCUCUCUCUUCCCUUACUCUUUUAUUUUUUAGCAUUGUUAAAUUUAUUAUUUUUUAUUCUAUUAAGGCAUUAGAUUAAAUUGUUGUAUGGUUUGUUUAGUCUAAGUUUUAAAAGCCCAAUUGACCUCCCUCUUGGUUUGCAUAGCUAGUAUUUCAAAAUUAAGGUACAAUAAGUGAAAAAGACUCCAAAGAAGUCUCCAACAAAGACUACAAGAACGUCUCCUAAAAUAAAAAUAGCCCAAUAAAGUAAAACAGCGGAACCUUAUAUUAUCCAUGUUGGAGUUAAGCCUCCUCCUCCAAUGAAGGUAAAGGUGAUGAAACCAAAUGCCAAUAGAAAGCUGGUAUUGAGGAAGAAUGAACACUAGAUUAGCUACAUAGGAGAGAAAGAACACCGGUCAAACCAUUAAUAUGUUUUUCCUAGUAAUUGACAGUUUUCCUAAUUAAGAGUUAUUGAUCGAACAUGAUGAAUCAAUUUUUAUUUACAUAUUGAAAACACUGUUGAAUAAGGUUGUUUGUCAAGUGAUCAUUGAUUUUAGUUAUCAGAGAAAUAAAGUGAUUGAGCAAUAGCAAAGUAAGUCAUUAUUUUGAAAUAAUUAUUGUUUGAUUUAACAUUUUUAAGUAAGUCACUAUCUUUAGAACAUUAAUAAUAAUUUAUUAGUCUUAGAUGUAUUGUCACAUAGACACUUACAUAAAGUCAUGGAGAAUGAUGGAAAGUCAUUUCCUGUGGGAUUUAUUCAAGUUAUGAUCAGUUCACUCAAUUCAACAGAGGAGGCUAUAACUACAAAGUCUCACUAUCUAUUUGAACUGCUAAAAGCAACUCUAAUUGAACAGUUGAUAUUAAUCCAUACAAGCCAGGAUAAGGACUUCUAUCCUUAUAUUUUCUAUAUAUUAACAUGUAAUAAAUUCAGAAAUUAUAGAAUAAAGCAGUUCUUUUAUAUGUUGACAUUAUUAUUUAAUGGUUUUAUUCUUGUUGUUGUAGCAAUCAUUGGGUGUUGGUUGCAAUCGAUAUACUGGCCUUCAUUGUCUAUUAUUUUGAUUUAGUAUUUACACAAAAAGUGAAUUGUCAUUCAGAGCUAAUAGAGCAGUUAAGUUUUUCCAUACUUAUAUUUUAGUAAUUUAUAUAGUUGGAUAAUAAAUUUUAGUAUAUUGAUCUUUAUAUUCACUGCAUGCUUUCAUGUUCAGAUGAGUUAGGAUGUAUCAUGCAACAAAGCAAAAGCCUAAGCUGAACUUGAAGUGGAUGUUAGUCCAAGUAAGGAUAUAAGUGAUAUGUUCAUUUUGUCUAAAUGUGGGUAGUUUGUUAUAAAGUAUAUGUAAGAGAUUGUGCAAAAUCCAAACAUAUUGGAGCAAAAUGUAAGCUUCAAACCUCUGCUUUGUUAGUUAUUUUAAUUAUGAACAUUUCGUUUAACGCAUAAUUUUCUUUCUUAUUUUUUGUAAUUGAAGUUUAAACGACUAAUUGAGUACUUGGAUGAGGAUAUUCUAAAGGUUUGUGAUGAGCAAGCUGCAUAUGUGGCUAACUUGAUCACUAGUUUAAGAAAAUAGUUAACUAUCACUUGUUUGUUCAUGUUUUAUAAUUAAAGAUUCUUGAUGAGUGGACUGCGUAUGAUGUAGUGCUCCGUUUGUUGUUCUUUUAUUACUUUCAAGAAUGUACCUUUGUUGGUUGAUUUUAUUGGAAUUGAUCGUAAGUCUGAUGGCUUCUUAUUGCUACUGUUACUCAAGACAUUGCAAAUAGCCAUGGUUCUCUUGAUUUUUCUUAAGUUACAUUUGCCUUUUUUUUUUUUGUUGUUGUAGUUCAAGCCGUUCAAGAUAGCAAUGUUGUUGCUGCUUCUUAUUCUAGUUCAUUUGUCUUAUUAAUUAUUACUCAAGUUGUUGUGAUAAACAAGUUGUAGUUUUCUUAGUUUGGAAGUGGUUUUUGCUACUAUUGUGCUAUUGGAACUAUAGUUGAUGAAUUUGGCUGUUGAAAAAGUUUGUUUAUUGAAUGUUGAGUGUUAACUGUUGAAUGAAGCCUAACAACAAUUGUUAAAUAUAGAAUUAUUCGGUUCUGUUUCCAACAUUUGUUCCAUUAUUAUUGUUGACAAUUGUUGUUUAUUGGUUUUAAUUUUAGGCUAUUGGUAAUUGUAACAAUGAAAAUCUAUUAUUUUUAAAAAAUUUCCAAACUAUUGACACCAAUUUAGCAUAUGUUAAUAUUAAUAUUCUUGAAUCACAACAUAAACAAUAUUAGUGCAUCAAAACCUACUUCAUACUAAAGAAUCACUAUCUGCGUGACUGUAUAGAAUCACAAUUAUUUUGAUAUUAUUGAAUCACAAUUUGUUUGCCAUUAUAACAUCAAAAUCUAUGUGAUGUUUAACUGUUAGCAUUUCUUUAAUACUAAGGUGUUGCGGAAUUACUGAUACAAAAGAUAUGUGUCAAUAAGUUUCUUGCACCCCAUUUAGUGACACUAAACUCAGUGUCAAUAAAGAAUGUUACGGAUACCAAAAUAGUAUAAGAGAAAGUCAUUUUUUUACUAGUACACAACAUAAAAAUUUACAUGGAGGACUCCUAUACUGGAGAAAAACUACAGCCGCUAAUGAGAGAAAAAUCUACUAUGUAAAAAAUUAUUACAAUCACUGUAAUAUUUUCCUCACACCCAAUCUCUCAAUAGGCUUACCGUUUCUCUCACACUAAAAACUGUUUACUUGCAAAAAAAACUAAUUAUUGAGUUAUGCAAAUAAGUGAACCUAACCUACCAAUAUAUAGUGAUUAUUUUUUGUAGAAGUAUUUCUUUUCUUAUACUAGUUGUAUUCCUCCUCGAGUUAAGUCGCAAAGAGGAAAUUACUUAUUUUUUAAAUAGGAGUUUCCUGAAUAAGAAAAAUUAUUAAAUAAGAAAAGCGUAGGAAAUAUCUUAAUUUAGGAUUUACAAAUUCUCAUUAAAAAAGGAGACAUAUUUCCUAACAUAUAUGUAUACAUGGUCCUUACAUCCUUGAUUGUAGAUGUCUUUUCUUGCAUUAUAAAAAUAUCUAUUUUCUCUCCUCUCACUUCUAAUGUUAAAAUGUCUAUUGUGUCUCUUCUCUUGUCAAAUUCUUCUUUUUCCUUAAAAAUCUUUCUACAGUUUUUGUGAAAUUUUGUAGCAAUUAUUUUUUAUCCGGGAUCUUAAAGUGCGGGAAAAGUCCGAGAAAUCUUUAAAAUUGCGAGGUUUUAAAGGCUUAUAACUUGAAGCGUUUAAACCACACGGUUUAUGCGUUUUCCCGGACGUUCCCGCACUUUAUAAUUCUGAAUUACAACAUUUCUAUGUAUGUAUGUAUGUAUGUAUGUAUGUAUAUUGAGAAAUAACUUCUUAGGUUGUUUCUAUUAUUUUUGAUGUGGUUAUACAUAUGAUCUGCAUAUGCUGAGAUAUCUAAUUAUAGAAGUUACUGGAAAAUUAGUACUCAGAUUAUUUGAUUCAAAUUGUUUGAUGAUUUCUUCAUUAAUCUAGGGGUUUUAAUAAAGAAGUUUUAAAAAUCUUGAAGUGCAAUUUUUGAAUGGUUUGCUAUCCAUCACUUUGGUAUGAUACUAAUUGAAGAUGUUCAAGAAUUAGUUAUGCAUUUCUAAGUAAAUUAACAUUCUAAUAAUCCACAAAAUUUAUAUACUUUUAUUUUUAUAUAUAAAUAUGAUAUUAAAUUUUACAAUAAACCUGGAAAAAUUGGAACUCCUGUUGAAGGAAUCCAUUUAUUGCCUGAAAUGAAUUUUUUUACUGUGAAGUUUUCUGCUUCCAAGCGCUUUAUUAUUCUAAAUCCUUUCCAACGGACCCUACCAGUAGUUUUAGAGCCACGUCCUCUGUUAUUGUAUUCAGCAUAGUAAAUGGUGUCCACGCUCUGUCCUUGCCAUUCAAGCCAACCUUCAGGGUCAAUUAUUUCAUCAAGAAAAGUUUGCAAGAUUACUGUUCUUGAAUAAUUUCUCCACGGUCGUCCCAUGUAUGUCUUGAUUGAUGUUCUGUUCUCAGAGAAGUCUUCUGCAGCAGUUAUGGUGCAAUUAUGAAUGAUUAUUCCUCCAUUUCCCUCAGGUUUUUCUCUUCCUUCGGCCGUGAUUGUCUUUACAUUCCCACCAAGGAAACGAACGUAGAUAUUACAAUUUUGGAACACUGCACUUGCGUCUCCGAAUAUAAAAUCAAUUGUACCAUAGAUAUCACACUCUCGAUAGAACUGUUUAUUGCUUUUUGCGUAAAGGGUGUCCUGAUACCCAUCAAGCUUGCACCUGUAGAAGGCAGAGUCCACUUCACUUACUAAUUCUACUGCCUGGCCUGUUUCCUGGUCUGGUCCGGCUGUGUUCUCAAAUGUUAUAUUCAUUGCCACAAAUCCAGCCCCUUUAAUCGCUGCAUUAAUUUGAAAAACAAUACUGAUUAAUAUAUGUUAGAAUAUAAAAACCAGAUUUACGGUUCUUAUUUUUAUUUGUUGUUCAAUUUAAUGCAUAUAUACUACAGUUCAUGAGGAGAAAAAGAAGAGAAUAAAAUUGCAUAGCUGAUCACUCACCAACAGUAGCAGUCUGGUAAGUGGAUAAAUGAUCCUUUCCGUGGCUUUUAUUCCCGGAAAUGAUUGUGUUGUUGAUUCCAUUGCCAAUUAACACCAAAUUCGUUUUCUCUCUGCCAACCACAACAUAUUCAGUGUAGUUUCCUUCUUUAAUUUUUAUAUAAUAGGGUUUUCGACGGAAUGAAGGAGCAGCCAAGAUAGCAUCUGAAAUUUUUGUGUAGUUGCCUGAGCCAUCUUGUGCCACAAUCACAUCAAUUCUUUGUGUAAUUUGUCCUUGAGACAUAUGGCAACAGAGAGUUAAAAGGAUUAUAAUUAGCCACGCCAUAUAUUAAUCUCCUCAAUAAUCUGCAGCAAAUGUUUCACAAGUUUAGUUGCACUAGUGCCAAUACAAAUUGAAGUAGUGCUACAUAAAAUGAACAGCCAUGCAUAUAUUAAUUAAAAACGCAAAAAUAAAAUAAAAACAAAGAACUACGUGGUCCAGAUUAUAUAUAUAUAUAUAUAAAGGAAUUCGGGACAUUAAAUAGCUUAUACCCAUAAAUAUCGUAGUUGACAGAGCAUGUCUUCGUUCAUGGUUCAUGUCAUAACAAGCGAAAAUUAUAAGCAGUACAUCUUAAAACUUUCUCGUUAUUAAAAAUAUUAUAAAAAUUUAAAAUUUUCGAUUCUACUCCUAUACUAUGUAAAGUGUAUUAUUUUUUCAUUUUGUCAAAUUUUUAACAUAAUAUAAAUAAAAUAACUAUUUUACUCUUAAACUUAAGCUUAUUUUUUAACUUUUCACCUCUUAAACUUAAGCUUAUUUUUUAACUUUUCACCUUUAAUAAUAAAAUAAAAUUAAAAGAUCGAAAAUAACCAAGACCCAACGAAUUAAUAAUCACCCAGGUGGUGUUACCAAAUCUGCCAGCAGGUUUGAUCAGGAACUCACAGGCCUCACUACCUUCCACCAUAGCCUUGUCUUGUUUUUGUUUUUUUAUAAUAUAAACAUCGAAAAAAAAAACUAAAAAACCCAUCACCAUCAUUUUAUAAUACAAAUCUACAAAAAAAAAAAAUUUCUUAAAUGGAAAAAAAAAAACCAUCAACUUGUUACCAAAAUGCAUUUAUUCACAGACGACAUCAACUCCGCUGGCUACCAGCAUCAUCAAAAAACUAGCAUGCGCGGCAAAGCAAGCACACGGAGGAAAGAUGUACGUGGGAAAGAAAGGGAGGAAAUUGUGGUGGUUCCGAUGAGAGAAAGAAAGGGUGGGGCAUAUAGAAAAGAAGGAAAACAAUUUUAUCUACAAUCUACCUCAAAAACAACUUUAAAUAUAAGCAAAUACGGAGAAGUACAUAUAAAGAGUGAGCAUAUAGAAAAGAAAGAAAAAAAAAAAGAAAUAAAAGAAAAAAAUUAUAUAAAAAUAAAAAUUAAUAUGGAUCAAUAGUUUCUUUUGUUGAUGUAAAAAAUCAUCCGAAAAUGAAACAAAUGAUAUAUGGGGGUGGGGGAGCAAAAUUACUGAACUCCAUUGCAAUCAUAAGAGAAUUCAGUGGCAAGACAUAAUGACAUAGACGGUAUAAAAGAUACCACCCGUGACGGAGCAAAUCACUGAACAGUUUCUGAAUUAUUAUGCGUAGGUGGAUACUGGAUACAAAAAUUAAAAUCAAAAUUUGCAAGAAACUCGUUCUGUGAAGUGAAUCUGGUGUAGCUAUUAUGCCUGAUAUUGGAGAGGAGAUGUAUUAUAUAACUAGGUCCAACUUAGGCUUCUUUAUUUAUCGACCAAAAGAAGAGUUGAGAUAUUCAUCAAACCCCUAUUUUUAUUUAGGGUGGGACUAUUUACACUCUAACAUAUACUUUACACACUCUAAUUUUAGUCAACUUUUAUAUUAUUAAAAUAAUCCUAAUAUAAUUUAUUGAAUGAGUGUGUAGAGUAGAGAUGGCCAACGGGCCGUGCCGUGCCGGCCCAGGCCCAUCAAAGGAAGCCCAUGCGUGCUCGUGCUCGUGCCGUGCCGUGCUCACUAUUCAUUUCGUGUCGUGUCGUGCCGUGCCGUGCCCACACGUGCUCGUGCUCGUGCCCACUCGUGCCGUGCCAUGGGCCGUGCCUAAGAAAAAUAGUUCACUAAGCGUUUUUCUUUUUUGCUUUUUUUAAGAACGUAUGCCAAGUUGUUGUCUUUUUUUUUUCAAGCUUAUGUAUUUUUUUUGGAUUCAUAUGCCUUUAUUUUAAUUUAAUAGAAUAAAAAAUUCAAAACUCAAGUCCAUAUUCAAUAAUAAUAAAUUAAUAAUAAUAAGAGAAUGUUAUAUUAGUUGCUAAGUUUGACUUUAUGGUAUUAGAAUUCUUUUUUAGCACUUAACAAUAACAAUAAUAGUAAUUUUUUUAAGGGUUAACUUAAUUGUUAACUUGGAAUUACGUAGAGUCAUAUAUCAUAGUUUAUAAUAAUAUUAAUACAUAUUUAUAAAAUCAUUAUAUUUAUAAUUUUAUUUAUUAAAAUCAUGAUAUCAAUUAUUUAUUUAAUAAAUUAUAAACAUAAAUCAAUUAUAAUUUUUUUGAAACUAAGAAUUAAAUAAAUUUAAAAAACUUGAGCCAAUAAAAGAUAUUAAAAGAUUCAAUUUCAAGUUAUUUAUAAAAUCAUAAAAUUUUAAGUUUACUUUCAUAAAAAAAUGAAACGUGCUUAUUGCGUGCUUUUUCGCGUGCCGUGCUUUGGCUCAUCUCUAAUCGUGCUGUGCUUUUAAGGCCCGCGUGCCUAAAAUCUAAGCUCGGCACGGCCCACGUACAUGCCGUGCCGUGCCGCGUGCUCUACCGAGACGUGCUCGUGCCGUGCCGUGCUGUACGAACACGUGCCGUGCCCGUGCCGUGCCCGUGCCGUGCCUCGUGCCGUCCGGCCCAUUGGCCACCUUUAGUGUAGAGUAAUAGAGUGUUCAAAGUAAAAUUUUGAGGCAAAAAAUCAUGCCUUUUUAUUUAUAAUUUAGAUUUACAUAUUUUGUCACAUAAAUCACACACUCAUUCCGCAUCGAAGUUCACCAAACACUCUUUCCUUAUCUAGCAAAUUACAGAUCUUUUUUGUUUAUUAAAAGGCAAUUAUCAUCUUUCUUUGACAAGACUUCCAUAAUUUCUUUUCACAACACAAAAUUUUCUUUUUUUAAUAAUUAAAUUUAAUUAAUCAGUGUAAUUUUUCAACUGCAAUAUGACUUAGCAAUAACAUAUUUAGGACUUUGCAAUAAUUUUAAAAGAUAAAUUUUGGCUAUUAGAAAAAGAAGAUUCCUUAUAAUUAGAAAAAAAUUAUUGAAAGUUUAUAAUUACAUUAGUAAUUUUUAGGAUUUUUCAAAUUCAAAAAAUAAUGUAGAAUACGAAGAUAGUACAAUUGCAAAAAAUGAAUAGGCUUGAUGAUAAUUUUCUUACAAAACAUAAUAAACACUUUGAGCAAAUAAAAUAGAGGACUAUCGAUAUACAAUAAUUAUAAAAAGUAAUAUAUUUUCCUAAAGUGAAGAGUUUGGCAAAGUGAAGAGUUUGGCAAAUAGUGGAUAAGAUUUUCUUCCAAGCGGCUGAUUUAAUAAAUACUAAGUGAAGAGUUUUAAAAAUUUCAAAACAAGAUCAUAUAAAUUUGGCAAAGGGAAUGAUUUUAAGAGUUUGAAAUGUGUUUAAGAAAAUACAAAAUAAGAAAAUAUUCACAUAUUUAAUAAAUUUAGUGGCUUCUGCGUCAGAGAAAUUGAGGAUAUGGAAUCAAAGUAAAGUUAACCUAUUUAGGGAAUUUUAACCUAAAAUAAUUUUUGAAUAACUUGGGCACCCAAAACAUCCUAAAUUAAUCAGGGUGCAUUGUUUGCUUGGAGAUAUUUUUAUAAUCAAAUUAAUGCAUCGAAAAAUACAUUAGAAAGGAAUACCUAAGAUGAUAGUUUUAGUAACCAAAAAGAAAGAUAAAGGUACAUUGCUUAAGUAUGAGGCAAUUAUACGUUCAAUGUAUACGUAUAACAGAGAGUUGAGUUUUCAAAAUGUUGGUAAUUGUACUACUUUACUACUAAUAUAGAUACUAUCCUCUCGGUAUUUAUAAUCAGAGAGGUGCUGGCGCAUCUUUGAAAUGUUUCAACCGUAUAAUGCCAUUAUAUAAUUUAAUAACUUUUUCAUACUUUAACAAAGUCUAAUAUCCUAAAUUAAUGUAAUAAACAUCAAUUUACUGUUAUCUAACUUGAUAAAUUAAAAAAAUCAUGAAGUUUUUAUUUAAUUUGAACCGCACGCUCAAUUUGAAAGCUAAAAUUAUGGAAAGGAGUACCCCACACGGUACAUGUUGAAGAGAGAGAAUGCAUUGAUUUAAUUGACUCGCGUCAACUUUAUACACUAAAUAAUCGCUCUUUCCAGGAGAUUAUUGCUCUAUUAAUUCUUCGCUUUUUUUUUUCCCUCUUUUUCUUUUCCAUUAACUAACUUUGUUACGUAGACGUCGAAAGGUUUCUACUUUCAAUCGGAAUUUCUCACAAAAGGCUUGUACUUUCAAUCGAAAUUUCAAAAGCAUUUCUUAAAAACGUGGCCAAAUUUUUUCUUUAAAAAAAAAAAAGGGUCGCGGAGGAGAUAUUUUUGGAUAUGUAGACAGCUAAAAUUAGCAUCUUUAUUCUUAAGCUUAAAGCAUUAAUUACAAAUGCGAUGGCAGUUGCCAGAUCCACACAUUUUUAGGGCAUUUUUGAAGACAUUUUUCUGCGCAAUCACCUUUGUUUUGACAAAGUCCAGGAAAAUCAAUGCAUCUACAAUAAUCAUGAUAACAAAAAUUUUUGCAGAUCCUCAUCGCCAACACAUAUAAGAUAUGCGCCUCCUAAGAAUGUUAACAACAGACUUAAUUUCAGAUAACCAAGCGAUAGAUGCAUCUACAAUACAGCGGCUAAUCUGUUAUAUAUACUCCAAGAAUCUCGUAUGCUGUAGGUAACAUGUCAUAAGCCAAGAGUAUAACAAAAAAUUUAGAGUUUUCAUUAGAAAUGUGCUCACUAAUACUAUUAAAUAUGCAAAAUACAUUAUUUAAGAAGUACAAAUGCAAGCUUUUAAAUAAGAACUUCUGUGCAUUUUACAGUGUUGUUUAUUUCUAAAUUCACAUUUUAAAUACACUAACUUUCGCCAAAAAAAAAAAAAAAGAUUAAUGUAUUUUAUGGGAUGGAAAGAGACUAACGAGAUUAUUGCACAAGAUGAGAAUGAUCAGGACUGAGGUCUUCAAAGAAGUUGUCUCUGUAAUGGGCCGAUAAUUUUAUAUCCAAACCUUUGAGGCGAUUAAGCUAGGUGCAAUUAGUACUAAUGAUGGUGAUAUCUUCUGGCCCAAUGUGAGAUUAGAAUGUCAGCUAAGCAAUUGCAUCAUUCACUAAUUAUCAUAACUUUGCAGUUAAUAAUGGCAAAAAAGUCUGGUUAAAAGUCAUAAAUACACGGUUAAUAACGGCCAACAAAUCCAGUCAAUGAAGGCACAAUAUCCGUAUGAAUAUCCAAGUUUGUACUCUUUGUUGCAGUACAUAUUCUAAUAACUGUUUGCUUCCUCUCAUUAUUAGUCCUUGGGGUUGGGGGGGAAAAACUCUAUGGUCUCACUUGAAUUAUCCAUAGAUUUUCCUAAUUUCUUUGUUUUAAUAUCUCAUUAUUAGUCCUUGUUGCAAUGCACAUCUUUUGGCUAAAUUUGUCCUUUGUCUCUUAAUUGAUUUCUUGAAGCAAUUUAUGAUAUAUGAAGCAAUCGCUAAUGUUUAGGGAAUGAAAUAGGAUGACCAAGAUAAAGGUGUUUGCUCAUACAUUAUCGUGCUCUCCUCAAAGUAAAAGUGAGCAAAUGGCUGAGCAGAUCACCUCGACCAGGAUGUUAUUGGUCACCUCGACCAGAAUUUUAUUAGUCACCUCGACCAGAAUAAUAUGUGGUAAUCUCGAGCAUUUCAUCUCGACCAGGAUGUUUUUGGUCACCUCGACCAGAAUAAUAUGUGGUGACCUCGAACACAUCACCUUGACUAGGAUGUUAUUGGUCACCUCGACCAGAAUAAUAUGUGGCGACCUCGACCACAUCACCUUGACCAGGAAGUUACCAGGAAGCACAACUCAGUCAAAAUAUUUUCUCUGAAAUAUUAGGGACCAUAUUCUUAGUGGGUUGAAAAUUAGUAGUUUUCUUGAGAAUUAUAGGGGAGAUGAUAAAAACCGCUAUAAUUUCCUAUUAAACCCUGGGAAGAGGAAGGAAAGGGGAUUCUUCUUCUUUUUUUUCUCUCUCUGGGCAACUGAACCCAUUGGACCUUUUUCUCUCUCUACCACUGGGAAAUUUCUAUUUCGCUUAUGAUUUCUUUAAGAUUAAUUAUUUUCAAUUAUUUCCUUUAAAUUUACUUAAAAGCUUUUUUGUUUAAAGCAAUCAUAAUUAAGCCACAUGAAUUGUGGUAUGGGUUUUUCCAAGUAAGACCCAAAUCGCUAACUUGAGCGUCGGAGGGUUCUCGCCGGAAAAACUUUCAGCGCCUCCUAACUGUUGGCUGUGCUCACAGGCUCACAGGUUAUCUGCUCAUGGAUCGUCUGCUCAUGAAUUGUCUGCUCAUGGGUUGUCUGCUCAUGGAACAUCUACUCAUAGAAAAUCUGCUCAUGGUGCUAACAAAUCAGCGGCUUCCCACCAAACAAAUUUAAUGUUGAUGCAGGGAUCUGAGAUUUGACCAACUCAUCCGGAUUUCGACAUCAACAGCUAACAAAAUGAAUUAAUGUUCUGCUUUGCACCCACUGCCAUUCAUUAUCAAGCACCCACACCUAUAUAAAAGCAUGUAAUCAUAUAUAUUCACUCCAUAGACUUUAAUUGUAAACAUCUGAAGCAGUUGGGGGUUCAUAAUCAUGACCAUCUUAAGCCUGAAUGCGACAAGGUCUUCUAAUUGAUUUUCUAAAAUACAAUAUCACCUUGAUUGUAAGGGGAAUCAUGUGCCCAAGAAAUAGAGUUCCCCCCAAUGCAAAACCAUACGUAAGAUAAAAUAUAUGGAGCAGAUGGAAGCAAUGAAACGUAUAUGGUCUAGCAGGAAAUCUAUAGAGGCCAUGUAAGUCAUUGCCAUAGCUGUGAUUACUACCCACAUUGUCCCCAUUAAAAACGACACAAGAAUCCUACGCUUCUGUAGUGGCAAGCCGCUUAUGAGCAGUAGUAAAAUGCUCAGAGAACCCAGAAAACCAGUGGUAUUGAACAAUAAAAAGCAGGUGUAACGAUGUGUAGUUGCUGAUGUCGGCAAGAAGAAGAAGAAGUGUCAUGCCAAGGACUAUUGAGGAGGGUCCUCACCAGCUUGGAAAGCCAUGCAGCAAUCAGUGAUGCCACCACCAUUAUGGCAUUUCUCAUUUUUUCCAACCAAUCAUCUUCCAGCUUUUUAGUUGAAUUUUCUAACCCUUUACCUUGUUGAUUUUGGCUUUUACUUUCAAGGGAUAUUAAGCUGUUAGUCUGUUCACUUGCUGACAAUUGAACAUCCUUUGCUCUAUAUGCCCCAGCACGUCGAAUCAACUCCCCAAUCUCCAAUCUUUUAUGUCUCUUUUGCUUUGUGCUAGUACAUCCAAUGCUGUGAAGCCAUUUGCAUUAAGAGCAUUCGCAUCUAUGAUAACUAGUUGUCAAAACCUUAUGACCCGCAUAUUUGAUUAUUAGUAUGUGAUAAAAAGAAAGCAUAAAUUUCAAUUUACAUACGCCCACCUAGAAUGACAAUAUUCAACUAACUCCACAAGGAUCAGAAAACAUAACUUUACUCCAUUCGUCGUUAAGAAGAUAAAAAGAAUUUCAUCAAUACGCUCUCAUUUUGCUCUCACCUUUGAAAAUGAAAAUGGUAGUAAAUUGAUAAUUUCAUAUCUUGCAAGUAAAUAAAAGAUUGUCAUUUUAGUUGGCGUAAAUUAAACUAUACCCAAAUACAAAUGUUCAUUAAAAUAAAUGAGUGCCUAUUAUGUGAUCUGCAUUAGAUUUCUAAACUUGUUAUUUGAAAAGCAAGCCAAAAUUGACCUUCUAAAGCAAUUCUUGCUUGCUACAAAUCAAAUUAUUCGGAACUGGUAGAGAUAAUUUAACUCAUUAGAAAAACUCUUAAGAUUGUGAUUGAUUUGAACUUGGAAGAUUUUUCACCUUUAAGUAUAUUUAUUUAUUUAGCAGCAGAAACAAAUUAUGCACUUUACAAUUGUGAAUAAAACAGUACCUCAAUUUGUUUACCUGCAACUGCGAGCUGCAAGAUAGUCAUGCCAUAUCAUCGUCAGCAUUCAAAAAUUGAGGAUCAUCUAUAUUAUCCAUAAAAAAUUUCAGUGCAUCCAGCUGAUUGUGUAUCACACACAGAUGUAAGAUGGUCUCACUCCAAUCGUGGUGGCUGAAGCUGCAAGCAGUCUGGUUCUGAAAAACUCUUCUAAGACAUCAAUCCGUCCUUUCAUGGCUGCCAAAUGAAGAGGGUUUCUUCCAUCCAGAAACACAAGGCAGGAUUAACUGGUAAAAGUGCUUUUAUCUUGUUAACAUGACCCUUUUGAGUUGCUAUGUGAAGUGUUGAAUAUUGAUUUGAGUUUAACUCUCCAGCAUGCUCUGGCUAUUGGCAUAUAAUGUCCUUCUCAAAAUCCACAUGCCCAAGCAAUGCUGCCGCAUGCAAAGGAGACUCAGAGAGACAAUUCACCCCAACUCUGUCUAUGAUUAAUUGAUCCUGUUGAAGUAAUUCUAACAAGGUAGGCACACUCCCUUUUAAUGUUGCUUCAUAAAGCAUACUUUUCAUUGUUUCCAUAUCCGGUGCUAUUGAUCUUUGAUGUCUGGGAAAUUUUGCUUGCAAAAAUCAAACGUAUAAACUAUAGAUUAAUUAAAGACCAGCAGCUCGACAUUCAUACAUACAGAGCCUUGAGUAGACUUUAAAUAAAGUAAAAAGUUGUGUCCAAUUUUUCAAAGCAUAAAAUCUAUUUCAUUCUUAAUUUCCAUCCUAUGGACCUGCACUGUUUGAUAUUUUGAUGUGUUUGAAAUUUUGCUUGUAGAAAUAUUAGACCUGCCUCUUGAAUUUUUUAUACAUAUAGGAUCCUAAUGCAUGGGGUUCGGGUAAAAUGUCGAAGAGCUGAUCAAUUUUUUUUUAAAAAAAUCAAAUUGUUUGUGGUGAUGUACAAAUUUCUUUGAAAGAGUUUAGGAAAGUGACAACUUUUUUCAAUUCUCAGAAUUUACAGUCCUUAUAUUCAUCAUCUCAUUAACUAGUCAACAAUUAUUAUUAAAAUUUCAUUAUUGUUGUUAAAUGACAAUUAGUUGUGUGAAGUGCCUCAUUACUCUGUUUUUGUCUACUCAUCCUCGACACUGAUAACCACAUCCCAAUGUUCUUAGUACCUUGCCAUCGUCGUUGGCGUGGUGCUAUACCAGUUUCCAGCAAACGUAGGCAACCAAAACAAUUCUAACUUGCGAGAAACAGUGAAAAUGUUGAUAAUCAAAACCUGAGUUAUUGUUGAGGUUUAGGUUGCCGUCAAGAAAUUCUGAUAGAAGGAAAAUCCUGGCAAUGAAGGCUGCUUGCUCCAAGCUGCAGCUAUCAAAUCCUCAAAAUUUCCAGCCGGCUAAAUGUAACUGCACAAAAUUAAACGAAAAAGAAGCUAACAUUGUUCAUCCAUUACCCUUCGCCAAACUUGUUUGAGUUGACAUAAGGACACUAGAAUUUCAUGCCUUUUAACAGUUUCAGUUCCAACCCAACAAUUAAUCAUCAAAAUUUAAACUGCAAAUCAGGUUAGAAAGAGAGAACAAUGGAGACUUGGUGAUUAAGCAUUUUUGACUUACCACCUUUGCUGAUCAUUAUCUACAGAAUACAUCUAUGAAUUCGCUGCCAACUGAUUCCAGGAGCUGGUUUCAUAUUUUUGCAUCAAUGAGUGCUAAACUCUUUAGAUUGGUUAAUGAGAUCAUCUAGCUGGGGAAAACAGCGUUGCCUCUGUAUGACUCUAUUGCUAAUUCCUUUAAAUUGAGAGGUGGUUGCAAGGCUUCAAGAAGUUGUUGAUCGUCCUCCUUCUUCCUCCAUCUUCAUCUUCCUCUGUCAAAAUUAAGUCUCAAAUCAAUGAGGUUUUUCAUUUUCUCUGGCUCUAAUCUCUUAGCCUUGCCCACAUCUGACACGUUUCACAAUCCUCUGCUCCGUCCUCCAAACAUCUGCCGCAAUUUUCAAAUGUAAAAACAUAAAUCAAUAAUGAAUCUGCAAAAUAGCUUAAACUUUCAAAUUAAUUUCAGUUUUUUGAAUUCAUAUAUAUAUAUUAGCUGUCUAUGCGCACCAAAAUAGUUUCUGGUGACAUAAUAAUAAGUGGUAUCUCUCUGCGAGUAGAUGAUUCCUGCUCAGGAUUAAAAAAGAAAAAAUUAAAAAAAAAAGGAAAACAAAAACAGAUAGAGAAAUGAACAAAAAUUGAUUCUGUCAAUUAAGAAAAAUAAAGUUAAACAGAGUUGUUGCCUCGAUUUUCUUAAAGUAGCUCGUAUCCGGUCAUUCAGGGCAUGCAGUAAUCUCUGACUAUCAAAUCCAACUCUAAAACCUGAAUCCAGUGCACAAUUGAUUAGAAUAUUGAGCCUAAUGUUUGAACUCUGAAUCCAGUUCAAAAUUCACUCACAUCAAAGCCAUUAGCGCUCCGCUCUGCUCCUCCGCUAUCAACUGCAGUAGCUGCAAAUGGAAACAUAAAAUCAGGCAAAAAAUAAUAAUUGAAGAAAGAUGGUAAGAAAAUACAGAUCUCUACAAGAAGAGAUUGUUGGCAACCUCUCAAUGACUUUUCUAUCGUUCAACUGCCGGGACAUGAACUUCUUCAGCGUCAGACGGCGAUAAAUCAAAACAGUUGAUCUCCACGAAGCGACGCCGUUUGUCGUCGUCAUCUCUUUUCUUAGUUCUCACAACAGAAAAACAAGAGAGGAUUGUUGUUCUCUUUAAAAUACUUACGUAGAAGCUACUUAAGGGUCCGAGUUGAAAAUCAGACCCCACAAUCACAAUUCACAAACUCGUAUUUACUUUCGGAGCUGGCUACGGUACAGAUUCUGUACCUUACAGACCAGGUUAGCCAGCUCCCCAAUGGUGCCAUUUGCUGACUUUGUUUCCACAUACAGGGACACGUGGAGUGCAUGGAGUGGGGGAUGUAUGUUACAGAACCUGUAACAUAGACUUCUCCUUACACUUUCGAUAUUCUUUUGUCCUCCUCUUGUAUUUAAUUUCACUUCCGAUAUUAUUUAUGUAUGCCCCAGUAAGAGAGUGACUCGUGCCUUAAAUUGCCACCUCAAAUAGAAAAACCUACACCACCGAAAAAGACCAAUAAUAAUAUGGCAAAUGCUAAGUUACAAUAAUUGUAACAUACAUUUAUCAUGUGAACCACAUAAAUUAUCGGUUCUAUAAUUUUGUAUGAUUUACAUGAGGGAUGUAUGUUACAAUUAUUGUAACUUAGAGACUCCCUAAUAAUAUAGGAUUGGCGAAGACCCAAUCUAAGCUAAGUCUACUGCAUGGGGCCAGGCCAGUAAUAUUCCUUCGGUGGCAGCCAUUGAAGGUUUAUUUAGAUGUAUUUAUCUAAAAAUUUUAAACCCCACUCGCAUACGUUUUUUUUUUUUUUUAAAAAAAAAAAGGUUCCUUGAUGCCAUCACCUAAGGCACUUAAUUCUAGGGAUCUCGACAGCAACAUUGGAGAAACUGACAAACAUAUCAACAGCAUUGCGCCACAUAUAGCCGUUGUAAUUCUAAUUUUACUGCUAAAUAAGUUUGAAUUUUGGCAGAAAGCCAAACAGGUCUCCAUGCAUAUAUUUGAACGUAAAUAUUAAGUUUUUUUUAAAAAUAAAAUAUAAUUUUUUUAAUAUAUAAUCUCAUAAAUAUUAAUAAUAUUUAUUUUUAUUUUUUAAAUUAUAAUUAUAAAUAUAAAGAGAUAUUAUAAAACAAACUUACCUAAAAUCUUAUCAUAUAUAGGAUUCUCAUUCACAAUAAAAAUUAAAAAUUAAAAAGUUUGUUUAUUAUUGGACAGCCUCUAUUUAAGCUUCGAUCAUUAAUCGAUGGACUUAAAAGGGGUGUCUUCCCUUCCAUGAUAGGAAGUGUGUUUUUAUUUAUUUAUAUAGCCUCUAUCACUUCCAUGAUCCAUCACCUAUUCAUCUGUUUCCACUUCGUGCCAUUUUCUGAUGUUUGCUGUCUGCGAGCCACCAACUGGCACAUACGUUAUUCUGACAACUACAAAGCUAUUAAUUAAACCAGAUCCUAGGGUUAAAAAUUAAGCUUUGACUGGAGUGCUAUGCCGUAAAGGAACUUGAUUCAUGUCCCCUAUUUUCAAUUAUUUUUUAUCUAGCGCGUAACGACGACGGAAUCGUCCUACCCAAUAUGAUUGGUGUUCGACGACGGAAUCAUGUCCCCUUUUGUAUCCUUUUCUAUUCAUCUUUUCAAGAGAAUUAUUCUUUCUGGAAAAGGCACACAUAAUAAUUUCCUAUAUAAACGCUCUCAUUGUACCCUUUGUUGAAUCACAAACUUGCUUCUUAAUCCAAUUCAGUGUAUUAGCAGUUAGUAAAUUAAUUAACGUUCCGAACUCUAUUAAAAGUCUCGUUGCCCCUUAUUAACUUGCCUUUUCUAGUGGAAGAGAGAUUUGCAGCAGAAAGGGUAAGCAAAGAAAUGGAAGUGCUGAGGCGUGAUCCUCGUCAAAGGUAUGGAUUAAUUCUCUUCUCUUCUCUUCUCUCAAUGAUAUAUAAGUCAUUUGCUUAAUUUCAAUAAUAUCCUUUCAGUUUCAUUAUAAAAUUUGGGUUUCAAGUGGAGAGAUAAUUGCAUUAAUUCAUAAUAGAGAAAAUGACUUUUUGCAGGUCAUACACUGUGAUUAACAUGUCCAGCAAUGUAACCCACAUGCAUCCACCAACUAUUAUUGGGUAAGCAACUACUUUCAUUAUAUAAUUUAAAUUAUUUUCAGUAUUAUAUAUUUAAGUUAUUUUUUAUGUAUAUAUAUGUGUGUGUAUAUAAAAUAUCCUUUGGCUAUUAUGUAUAACAGUGAAAAUAAUUUAAAUUAUAGACUUAUUUUCACUAUUAGAAUCAGAGACUUAUUUUAUAAUAUCCAUAAUUUGCUUAAUUUAAAUUAUUUUCACCAUUAGAUAUUUUCACUUGUUUGUAUGUAUAUAUGAUGCAACACGGUAAUAUAAAGUCAUGAUUUGUUCAUCUUGCACCAAAAUUAUGCAAAUUAAGGCGGGGGUGAUCUGGGUUGGGCUUGGCACAAGCCAUAGCUUUGUGAUCCAGGCUUUAGGCCAUAGCCUAAGAUGAUAUUUAUAACAGACAAUAUAACAUAUUCCUCAUCAUUUAUAUUACUUUGAUGUAAAACUUUGUUAUCAAAUUAAGUAAUUAUAUCUUAUUUUGAUGGUUUUGCAGUGUGCAAAAUUCCUCAUCACCAUCGGCACCGUACCACGCACUCUUUGUAUUUCUAAUUCCAUUGCUUGUCGGAGUUAUUGAUAUUAAUAAUGUUCAAGAAAAAAAUAAAUCCUUGAUCGAAACACACCCGAUAAAUAUGUGCCCAUUUCUGUUAGCUCUACUCAUCUACGUCUUUGCAUAUUUUGCUGCCAUAAUAUCGGAGCGUCAAAUCUUCAAGGCGGCUGCUAUGAUCUCAGGAUCUCUUUGCUCAGUCUCAUUGGUCUCCAUUAUCCUACCACACCCAUAUGGACAUUUUAGUUUCAUCAUAUGGACUUUUCUUCUUCUUCUUGUUGCUUAUCACAAGAGGCUUCAUAAGAAGAUUUGGGAAAUUUGGAAUAGAUUUGGAGGAAACAACCAACAAUUAUUGCCAAUGUAGACCUGUUUGGGAUUGUAGUUUAGAAGUUAUAAUACUAAAUGUGUGUUUGGAUAUCAGAAUAAUGUGGUAGUAUAACACUAUUCACAUUAAGUUAUUAUCAAGGGGAUGUUUGGUAAAACUUGGGACCUCAUUGUGGUGUGUUAUAAUGCACCACAAUGACCCAUUUAGCUGCAUUACACAAAUUUAGGGUUAGGGUUUCUAGAUUAGGAGUCCAUAAUUCCCAAAAUUGAUCAUUCUAUAUUUUUUAUUUUAUUCACGAUCAUACCAUUUGUCAUGAAAUAAUACUUAUUGUGAUGAUUUUUAAAAUCAUAGCCAAUUAUUUCGUUCUAGCUCAUGUUAUAUUUUGUAACCAAGAAUAUUUGUUUUAGGACCCAUUAAAUAGUCACCAACUCAAAUGUUUUGCGACCAACAUCGACCAACAUAAAAGGAAACUCUCAUAAUAUAUUUUGCUUGAACCAAAAUGAGAUCAAAACAAGAGAUGUUCAGGCUAUUCAUUUCUUUUGAUUUAUCACUUAUCUACAGAGUAUAAAUAAAAAUACAACAUUUAAAAAAUAAAACAAUGAAAAGAAAUUACCAUUUGGCUGAGGAGUAUAUGCUGUUUCAUGAUCAAUUUUUCUUUUUCUCGCUUGUCUAGGCUGGUAAUACACUGAUACUACAUAAAUCAAUAAACUACCUUUACGAAGGUAAAUGCAUAAAUCAAUUAAGCUUUUUUUUUUAAAUUCAAUUUUUAACCAACAAAAUGUUUAGUAAACGCUAGAAGUGAAAUCCGAAUUUUUAAUUAAUUAUUAUAUGCGAUAUUAAUAGUUUUUUCUUAAUCUCAAAUUUGUCAAAAUUUGUUUGAAGCAGUGAUUUAUAUAUGUAACAGUAAGAGAGCGACACAUGCCGUAAAUUGCCAUCCUAAAUAGAAAAACCUACACCACCUAAAACGGCCAAUAAUAAUAUAGCAUUUCCGAAGACUUGAUAUAAGCUAAGUCUACUGCAAGAGGCCAGGUCAGUAAUAUUCCUUCGGUGGUCUGGUAGUCCAUUGAAGGAGAAAUGUGACUGCUCAUAGAUUAGUUAAAUGUACAUGCUGUUAGCAAACCCAACCGUGUAAAUUGGUUGGCGUAAAUUCCAACUCAUGUACAUCUUUUCAUUUUAAGUGUUUAAUAGAAGUUUUUAAUUUUUUUUUUCAAAAAAAAAAAAAAUCCUUCAUAACUAUUUAUCAAACGUAUAGUAUUGAGAUCCACAUGGACUUAUUAUUACACAAAUACCCAUACUUUAGGACCAAAAGAAAUUAGAAGUAUGAAAAAUUGGGCAUUUUCUAUUGCUUUAUUAUUAAUAGUUUGUUGUGCGUGUAUUUAGUGACAAAUUGGUUGACAGUUGUCUUAUGCAUAUUUGAUGAAAAAAGCACUAAUAAAAUAAUGUUUGUUAGUUACUCAUCUCUAUUUAUCUUAUUUUGAAACAUUUUCGAUAAAAACAAGUUUUGAUAGAAGACAUAUAAGCCAUUGGUUGACCUUUAUUAUUCAUCUAAACGAUUACUCCACCGGUCAAGUCAUUGAGAUCAACCAAUGUUAUAUACAGGCACUGAUCUGUUAUAUAUAAUCCUAAAAUUUCCUAUGUUGUAGGUAAGAUGUAUAAGUCAAAAGUAUAACAAAAAAAUUUAGAGUUUUCAACAGAGAAUAAAAGCGUUAUAAAUAACAGCGAUUGUACUAUAUUUAUUCUCGCUAAUAUUUUUAAAUAUACAAGACAUAUAAUUCAAUAAGUACAUAUUAAAGUUUUUAAAUACAAAUGACUGUGUAUUUUAUAGUGUUGUUUAGUUUGAAACUCACAUUUUAAAAUAUACAAACUUUCGUACAAAAGAGAAUGAUUAAUGUAUUUUAUGAAUGAAUGCAUGAUAUCUUGUAUGAAAAUCCAAGUGUACUCCUUGUUGCAGUAUGCAUUCUAAUAACUAUUUGCUUUUUCUCAUUAUUAGUCCCUCAACAAAAAAAUCUCUAUGAUCUCAAUUAAAUUAUCAAUGUAUUUUACAAACCUAUGUAGAAGCAUGUAGCUUGAUAUCCACCAAUUAGUUAUAUAUUCACUCCAAAGAGAUUUAAACAUUUGAAGCAAUUGAGGGUUGAUCGUCAAGACUACCUUGAGCCUAAAUGUAACAAGGUCUUCUAAUUGAUUUUUUUUUUUUAAAUACAUCAUCAUCUUGACUGUAAGGAGAAUCAUGUACCCAAGAAAUAGAUUCCUUCCAAUGCUAAAUCAUAUGUAAGAUAAAAUAUAUGGAGCAGAUGGAAGCAAUGAAACAUGGUCUAGCAGGAAAUCUAUAGAGAACGGGUUAAACAUGUUUUUGAUUUUGUAACUGUUAAAAGUAAUCUGGACUAUGUGUUUUGUAGUUUAUUUUUUGAAUCCAGCCUACCGGCGGGGCGGGGGCACCAACUCUUAAGUCCCUAACCAAACUCUGUUUUGGCUGCUAGUCCACAUGAGCUAGGUAAUUACAAAAGCACCCGUCAAUUGAAGCUUUUUAAGACAUACAUUAUUAAUGAUUAAAUUUAAAUUAUUUCAUGGACGGUUAUCAUAGAAUUAAUUUGAUUCUAAUAUAACCAUUGUCCUAAUAAACUAAAUCAAUAUCAAUGAAGAACCUUUCCUCGGCAAUAAUAUUUACAAAAUCCCAUGGAACUCCUUAGGCUGCUAUGACUUAGAAAAAUUCAACAGCAUCAUGUCAAUUAACAAGAAUCCAUUUAUUAGCCAACGUCUGUCAUCUCUGUUUUCUUUACAUUUAUUUGUGCAUUGGAAUAUAAAAAAAAAAAAAAAAAAUUCGGAUUGGUUUAAAAUUAUUAUGUUAAUAAAAUAAAAUUGGGCUUGGGCUUUUCAAGUUACAAGUGUGAACUUGCAUUAAUUGCACACAACAAUUUCACAGAAAAUGAUAAACCGUUACAAGUUUUUUUGCACUAUCUUCAUAAAUUCAUUUUGGAUUUUUCCUUCCUUUUGUUAAUAUAACCAGAUUCGCUUAAAUGUCUCAAUUAUGUUAUUAAAAGGUUUUUUAGAAUUUUCUUUCCAACAAACUCUUUAAAUACUUUCUUAUAUAUGAUAACUCUCUGUAUUUUCGUUUGUGGUUUGAUUACAGUCCAAAAUUUAGAAAAAGAAAAAAAUGGAGAACAUAAAGGCUGCAUCAAUGGUGAUGUUUAUAGUCAUAAUGUUAUGUUUUUCAUCAAACAGACCUGGAGUAGAGGGGGUUAGAGGAGAAGAAAAUGAUCUGAUUGAGGCUAUUUGCAAAAAGACCUCGUACCCAGAUGUAUGUAUCAAGACUUUAAGGUCAAGUCCUGGUAGCUCUGGUGCGGAUGUCAAAGGUCUAGCUCACAUCAUAGUUGAAUCGGCAUCAACAUACUCUAAUGAUACGUAUGAACAAAUCAAGAAGUUGCUUAAGGAAACCAAAGAUAAGGCUAUGAGAACUGUCUCGAUGUUUGCUUUCAAGUUUACGAUCUAACUAUCCAUGACAUCCCCAAGGCUAUAAAAUAUCUGGAGAGUGGUGAUUAUGACUCUGCCACAGAGUAUGCAAAUGAUGGAAUAAUUGACAGUGAUACUUGUGAAAGUUCUUUUAAGGAAUUUCCAGAAAUUCCGAAGUCGCCACUUACUGAUAGAAAUAAUGGUUUGACUGAGCUUUGUGUAAUUGCUUUGGAUAUGAUCAACUUGUUAAAAUGAUAAUCUUAGGUGUUAUCCAAAAUAAAUAAAUAAAUCAAGAAUUCUAUUGCUAUUCUAUCAUGUCGAAUGCGUACAUUAUUAGCAAUUUUUAUGUUGAUAUGUCACUUGAGUUCAAAUUUUAAAAGGUAAGGCGUUAAUAAGAAAUUGAUAUGGGUUUUGCUAAAAGACUAAAAAAAUUAAAAUUUUUGUUCAUAGAGGUGGGGAUGGGUUGUGUUUAAUGAGGUUUAUAAAAAUCGAACUCAACUCACUAUUGCUGGAAUGAGAAAAAAUCAAUCUGAUGAGUAUUAAAAAUUGUUUAAUUAUCAAGCAACAAUAAUGUUAUUUUGUACUUAUAUUAUAAUUUAUAUUUCUUUUUAUCUAAUAUAUUAGGAAUUAUUAAUUAUGUCUUAACUAUAUUUAAAUUUGUGUAUUUAUGUGUGUUUUAUUAGGUAAAAUAUUAAUUUCACGUAAUUCGAGACUCCAAACAUAUAAACAUAUAUAAAUUUGGAUUCCGAAGGUCCAAAAAUCUUAAGAUGAGUCAAGACCGGCUUAAAAUUGAGCUUGUGCAAAAAAAAUUUACUUUUUUGUUAACCGAGUACUGAUUGAAUGAUAAAAUGAGCUUACAAUAGAUAUGAGUGCAUGGGAUAGAUGGCAAAUUUGACUAAAUCUCAACCGUUCAUGAUUCAAUGGCCACGAUUGUGCCACGUGGCAAUGUUUGUGAAGCAAGUUAUAGGAUCCGAAUUUUUGUAUUCGGGUCAACCUGAUCCAACCAUUAACUCCCAAAAUCUCAACCGUUCUUUGACCAAAUCGGAUGCUUCACAAGAUACCACAUAUAAUGUUGACUUUUGAAGUUUGAGCAGCUGUUGGAUCUUGAUCUAAUGGUUGUGAGGAGCGCAUGCAUGAAGCUUACGAUAGACUGCAAAGCACUGAAUUAUAAAUUUAUUUUUCUAUAAAUGGAGCCUCAUUUUUAUGUUUUUGAUCAUCUCUUAUUCCUUUCAAUUAUUAGUAAUUUAAUUUUAAUAAUUAUUUUUAUUUCAAUUAUGUUUAGCUAAAAAAUAAUAGUUAGGGUAAUUAAGGUGAACUCUUAGGAAAUAAAUAUGAUUUAAUCAAAUUCAAAUUUUUAUUAUGUAAAUUUAAUUAUUUUCUAUUUAAUUUUAUACAUAUUUUAUAUUUUAAAAUUUUGAUUUAUUGUAGACAAAUUGAUGUAGGAAGUUAAUUUAUGUUAUUUUAGGUAAUUUAGGAUUAUAGAAUAUUUAUUAUUUUAGGAUUUUCUAUUUUAAUUUAAGUCAAUUAUGGUAUGUAUCUUAGUUUUUUGUUUCCAUUAUAAUUGUGAUUUAGUCAAUUAUGGGGGGAGGUGUAGCGGAAACGGGAUUGAUUGGAUAGAAAAUGCUAGAUAUCGUUUUAGUAUUGGACCAAGCCAACACGAUUAGCUUUACACUCUAAUCGAAGCGUGAUUAGAUAUCGUUCUAACCAGGACGACUGAAUGAGAUUUUUAAUAACACAUACAGCGAGAUUAGAUGACGCUCUAAUCCAAACGAUAAUAUAAGAGAGAUUUUGAUAGAUAAUCCCAAAGGAAAUUAUAAAAGGGGAGUUUUAUUGAAUAAUUAAAUCUGAACUUCUCAAAAAAAUAACAAGACCUCUCUAUUUAUAAUAGAGGAAACCCACUUUCCUAAGUUAACGUAAAACAGGAAACUAAAUCAUAAUUAUAAUGGAAAUAAAAGACUAAGAUAAAUACCAUAAUUGACUCAAAAUAAAAUAGAAAAUCCUAAAAUAAUAUAUAUUCUAUAAUCCUAAAUUACCUAAAAUAACGUAAAUUAACUUACUACACCAAAAGUUUUAGGUGUAAACUGGGCACCAGUCGUUGGUAUCAUGGUUUUUGUAGAUGUGUUGAUUUUCUUGAACCUUGUCAAAGCAAAGGUGAUUGCACUGAAAGAUGUCCUCAAAAAUGCCCUGAAAAAACUUUUCUAGUAACUGCCAUUGCAUUUGUAAUUAAUUCUUUGAGCUUGAAAAUAACUUAAGAUGCUAAUUUAACCAUCUAUAAAAUGCAAUAAAUUUCAUAUGCGAUUUAUUUUUUUUAAAAAAAAAAACUUUGGCCACGAUUUCUAGAAAUAUUGCUUUUGAUAAUUAAGAAGAAAAGAAGUAUUGCAUGCAUAAGAGUCUCUAAAAAUAAAUGUGUUAAAACUAGUAGUUUGGAGGCCUAAUUUCAUAUAAUCCAACUAAAAUUUAGCCCAAAAGUUUACACCAAAGUUAUGGAGAGUCCUACUUCAAAAUUGAGAGAAACUCCACUUUUAAAUCAGAAGACUCAAAUCUUCCACCUGAAAAUGAGGUAAACAGGCAUAAAUCACUUCGCCAAAGAGUGGUUGACAUGAGAAAGUGACAUAGUACUUAUCUCCCAGAGACGAAUUGCAUCCAUAUACAUUAAUACUAUAAAAAAACCGUGCUAUAUAUUUCUGGCAAUGCAUUGAUCUUAUCUUGGUUUAGCAGUGAAAGUGAAAUUUUCUGAUGGAAAGUAAUAGGGAAUAGAAUAUUAAAGGAUCAUAUUUAAUUGAGAAUGAUGAUUGUUGAGUGUUAGAAAAUGCAUAUUUAUAAAGGAGAAAACCGUCAUUUUACAUUUCAAGUCUUAUUAACAACCCUUACUUUUAUGUAUUCAACCUUCUUGUGAUUUAAUUAUAUGUGUUUUAUUUUAAUUAAGUAUUUUAUGUAUUUUAGGGGCAUUAUAGUCAUUUCACAAUAAAGGAGAGAUCAGAUGGCAAAACGGACAUCACUUUUGAACUCAGGACGGUCGAAAACCUUAGGAGGGGCAUAAAAGAAAAAAUGGCACUAUUCACAUGUACGGUACUAUUCACGUAUACGGUACUGUAUAUGUUACUGUUCACGGCACUGUUCACAUAGACGGAUCGAUGACGUGGCAUUGACCGAUGAUGUGGCAUUGACUGAUGAGGUGUCACGAUCCUGUUGGACUAAAAUUCUUAUGUACUGUUGAUGGUGACGUGGCAGCAUAUCAGUGGACGAAAAAUCUCGCGUACGGUGCAUGCAUCACACAGGAUUAUUUUCAACCAAACCGCGUUACUGUUCAUCCGGGUCAAACCGUGUUACUGUUCAUCCGCGUGGUCAAACCGUGGACUGUUGACUGAUGACGUGGCGCAAUCCUGAGCGUCCAAACUGUUUUUAAUCCGAUGGCCAUGAUUUACUCCAUGUAUCUAUAAAAAGGGGGCCUUCCCCCCCUAAUUUGAUCUCUCUGAAUCCAUUUUUGGGAUCCAUUUUCUGUAAUUCCUUCUCCAUCUUGUAUUUUCUUUGUAUUUUAAUAAAUUCCCAUUUUGCCCCUAGUUCAAUUAUGAGUGGCUAAUUUUCUUUCAAGCUUGGGUUGAAGGUGAAGUCUCAACAUGUGUCAUGGGCUUAAUUUGGUAAAUUUAUUUUCUCUUCCCCUCUAGUUUUUGUGGAUGUUUUGACUUAUCGUCGACAAAUAAUACUGAUCUUGUCUAGAUACCGCCUUGGUUACACCGGCUCUCUAGUAUAAGGUUAUUAUUAUUUGGCACGAUAAGCCCUUAGCACCAUAUUGAUUAGAGCGUGGUUCAUGAGGUGUGGAUUCCCCCCUCAUGAUUUAAUUGGCAUUAAUACGGAUUAUUUAGCCCAUGAUGCAUGUUGAUACGGAUCCAGAUACCCAAGUACGUCAUUUUAAUAGAAUUCUCUUUAAUUUUAUUCUCGCAAUUACAAUUCCAAUUUUAGAAGUUAUUCUCGCCAUUUUAAUUUAAGUUUUAGCAUAUUCCAAAUCAUUUCCACCACAAAUCCAACCACCAAUUUACAAAAUUAAUUCUAUACACAAUUAAAAUCCACCUCCUCGUGGGAUCGACACUCGUCACCAUUGAUCUAUACUACAAUAGAUUCGUGCGCUUGCGAGUACAUUAAAAUUUGCACAACAAUGAUGUCAUGAAAAUAUAUUAUCUUAUUUAUGUUCUUUGAGAUGUUAUUAAUCAUUUAACUUUUAUAUUUUUACCCUUAAUUUGUAAGGGUACAAAUAUAAAAAUAUUAGUUUUCAUUUUUUAAAUUUAAAAAACGAACAACUUCAUAUUUAUUUUUAGCGAUUCAGAAAAAAAAAAUAUGAACAUGCUAUUCAGAUUCAGAUAUUCAGCUCUAUUCAGAUUUCAAAUAAAAAAACAAACGCCAUCCAAGUAUUUUGAUGAAUUGUGAGAGGGAAUUAAUUAGUUUCAGACAACCACAUGGGAUUUUAAUCAUUUUCCCCUCUAAAUGACACGUAUCUCAAAAGGUAGUGUAUAGGUUGUCCGUGUUCUAUGAUUUAUUACCGAUGUACAAAGUAUAAAUAAAAAUAUAACUCUUCAAAAAAUAAAAUUGUUCGAGUUGGAUUUUUCUGAUAGUGACUAGAAAUAUAGUCGACCCCAAUCUACUCAGAACUUAUUGCUGUUGACCUGACCUCAUUAGUACAACUGGAGCCUAUGUUGGCGACCUGAUUUACAAGUACGACCUGAGGUUUAUAUGAAUGACGUGGUUUAAGAAUACAACCUUAAGCCUCUAUGAGCGACCGGGAGAUUCACCAGUCCAAUCUAGAAGUGAAGUAAUCCGACCUCGAAAUUCAUUGGUCCAACCCGAGAAUUAGCUUAACAUGAAAAUUAUUGGUUAAGAUAACGUGGCCUAAUUUCUAGGAAAGUUGUGUGCCAUGAUUUAUUUAAACCACUUCCUACUAACAACUGCUUGAAACUGCUGAGCAAAGUGGGCUUAAACUAAGGAGAUAACCUCCCAUAACCAAGAGCCUAUUUAAGCUGAAGAGGGCAACAGAGGAAUGAGUUAGAAAAAUCAACCAAAAUAUUCUACAAGCCACCCAUUUAAAAGCCUUAACAUUCCCUACAAGAUUUUCAACUCCUCUACCAGAAAAAUUCCUUGAUUUUAACUUUUCACAAUUCUUCUUUCUCAUUCUUCCUCCUCUUAUACACAAUUUCUAACUUAUGUAUCAGAGGGUCUACGCCGGAACCCCACCGAUAUAUCCUAACCGUGUUUUCUGGUUGGUAGGUAUAUAAAGUUACGAUCACACCGAUGUUUGAGCUUGGAUUCGUGUUGUUAUCCCAUAAAGAAAACAAAUUCAGUUAUUGAGGUGUUGGCGUCGUCUGUGGGUAACGGUGCAAAAAGCCAUACAUUUUAGGAUUUAAAGGGAGAAGACUAUCAGAUUAGAAAAUUGCAAUGGAUGAUGACCGAGAUAGGCAGACCUUGUGCCAAUUGGCGGAGGAAAUAAAUGCCAUUGCAGAUAAGAGAUGGAAAGUAGGGAUCGAGAGGCAAAUGGCAAGCUUUGAGGAGAUGAUCAAGGGGUUGGUUGAUUCUCAAGUCAGAGGGGCUCAAAUUCGAAAUAGUGAUCCAGAGAGUAGGGGGGAAGAGAAAGAAAAGAGCUUGGUGGUGAACACCAGAGUGGGAUGAGGCUACCUCAAGUUGGGGUACGAUAGAAUAAUAGAAGUGCAGUAGAACAAGUGAAUGAGUUGAGGGGGAGAAUCAAUGACCUGAAUAAUGAAAGGGAAAGGGAAGAGCUGAGAGACCCCCAAUAGGCAAAUGAGCUUGAGCAGCGAAUGCUGCAAUUUCAAAAAACUCUAGAGGCAUUAGAGGUGAAAACGGAGGGCUAAAACGUGGUAGAAAGGUUUUUACUUGAUGACGAGUCCCCCCUUGGUACCUGAAGAGAUGGCGGUAACUUUGCCACCCAAGUAUGUGGUUCCAGCCUUAGUGUAUUAAGAAAAAACUGACCCGAAUCAUCAUGUGGAGAAGUUUAAUGAGAUGACCGGGAUUCAAGGUUUGAAUGAUUUUCAAAGGUGCCGUGUUUUUUCUUUAACUCUAGAAGGACAUGCACGGGAAUGGUACCAGAGAUUAAAGAAUGGAAGCAUAGGAAUUUCAAGGAGUUAUGUGAGCUUUUCACUAUGCAUUUUAGAGGUUCAUACAUACUAGAGUAGGAUACAAGCAAGUUGAAAAAUUUGGUCCAAGGAGAAUUUGAAAGUUUGAGGAGUUUCGUGAUCAGUAUCAUAAAAAGGUUAUCGAUCUAGGGGCCUUUGAUCAUUCAGAUGCUCUGAAAUGAUUAAAGAAGGGGUUGAGAAUCAAUCGAUUAUGGAAUAGCUUAUAUAGUAAAGGGAUAAUAACAUACGCUGAGGCAUACGACCAAGCAAAAUUAGAUACGAAAGCUGAAGAUGCAGAGGAAGAAAAAAGGAGAAUAGAAUUGCAGACAAUGGGUCCAGUGAGAAGGGGAGACCCGAGAAGAAAAUGAGAUAAUUUUGGGUAUAGCUCGAGAAUGAACACGAAUGAUAGACGUCAUUACAAUAAAGGUUGUUUAAUUACAGACGACCAGAAAGGCCGGGUCGAGAUUGGGAAAGAAAUCGUGCAAGAAGAUAAAUCUCAUUAAUAGGUAGGGACUGAGAGGGAGGAAAUAAUUAUGGGAAGAAUUAGCGGGAGAACCGAUAAGAGAGUAUAAUAGGUUGCCACCGCCUGUAGAUCGAAAAGGAUCGAGAUCUGACCAUAGGGUGAACUUAGUAGAGCAGGGCGAAAGAUACACUCCACUGAACACAGGCAAAGUAAAAAUUUAUGUUUUAAUAAAAGAUAAGGGGUUCCAAAGCCGAUUGUAGGGGGUCUAGGCAGAAGUGCUCGCCACAAGUAUUGCGAGUUUCACAAGGUGUCUGGACAUGGAACAACAGAUUGCAUAAACUUAAAAGAGCAGAUUGAGUAGCUAGUGCAAAAUCAAUAACUAAAGGAGUACGUGGAUGACCAAGGAAGUGGUGGGAGAACGGGGAACAUUAGAGAUAAUAUGGCGAUGAUGAUUAUGGGAGGGCCGACCCUAAUAAGAGACUUAAACCGUUCAAGGAGAAAUUACAUCAUAUAUUCAUUAAAAAGUUAUGAGGUGAAUUUUAAUAUUCCGGCACAAAAAAAACAGCGGGUUCAAAGGGUGCCAAUCAUGUUCACAAAUAAAGACGAGGAAGUGGUCGCACAUCCACAUGAGGAUGCACUUGUAGUGAAGGUUAUGUUGGCAGGGCAUGAGUUGAAUCGAGCUCCUGUGGAUAGGGGAAGCUCAAUCGACAUUUUAUUUAAGCAAACCUUGGAAGAUCUACAAAUAGGGGACCUCAAGUUUGAUCCUGUCAAAACACCGUUAAAGGGGUUUGGCAGAGCUGAGCUAAUUCCCCUUAGGGUGAUUGACUUAACACUAACAAUAGGGUCUAGCCCACUACAAAAGACAGUAAUAGUGACAUGGGUAAUAGUUAAUGAGCCUAGCCCUUAUCAAGUUAGUUUGGACAGACCAUUCAAUAGGAUAGUAUGAGCGGUGAGCUCAACCCACAUUGUAAAGUUUAGAGUUCAAAGUGGGGUUGGAGUGAUAAAGGGCCAGCAAUAAGCAAUUCGAAGCUGUUACGCUAUAAUAGCGAGAGAAUCCAUGCAAAUCAUAAGUAUCGACCCACAAGCUGAGACUAGAUUGUGCCAACAACGACCUAAUGAAGAAAUGAAGCAAGUGCCAGUAAGUGAGGAUGACCCGAGCAGAGUGGAAAGUGUGGGAACAAAAAUAACGGAUCACAUUUCUAAUGAGCUUCAGAAUUUAUUAGUGGAGUACAAUGAUAUAUUUUCUUGGAGUCAUGAAGAUAUGCUGGGAAUAGACCCACGAAUUAUGUGUCACCACUUGUCUAUAGAUAAAAGACAUAAGACCAUGAAGUAGAAAAGAAGAGUAUUUAACCAGGAAAGGUAUGAGGCCAUACAUGAUGAGGUAGAUAAACUGUUGAAAGCGGGGUUUAUAAAGGAAGUGAAUUAUCCAGAAUGGGUUUCGAAUAUGGUAAUGGUUAAGAAGGCGAAUGAAAAAUGAAGGAUGUGUGUAUACUUUACCGACCUUAACAAAGCUUGUCCUAAAGUAGUUUCAUUCUCUCAAAGAUUGAUCAGUUAGUGGAUUUAACAGCUGGGCACGGCUUGAUGAGUUCUAUGGAUGCACUCUCAAGAUACAACCAGAUUCGCAUGUCCGCAACAGAUGAAGAAAAGACAGCUUUUGUGCCCAACCAAGGAUUGUAUUGCUACCAUGUAAUGUCAUUCGAAUUAAAAAAUGCAAGAGCUUUUUAUCAGAGGUUGGCAAACAAGCUCUUCAAGCCUUUGAUUGGUAAAACGAUAGAAGUAUAUAUAGAUGACAUAAUAACCAAGUCUGUUGAGCUGGCCAAACGGGCAGCGCAUUUACGUGAGAUGUUUGAAGUGCUAUGAAAGAAUCAAAUGAAGUUGAAUCUAGAAAAGUGUGCCUUUAGAGUGGAGUUGGGGAAGUUUUUAGGCUUAUUGGUUAGUCAAAGGGGGAUAGAAGCUAAUCUAGAAAAAGUAGAGGUGAUCAUCAACAUAAGAUCACCGAAGGACCUUAAAGAUGUUCAGAAUCGUGCUGAGCGGGUUCAUUUCAAAAGCAUCAGAUAAAUGCCAUUCAUUUUUUAAAUUGAUCAAGAAAGGAAAAAGAUUGAAGUGGUUAGAAGAAUGUGAAACAACAUUUUAACAAAUGAAGGCGUAUUUGGCCAAUGUACCAAUUCUAGCUAAGCCCUCAGUAGGUGAUGCUCUCUUGCUCUACUUGACGGUCUUAAAUUAUUCAACUACCUCGGUUUUGGUAAAAGAAAAAGGUAGAGUCCAACGUCCGGUAUACUAUACGAGCAGAUCUCUUACAGGGGCGGAAGUAAGAUAUCUUAUUGCGGAAAAGUGGGCGAUGGCUUUAGUUGUAGUCGCAAGAAAGCUGAGGCUAUAUUUCUAAGCUUAUGAGAUUGUGGUUGUCACCAAUCAACCUUUGAGACAAAUUUUUCACAAACAAGAUAUUUCAAGAAGGCUAAUUAAGUGGUCAGUAUAACUAAGUAAAUUCAACAUCAGUUACCGACCGAGGUCCGCAAUUAAAGCAUAGGCUCCGGUAGACUUCAUCAACGAUUAUAGUAAAGGGAGUAAAGAGAUGGAUACCGAACAGGAGACUAAAGGUGUAAAAAAAAAAGAAUGAUAUAUGGGAACUUAAUGUAGAUGGAGCUGCAAACCCAGAACGGUUAGUGGGGGAAUUGUUCUGGUUUCGCCUAACCAAGAAGAAGUGUGCUACACUCUCAAGUAUGAAUUCCAACCUAUAAACAAUGAAGCAGAAUAUGAAGCUUUCAUUACAUGUCUAAAAUUAUUAAAGGCAUUGGGGGUUCGGCAUUUGAAGGUGAAGAGUGACUCGCAACUAGUAUUGAAUUACCUGAAUGAGAUAUUUCAAGCCAAAAGUGAGAACAUGACCAAGUAUUUGAGCAAAGCACUACAACUAUGGGGUAGUUUUGAUCAAGCUACAAUGGAGCAAGUUCCGAGAGGAGAGAAUUACCGAGCAGAUUAUAUAGUAAAACUAGCAGAUACAGAAUGCCCAAAGUUUCCAUGAGAAAUCCCAUUGGAGUCGGUUUCAAAGCCAUAUAUAGCUAAUCUUGAGAUAGAAGUUUGUAUGGUAGAAUAUGAGAAGAGCCUGAUGAUGCAUAUCAUAAGGUACAUUGAAUUUGGGGAAUAACCUUAAAAUAAAGCAGAGGCAAGAAGGCUGCGAUUCCAGGCAACACGAUACUUCAUUAUCGAAGGUGUACUUUUAGGAGAGGUUAUACUUUACCUUACGUAUGAUAUUUGGGCUCGGCUGAUGCCAAUAAUAUGAUGAGGGAGGUGCACGAGGGAAUUCAUGGAGAUCACGGUGGAGGUACGACAUUGGCCCAUAAAAUAAUAAAGCAAGGUUAUUUUUAGCCAACUAUGCAUGAAGAUGAGCGAGAGUUAGUCCGAAGAUACGGUGAAUGCCAAAAGUUUGUUGUAAUUACAAGACAACCACUAGAAAACAUGAUGACAAUGGUGAACACUUAUCCAUUUGUAUAAUGGGGGGUGGAUCUUAUCGGACCUGUGCCGACCAGGAGAGGCCAAAUGAAAUACGCAAUGGUGGCUAUUGACUAUUUUACUAAGUGGAUUGAAGUUGAACCGCUUUAAAAAAUAAUGAGAAACAAACAAUAGAUUUCAUAUGGAGGAAUGUGAUUUGCAUAUAUGGCCUACCGCAAGUUAUUAUCACCAAUAAUGGAAUUCGGUUCAAUAAUGCGAAUUCAAGAAGUUUUGUGCUCAACUCGGCAUUGAGCUUUGGUUUAGUUCACAAGCUCAUCCAAAGGCAAACGAACAAGUGGAAGUGGCGACCAAAACUACAAAGCAGUUGUUGAAGAAAAGAUUGGAUGAGAAGAAGGGAGCUUGGGUGGAUGAGCUUCCAGGAGUGUUGUGGGCUUAUAGAACGAUCGCAAAGACUUCAACGGGGGAGACUGCAUUCUCACUUGCUUUCGGACAUGAGACAGUAAUCCCAACUGAGGUUGGCAUUGAGACACAUCGCACAAAAUAUUAUGAUGAGAUAGGGAACAAAUAACAGAUGUUGUUGGAUUUAUAUUUGCUUGAUGAAAAGAGAGGGGCAGCAAGAGGUCGAGCAGUAAUUUACCAGCAAAAAGUGGCUAAGUUUUACAAUAAGAAUGUUCAACUGUGACAACUUCAGGAGGGGGACCUGGUGCUCCGUAAAGUCAACCAAUCAAUCAAAAAGCCAACUGAUGAAGUUCUAAGGCCGAGCUGGGAAAGGCCAUACAAAGUACUACACUCAUUUGGUAAUGUUGCAUACAAGUUAGGUUAUCCGGAUGGCAGGGUCAUCGACAAGGCAUGACAUGCAGAGCAGCUAUGAAAAUACAAUCAAUAGGCUAAUCUUAUCAAUAUUGUUCUUGUUUGUUUUCUUUAAAUAUAAUAGGAAAGUUUGCUUUAAUAUAAUAGGAAAGUUUGCUUAUUUGUUAUUUCAAUUUGUUCAUGUUUAAUUCUGUAAUUUUUGUUAUAUUAAUAUCAAUAAAGUUAUUCAGAAGUGCAACUCUUAAUAUUUCUCUACUUGUGAUAGGUCUUAUUUGAGAUCAAGAUCUACAUUCGGGCCUUAUUGAGGUCUGACGUGAAUAAUUUAUCUAAUCUUAUUGAAAUUGAGAUCGGUUUUUGGCCUUGUUGAGGUCCGACGUGAAUCAUUUAUCCAAUCUUAUUGAGAUUGAGAUCAACUUUUGGCCUUGUUGAGGUCUAAUGUGAAUAAUUUAUCCAAUCUUAUUAAGAUUGAGAUUGACUUUUAGCCUUAUUGAGGUCCAACGUGAAACAUUUAUCCUAUUUUAUUGAGAUUGAGAUUAACAUUUAGGCCUUGUUGAAGUCCUAUGUGAAUAACUAUCCAAUCUUAUUGGAGAUUGAGAUUUACAUUUAGGCCUUAUUAAGGUCCUAUAUGAAUAAUCAUUCGGUCUUAUUUUAGAUUGAGGUCGACAUUUGGAGAGUUCUUACAUGAAUAACCAUCCUCUCGUUCGAAAAUAAGAGUUCAUAGUUGGGCAUUAUUGAGGUCCAAUGAAAAUAUGUUGACCCGGACUUACCACGAUCAAGGUAAGAAGUUAAAUUUUAGUCUUAUCAAUGUCCAACCUAAUUUAAUCAUUUGAUAUUCUCAUUUAAAUUAUUUACUCCAACGUUAGUCAGAUAGAUAUUGGUUAUUUUACAAUCAUCCUCGCUUCAUUUAGGUUGACGAAUUGUUAUAAUUCUGUUAAGUUUGAAAUUGUAGGUUGAGGUCGACACUUUAGUUUUGUGAGAUCUACGAUUGAGGUCGACGUUUCAGCUUGGUAAGAUCUAUAGCUGAGGUCGACAUUUUAGUUUUAUAAGGCUUACGGUUGAGGUCGACACUUUAGCUUUGUGAGAUAUAAGGUUGAGGUCGACAUUUUAGUUUUGUGAGACCUGCGGUUGAGGUUGACACUUUAGUUUUGUGAGAUAUACGGUUGAGGUCGAUGUUUUAACUUGGUAAGAUCUACGGCUGAGGUCGACAUUUUAGUUUUAUGAGGCCUACGAUUGAGGUUGACAUUUUAACUUUGUGAGAUCUAAGGUUGAGGUUCACAUUUUAGUUUUGCAUUGUGAGGUCUACAGUUGAAGUCAGCAUUUUAGUUUUGUGAGAUCUACGGUUAAGGUUGACAUUUUAGCUUGGCAGGAUUUACGGUUGAGGCGUACAUUUUAGCUUUAUUAGGUCUACGAUUGAGGCUGACAUUUUCGCUUGGUAGAGAUUACGGUUAAGGUUGACAUUUUAGUUUUGUGAGAUCUACGGUUGAGGUUGACAUUUUAGCUUGGUAAGAUUUGUGGUUGAGAUCGACAUUUUAGGUUUGUGAGGUUUACAGUUGAGGUCAACAUUUUAGCUUGGUAGGGCCUACGAUUGAGGUCGGUAUUUUAGUUUUAUGAGAUCUGCGGUUAAGAUUGACAUUUUAGCUUUGGUAGGAUCUACGGGUGAUAUCGAUAUUUUAGCUUUGUAAGGAUUUAUGGUUGAUGUUGACAUUGUAGCUUGAGGUCUAUGGUUGAGGUAGAUCUUUUUUCGAGGUCUAUGGUGAGGUCAACAUUUGUGCUUCUUAAGGUCGACAUUUCCAGCCUAGUUACAGUCGGCAAUAGCCUAAACAUCUUUAGUCUUGUUGUGGUCGGCAUUAGUUUUGUUAAAAAUUAGUGUGCAUGGUACAUAAUGAUUAUCCGAAUACAAAAACAAAAUGAAAGCUCCACAAUGGUUAUACAAGUUCGUAACACUACAAAAAAGCAAGCCGUAUAGCAACUUUUCAAAUACACUUAGGAAGCAUUCUCCUCGUCUUCAACAACUCUACUAGUUAAGGAUGUCUCACCCUCUACUCUAAUCUCAUCACCCUGAAGAACUCGAUUUGCUUCUUAAUCCAUACCCGAUGAUUUCUUCCUAGCCUUUUCUUUGCUCACAUAAGCAGUCAACAUCCAUUGAAAGUCCAUGUCCGAGUGUUUUUCUUGGAACAAUUUGAUGCAUGUCAAAAUGACAUCUGCCUUCAGUUGCCUUUUCUCCAAUCAAAUGCGUUGAUCAACAUCAUACUUAACUUUUUCCAACUCAUAACUAGGAUCGGCAAUCUUGGAGUCUUUGCUCGCAUUAGAUUUCUUUUUAGUUACUAAGUCUUAUGUCAAGUGAGUAUUUUCCUCGUUACGAGCAUUGAGGUCACGCUUGAGCCGAUCUUGCUCGCUUGUUGUCUUUUUGUUAGUGAGGUUGGCUUUCAUCAGAGCGCACUCGAGUUCUUCUAUUUUCGCAUGGCCUUUCAAUGACUUCGCAAAAGUCUCGAUAUGCGCAACCAUUAUCAAAGAUUGCUAGAAAAGAAAGCAUGUCAACUAUGAUGAAAAGUAUAAACAUACAUCAAAGAAAUAAAGGUUGUGAAUUAAUACCCACCUUAGCUUAGUUUCGAGCAAGCCUUCAAGAGCAUGGUAGCCGACAACUGUGAAAAAUUUUCGAGGGUAUCCUGGCUCAAAAACCGAGCAGCUAAGUUCACCAUAAGUAGUAAGUCCUCCGCUCUUCCUCGCUUUGACUCUAUGAUGUCACUGCUUUUAAGUAAGCUCCCUUUCAGACAUAUUGGGGAAGGGGUAGGUCGUAAAAUGCGCAAGGGACAAGAGUCGCUAGCUCAGUCACUUUUGCUCUGAGAUAGCACGUUGCGAGCUGAACCGCAUGUUGUUUCUCUUUUUUCUCAUUCGCCUUGUUUUUUUGCGAUGCCCAUCGUGGUUUUUUACUAUGUGGUUCGCCUUCCUCAUCCGAUAUCUCCUCGAUCAAAGCUUUUGCAAUUUCUGUAGGGGUACACUUGGCAGUAGACAUGUUUCCUACGACAAUAGCAACAACACUAAAAUUAGUGAAUUUUUGGCAUAAGACAACAAGGAUAACCACUUAGUAAAAUUUUACCUUUUGUUUUCUUUUUCUUGCUGUUAUGUGGUAGAUUGGAAAUGAGACCGCUGCUCAACAAUCUCUCGGGUGUCAACAACAGCUUUCAAUCCUCUGCAUUUAGCAAUUCUUUCUCAACUCUAGCACUUGACUUCUCACUUAUAUCAACGUUCUUCUUCCAAGCCACUCUAGUAAAAACACGUAUUAGAUUGUAUCCUUAUUUCGACCUCAACCUGAAUAAAACUUGCAUUACUUGGUCUACUAAAAUGAGUGGGAACCUUAAACCAACCCUUGGUCAGCUCUACAUCCCUACCCCAAUUACCACCCACCACAAAAUACUUGUUUUUCCAACCUCAACAUGAGCCUGGAAAGUCAAGUACUAUUCUUCUACUCUUUAAUUUUGACAUAAAAUAGUAUCAUCCUUUGUGUGAUUGAUCCCAUGUUCAUUACAUGAAUAUAAGUGAGUAAACUCCUUAAAACAAGGCUCAGUUUUGUUAUGCUCAGCCCAUACAACAUACAUACCACCUAAAAUCUUCCAGCCAUUUGGGUCAAGCUGACCAGGACUCAAACCCAUCCUUACCAACAUUCGAGCAAAGUAAGGUUAAAUAGGCUAGUUUAAACAUUUCCAUAUAAAUCAAAGUUUCUCCAUCACCAAAUCUGCUCGCCAUCUCAUCUUCGCCCUACAACCUCAUUGUAAUACUGUUGGUAAUCUGAUAUUCCUUCCUCAAUUCUUCAACCUCUUUUUCUCUGUGUAUAUAUAUAUAUAUAUAUAUAUAUAUAACGAACGAAAUAGGAAACGAGGGGCAUAUGACACUCACCAUCUAGCUCUAUUUUGGCUAAACUUCGUCAAUUUUUUUUAUUAGCACAGACGGCUGCAAUUCAACAUUUCAAUGGGCUUCGCUGUGAACAAGUGGAGAAAGUGAGUUCAUGUCACACGAGCCAAAUAUCUUGAGAAAGUGACAAACAUGCAUGUUUUUAAUAUACACACUUCAAGUCACGUGCCAUCAUUACCCUUUAUGGUUUUAUUGUUAUUAUUAUUAUUAUUUUGUUUUGUUUUGUUUUCUUCUUUCAUUUUCUUUUUCUGUUUCUUUUCUCUAUUCUUUUUGCCAAAUUUCUUCAAACUUUUAAAACUAUUAAUCUUGGCAUUAUCUCUGUUCCGCUCUACACCAUCGUUUUUCCGCUGACGGCCAUAUUGCUCUUUCUUUUUUGUUUCAGUUUCCAAUACCAUUCAUGUCUUCUCAGUAUUGAAAACUAGGGGCUGGUGUUAGGUUCACAACAAAUUUUUGUUUUUCAUUAAUUAGUUUCCAACAUUGGUAAUGGCUUCCUAGUAUUGAAAACGAGGGGACUAGGGUUCGAGUUGGAUUUUUCUGAUAGUGACUAGAAAUAUAGUCGACUCCAAUUUACCUAGAACUUAUUGUCAUUGAGCUGACCUCAUUAGUACAACCUGGAGCCUAUGUUGGCGACCUGAUUUACAAGUACAACCUGAAGUUUACGUGAAUGACCUGGUUUAAGAAUACAAUCUUAAGCUUCUAUGAGCAACUAGGAGAUUCACCAAUCCGAUCUAGAAGUGAAGUAAUCCGAACUCGAAAUUCAUUGGUCCGACCCGAGAAUUGGCUUGACAUGAAAAUUACUGGUUAAGAUAACGUGGCCUAAUUUCUAGGAAAGUUGUAUGCCACGAUUUAUUUAAACUACUUCCAACUGACAACUACUUGCAACUGCUGAGGAAAGUGGGAUUAAACUAAAGAGGUAACCACCCACAACCAAGAGCCUAUUUAAGCUGAAGAGGGCAACGGAGGAACGGGUUAGAAAAAUCAACCAAAAAAUUCUACAAGCCACCUAUUUAAAAGCCUUAACAUUCCCUACCAGAUUUUCAGCUCGUCUACCGAAAAAGUUCCCUGAUUUUAACUUUUCACAAUUCUUCCUUCUCAUUUUUCUUCCUCUUAUACACAAUUUCUGACUUAAGUAUCGGAGGGUCUAUGCCGGAACCCCACCAGUGUAUGCUAACUGUGUUUUCUAGUUGGCAAGUAUAUAAAGUUGCGAUUAGACCGAUAUUUGAGCUCGGAUUCGUGUUGUUAUCCCCUAAAGAAAGUAAAUUCAGCUGUUAAAGUCAUUUUUCGGCAUCAACAAAAACAAUGAAAAGAAAAUCACCAAUUGGCUGAGGAGUAAAUGUUGUUACGUGAUCAAUUUUUCAUUUUCUCCUUUGUCCAAGAUGGUAAUGCACUGAUUCUAAGUAACGCGUUUUUGAAUUGGGGGCGGGACCAGACCCCAACCCAGUCACUUAAAGCUCUUAAUUCUAGACCAUUAAUUAGUCAAAAGCGCCCAAAACAUUCACUUAGUAGACCUAAUAUAGUCCACAAAUAGGUUAUAGCUUUCUUAUUCUUUUUGGCGACCCAUUUAAGAUAAAAAUGACAAAGUCUGAAUUAUGUUACAAUAUGAACAACAUCAUGAAGUUAAGUCACUUUGAAAGACUUUUGACAAAGUCUGCAACAUCAUGAUUGCAGUGGAGUAUAGUAAUUUUGCACCCUCCUCUCUCCCACUAUCUGCCAUUUCAUUUCAUUUCAUUUUCAUCUCCGGAUGAUUUCUGAUAUGAGCAAAAGAUACUAUUGAUCCAUCUUCCCUUAUUUUAUUUUUUAUAUUAUUGUUUCUUCCCUCUCUCUAUUUUUUUCUUCGUUAUUUUCAAUAUGCCCACUCUUUUAUUUAUGCUUCUCCAUGUCUAAUUAUAUUUAAAUUUGCUUUUGAAGUAGAUUGUUAUUAAAGUUAUACAAACUAACGUUCAUAAGUUUGCCAAUUUUCUUAGUUCUCCUCUAUAAAUAACAUACUAUCAUCACGAAUUUUCUUAUUACUUGACUGUUGUUUAUCCAGUAUUUAGUUCUGACUUAUCCAACUUGGCUAUCUAUUUGAAGUUUAAACCAUGAGUUGCCACGUUUUUAUAUUGUUCUUGAGUGGCUAAAUAUAACGCAUGUAUGCAUAAAAAGUUUUGAGCUAAUUAAACAUAAUUUUCUAUUUUAAAAAAAAAACCGAUAUCGACCUAAAGAUAAUUUUGUAAAAAAAAAAAAGAAACUAGCCAAUUAAACUUAAUUCUCGUUAGAUAGUUAUGUUAUAUUGAUAAAUAUGAAAUAGGUAAAUAGAAGAUUCACGAGGUGUGUGAUGAUCAACAUAAAAAUAAGUUAUCAAUCUAGUUGAUAUUUUGACAUUCUAAAUGUAACCAGGGUCCAGGUACCUUGCAACAGUCGUAAGGUACCACAAAUUUUUAUCUUUUGUGAUGUCAAAUUUUAUUUAACCCCUUAUCUUCCUUUUUAUUUAUAGUUUAUUUAUAACAUUAUGUAUUUUGGCAGGUGACUUUUUAUAAUAUAAUUUUAUUUUAUUUAAUAUUAUUUACUUUUUAUUUAUAAGUUUAUGUGCUUUGGCUAGUGAUCUGUUAAAAUGUAAUUUUAUUUCAUUUAAUAUUAUUUAACUUCUAAAAGAAUAAAUAUAACAAUAAGCUUAUGACUAGAUAAUAUUAAAUAAUAUUUUUAAUAAAAUAAAAAUAUUAUAAAUAUAUUCUUUUAAAUAAAAUAAUAUUUUAUUUUUUAGGACUCACAAUUGCUUAUUCUAUUUUAUUUAAUAUUAUUUAAUUUUGAAAAAUAAAUAUAAUAAUAAGUCAUGACUAAAUAAUAUUAAAUAAAAUAAAAUAAAUUUUAUUAAAAAUAAUAUUAAUUUUUUGAGACUCAUUACUGAUUCUUUUAUUUUAUUUAACAUUAUUUAGUUUCAUGAAGGAAUAAAUAUAAUAAUAAGCCUAUGACUAUAUAACGUUAAAUAAAAUCAAAUAAAUAAUAUUAAAAAUAUUUAUUUUUAUUAAAAUAAAUAAUAUUAAAAUUUUAUCCUUUUGAAUAAAAUAAAUAAUAUUAAUUAAAAUUAUAUUUUUUUAAGACUCACAACCGAUUAUUUAUUUUAUUAAUAUUAUUUAGUUUUUUAAAGAAUAAAUAUAAUACUAAGGUGGCGUUUGUUUUUUUAUCUAAAAUCUGAAUAGACCUGAAUUAAUCUGAAUUCUGAAUAGAUCUGAAUGUCUGAAUCUGAAUAAUAUGUUUAUUUUUUUGUCUGAAUCUCGGAAAAUAAGUAUUAAGUUGUUUUCUUUUUUCAACUUAAAAAGCUGAAAAUAUGUACUUUUAUAUUUGUAUCCUUAUUAAAUUUGAAUGUCAAAUAAAUAAUAAAUUAAAUACCACAAUAUUUUAACAUUUAUAAGUAAAACUAUAUUCAAGUGAAUACAUAAUUAUUUUAGAAUUUUAAUAUAUAAAAUACCAUAAAUUUUAAAUUUUAUCGUAUAUAAUAUAAGAAAGAAAAAAUAGAGAAAUUUUUAUGUGGAGUAAAUGUCUAUGGGUGAGUUUUGGGAUAGACAUGAAAAAUAAAUUAUAAAGCAGGGAUAUUUUUGACAUUAGCAAGUAAUUGACUUAAUUCAUAUUUCUCCAUUAAGUAAAAAGCCAAAAAAAUUGGCUUAUUUUAUUAAGUCAAAAUUAUCUAAAAAGUCUCAUUAAGUUAUAAAAACAAACACUUCUAAUUAACUUAAAUAAUUAAGUUAAGUCACUUUAAGUCAUUAAGUUAAAAAACAAACGCCACCUAAGUCUGUAACUAAAUAAUAUUAAAUAAAACAAAAAUAAAUACUAUAAGUAAUAUUAAAUAAAACAAAAAUAAUUAAGAUUAAUUUUUUUUUAAUGCUCACUACUGAUUAUUUUAUUUUAUUUAAAUUUUUUAUUUUUUUUUGAAAGAUUAAAUACAACAAUAAGCAUGUAACUAAAUAAUAUUAAAUGAAAUGAGAAUAAAUAAUUUUAAAUAAUUUUUUUAAUAAAUAAAUUAUAUUAAAAAUUAAUUUUUGAAAUAAAAUAUAUAUUAUUAAAAUAAAGGGAAUUUAUCAUUGCACCACCUUUAUUUUGCAUUAUGUUCAUCCAACCACUACAAAAUUUUAACAUGUACUUUGCACCACCUUUAUUUUCACAUUUGUAUCAACUAGUCACUUUUACAUUAACACUAUUAAAUAAUUUUAAUAAAAUGAUAAUUUUACUUCCAAAUAAAUUAAAAGACUAUUUUAUCUUAUAAAAACUUUUAAAAUUAAAAAUUAUGAUCAUAAAAAUAUCCCUAAAUUUAAUAAAAAAUAAAUCUAAAAUAGAGGUGAUCAACAGAUUUUUACUAAAUUUAGAUUUUACAAAAUUUUAAUAAUUAUUUUUAUUAAAAAUUAUAAUUUUACAAAAUUUUAAUAAAAAUAAAUUAAUUAAUUUAUUAAAAAUUAUAAUUUUUUAAAAUUUUAUUAAAAUAACUGAAUUUAUUUCUUAAAAGAAUAAAUCCUAAAAUUGUAAUAAUUUGGGGGAUCUUUAUUAAAUCCCAAAAUUUUGCAAUUAUUUUUAUAAUAUAAUUUUAUAUUAAAAUAAUUUUUAUUAAAAAUAAAAAUUCUAAUUUUGGGAUUUAUUUUUAUGAAAUUUAGGGAUAUUUUUAUCGUUAUAUUUUUAUUUUUUAAAAUUUUUAUAAAAUAAAAUGGUCUUUUAAUUUAUUUGGGGGUAAAAUUAUCAUUUUAUUAAAAUUAUUUAAUAGUGUUAAUGUAAAAGUGACUAGUUGUUGCAAAUGUGAAAAGAAAGGUGGUUGAAAGUACAUGUUAAAACUUUGUAGUGGUUUGAUGAACAUAAGGCAAAAUAAAGGUGGUGCAAUGAUAAUUUUCCUAAAAUAAAAUUUAUUUUUUAAGACUCACUACUAAUUAAGCAAUAUAAAAUUUUAAAUAAUUUGGAUUUAUGUGCUAAAAAUUUUAAUUUUUUAACUCUUUUGCGCUUUUGAUAAAUAGUAGGGAGCAUAAUGUUAAUAUUCAAAUAAACGAAUCUCAAUCUAUCUUUUCAUUGAAUCUAAUGGUCAAGAAUUAAAAGUUAAAACCAUAAAAAAACAAAAUCAGGUGGUACCUUACAAUUAUUGUAAGGUAGUUGAGUCCUUGUAAAAUCAGUUAACCACAACUUUUUUAUUUUUACCUUUUCGUGUUCCUAGGUAGAUAAGAUUGGGGAAAAAUAAAAAAUAAAGUUUUCACUUUUUAUUUCAUUCUAGUAAUGGAGUCAUUUUCAUUUUUAGCCCUAUGUCGUGCGAGAUGAAAUUCUCAUGAAGGGCUCUUAGGGACAAUAAUGCAGUAUUACUUUUGUAGUAGUCACUAUCAAUGUUACAACAAAUGCUUAUUGGUAGAAGAUAUUUAAAUAUUUAAUGCCCCAAAUUCUUAUUCUUAUUUUUACUCUUAUUUUUUUAUGUAUUCUGGACCACGAGAUUUCUUUAUUUUUUUUAUUUUUACUUUGUUAAUUAAUGUAUCCAUGCCUGUUCAUUUCUAUUUUCUUUAAUUUGUAUUAACACUAAUGCAACCGAACUUGAUAGUUUUGUCAAGUGCCUACUUUCAAAUCCACUUAAUACAUGCUGGUGUGGGGAAUGAGAGGUGUCAUAACACAUCUCCUUGCUCCAACUCCAAUAUUAGAGUAUAUUUGGGAUUACUUUUGCCAAGAAUCAAUUUCUACCUUGAUUUUUGAAAAAUCAGUUUUAUAAAUAAUUUAGGAGGGCAUUUAAUAAUCACUUUUCAAAUAAUUUACUCCAGAUGUUUGGUAAAUAAAAGUGCAAUAUUCAAUGUGCAAUGAAAAAAAUGAGUUUAUUUACUUAUUUGUAUUAAUGAUUUAAAAACACCAAACAAAUCACUGAGAACAGUGAAUUUGAAAUGGAUAUAAAAAUGGACAUAGCCUACAUCCACUGAGAACAGAGCAAAAAACUCUAUUGAAUCACCGAGAACAAGAUACAAGUGAAGAAGUUACAAGCUUUCAAUCAUGAUUAAUCAGAGUCUCGAAGACUAUAUAUACUGAUCAAGACGACUCUAGGAAGAUCUCAAUUUGGCCAGCUGCUAUUUGUAUCUGUGAUUGUUCUCACCUUUAUAACCACCAAUGACGGCCUCGAAUCGGGUUUAAACCACGUGCUGAUCUUGUGACGCUUAUAAGUAAUCGAAAGGAUCCCCCAAGUUGUCGUUUUGAGCCGAACCAUGAUAAGUGAUUGCACGUGAUAGACACGUGCUCCACGUAAGUGAAAGUCUGACAUUGCGCGGAUGUCGUUUGCUUCGUCUAUUUCUAUAAGGCCGAUAAGUCACACGUACUCCAGAAGCCAAAAUGACAAAACAUCCGAGAAUUCAGUUUCGAGAUCGGUACUUCAACGUGUAAUUUGUUUGUAAUUGUAUUAUUUAAAUCAUUUUUUAUUUACUGCUUAUUUCUUACAGCAUACCUAUUUUAUUUAUUAUAUUUUUAAAUAAUUUUUUCAUUACCUACUUCAUUUGGCUAUAAAUUCAACUUAUAAAUACUUUUUACUAAAAAAUUUAUUACAUACAAUACAUGUACACAAAAAUUAAUAUAUCAUUAUUAAAUUGAUUAAUAAAUGUUUUUAAUAUUACAACAUUAAUAAAUUAAAUAAAAAAAAUUGAGCAAGUAAAUUCAUGGAAAUAAUAUUCACAUGACAAAAGUUCUUUAAAACUAUCAUAAUCAAAAUAUUUUAUAGAAAUGUAAUUGUAUAGAUAUGUAUGUACAUAAUAAAAAUACCAUCCAAUCGUCAAACUUGUAGCAAUAUUAUUUCUCAAUCUCUCCACCUCUCGAAAUUCAGGAACAUUACUACGUACUAUGAUCUUCUUGAAUUAUGACCUCUAUAUUUGUCUCUUCAUUUAGAACAAAAUUCGAGUCAUUUUUAAUUUUUUCGAAAUGAUAGUCAUGCAAAGCAAACUUCCUAAUGUAAACCACCUCCCUCUUUUCAUCCAUUCCAAGUCUCAGUGCCAUGGCUCUCCACAGCCACUGAAAAUGUCUAUGAAGCCAUAUACAGACAUAACAUUUAGGGUUCUUUUUCACAUUGAUGCAGAAUGAUUGAUACAUAAUAUGAUUUUGGCGAAAAUUGAAAUUAAAAUAGUUUAAGGAGGACAUUUUAGAUAUUUCAUCCUAAAUAAUCAAAUUUUCAAAUAAUUAGAUUUUUCAAAGCUGGUUCCAGCCACUUUUUAAUUGAUGCUUAUUUACUAGAUUCUUGAGGAAUCAUAUUUCUAAAUAAUAUAUUUUAAAAAGUGUUUACUGAACACUCUUUGAGUGCUAGAUUAUCAAAUAUGUGAUUAUUUGACAAUUUAAGCAGUCCCAAAAAUAUGCUCUGAAUCAAGUUGAAAUGAGAGAAUAAUGGGAACUUGGUGUUUAUGCAAUUAUAAUUUAUCGGUUAUCAUAUCUGCGCCUCAUUGUCUACAAUUUUGCAUUUACCAACUUCUCCGUUUGUGCUUGAACCUAUACAAAUGCAGCAAAGAUAUCAAAGAAAAUGUAAUUCCAUAAAUUACAGAAAUCAGACAAAAUACGUACUCCGUGGCUAAGGGGAGUUACCUGGAUCACAGUGACUCGUUCUACGGGGCAAUCCUUUCACUAAUGCAUAUGGUACAUUCAUACUUAAACGUAACCUUUAAGUUAAAGUUUUUAUCUUAAUUUUAUCCAAAUAUUCGCAAGUAGUAUAUUUCUAGUGUUGGAGAAAAAUUAACAUGUAAAAACUUACGAACAAGUGAAAUAGAUUAUUAUUCCACGUAAUUGUUGUGGGGGGGGGAUUAAUAAUUAACUGUCUUACUCUAGAAAAAUUCAUGUCAAAUUAAACACAGCAGAUGAUGCGGCCUCUGUACAGGAAAAAUCAACACGUCAUGUCGUCGAUAAAAAUACAACUAAAGCUUUCUCUGUAAAUAUAAAUUUCACACCGUCAACGCCAACCAUGUGAGAUUCUUUAGAUUCCUCUUCGCCCGCGGUUAGAUUUCAUCCACGUGGCAAUGGCAUCUGAUUCAUAAAAUUUUGGAUAAUCUGUAAUGUUGAUGUAUUUUUAAUUUUUAGAUUGCCAUAAUUAACUUCUUAUUGUUGCAAUAUUUAAUGUAACAAUAAGAAGCAACCACAAGGAAAUCUAAAGAUACACAACAGUCACAAUUUAAAAUAAUUUGGCAAUAUCAUACCGUUUAACGUAUUUAUUUUGAAGAAAUAAAAGAGGUUUGAGAAGAAGGAAUGAUUUUAUGUUAAGCUAAAUAAUAAAUUUGAGAUUAACUUUCCUUUUUUUCAUUUUUUUUUCUUCUCUUCUCUCCUUUUAAUUCCUUUUGUCUCCUACCAUUUCUUCCAAUCAAACAUGCAAAAUGUAUUUAACGAAUUUAUUUAAAUCUUUAUUGGACUUGUAAAUUAAAUUUUUAUGUGAAAGCUAUCAUGUCCAAAUGCUUUUAAAUACAUAUAAACAAAUAAAUAAUUAGCACUCAUUAUCAAACCUCAAAAAACGAAAAACAAGCAUCUCAUUAAGUAAUUGCACAAGGAGAGGGGUUUUAUACGGAGUAUGGAAGGGUGUUAAUAGUCAAACUCAAAAGAAAAAAAAUUAUCCAUCCCUUUACUCAAAAUAUUAUGCAUUACUAUUAAUCAAGAAAAAGAAGAGUAUUCUGUAAAGAUUAAUGUAUUAGUAUUUUAAAGAGAAACAAUAUACUUACAAAAUUGAAAAUCAAAAUUUAUAUACCAACUGAUGUGUGAGACAAAUCAAUGUAAGCAUACCAUUACUAUAUUUUAAAAAAUUUUAACUAAAAGAGGACAUUAAUUUGACUUGAUAAGAAAGAAAAAAAAUUUUUAUUAUCAUUAUUUUACUCACACCUAUUAGCUAUAUAUUUAUGGCUUCUACUUUGUUUGCAUUGUUGCAUCUGCCAUUGAUACUUUCUAACUUUCAAACCUUCGAAAGAAAAAUGUAUAAUGGUCAUAUUAUUUGACAAUCAAAAUAUUUCUUUGGAAAUUUGUAUUAUUUGACAAUCAAACCAUCAGCAAUAACUUGACUCAUCUCUAUUUAUCUUAUUUUGAAACAUUUUGGAUAAAAACAAGCUUUGAUAUAAGACAUAUAAGACAUUGGUUGAUCUCUAUCGUUCAUCUAAAUGAUUACUCGACCGUUCAUGUUUCAGUAUUUUAUCCUUUGAAUAUAAUUAACUUGUGAUGUAAUCCUAGACCUUCCAAUUUUACCAUUUUGUCCUUUAAAUAUUUUUUUACUUAAUACAUAAUCCUUUAUAUCUAUUUAUCAAACCUAUGGCAUUGAGAUUCACAUGGGCUUAUUAUUACACAAAUACCCACAUUUUAGGAUUAAAAGAAAUUAGAAGUAAGAAAAAUUGGAUCCAACUAUGGUGACAACUGUGGCUGAAUCCAAUGGCUGGGUUAGUUUUGUCUUGAAAAAAUAGGCUUUUUCUAAUACUUUUUUUUAAUAGCUUGUUGUAGCUUGUUGUAGCUUGUAGGUGUAUUUAGUGACAAAUUGGUUGCUACAAAUUAUAGUUGUUGAAAAAAACACUAAUAAAAUAAUAUUUGUUAGUUACUUUUUUUUGAUAAUUUAGUUUUAAAAAGAAUAUUUAAAUCAUGAAAGAAGCCGGAUGUCAAAAGGUACAUUAAUCAAAAUAAAUCAAACUGCAAUCCUCAGACACAAGCCAUUCAAAACCAUCCAUUUAUAUUUUUGAAGACAACCAUAGAAGCUUAUGAAUAUAAUUGGGAUAUUAAGUAUUGUAUCGGACAGGUGUUUGAUAAUUUGGCGCUAUAAGAAGGUUUUCUAUAAAAAUAAUAAAAAACAAAAUUCAUAAUGAUAAUUAAUAAUGAAAUCUAUAACUUCCUAACAAACCCAAAUCCCAAUACACCCUCUGAAAGAAAAACCUACACCACCUGUCACCUAAAAAAUAAUAAUAAAAUAAUAUUGCCAAAGACCUAAUAUAAGCUAAGGAGCCAUUUGUUUUUUUGACUUAAUGACUUACUUGACUUAAUUGUAAUUAGUUAAGUCAUUAAGUCUGUUUGUUUUUUCAAUUUAAUAAAAAUUUUCAGUCAUUAAGUUAUUAAGUUAAUUUUUUUAUCUUUCUGUUUAAUGUAAAAAGUCUGAAGGAUAUCAUUAAAAAAUAUUCUCUAAAAUAUCCUUAUCUAAUUAAUUAGUUCUCAUCCAUACCUAAAUAAGUUUAAUAAUUAGCAUUAUUACCCAUUUCUAUAACUUGUGAUAAUAUAGUGGUAGCCUAUUAUUUUUUUUAUUUUUUAUUUUCUUCAUUAAUUUUCAAUGAAUAUUUUUCAUAUAAAACAUCAUAAACAACAAUAAAAUUGAUUAACAUAUACAAAUUUAAAAUAUUAAAAAGUUGUAUUCAAUUGAGCAUGAUUAUAUUAUGAAAAUAUAUUAUUUUAUUUAAAUUCUUUGAGAUGUUAUUAAUUAUUCAACAUUUAUAAUUUGUAAGGAUAUAAAUGUAAAAAUAUUAAUUUUCAGAUUUUUUUAAGUUUAAAAAAUAAAUAACUUAAUGCUUAUUUGUAGCAAUUCAUAUAAAAAAAAAAAAGAAUAUGUUAUUCAAAUUUAAACAUUCAACUCUAUUUAGAAUUCAAAUUUAUUCAAAUUUCAUAGUAAAAAACAAAUGUUACCUGACUCUAUUGUAUGGGUCAGGCCAGUAACAUUCCUUCGGUGGUAAUCCAUCGAAGGUUUCUUUAGAUUUAUUUUAUCUAAAGUUUCUAAAUCCCCAAGUCCAUAGUCUUUGGAUGGCGAUGUCCUUUUCAUUAAUUACGUGGUACGCCGGACGCCUUACACGUACAUAAAAAGAAAAACAGAGUAAAAAAUUUAAUUUUUAAAUAACGAAGAGGCUGCGUGACAAGACCAACCCCAUUCGAAUACGUUCUCUGUUCCUAAAGAUUGUUUGAUGCCAUCACCCAAAGCACUUAAUUCUAGGGAUCUCGAUGGAAACAGAAAAGAAAUUGACAAACAAAUCAACAGCAUCACGCCACAUGUAGCUGUUAUAAUUCUAAUUUUAGUUAUUGGAGCGGUUUGAAGGCGGUUAGAAAAAAUCAGGUAACAUUUGUUUUCUUUGUUUGAAAUUUGAAUGAAUUUUAAUUUAAAGAAGCUUAAAUAGAUUUGAAUGUAUAUAUUUGAAUGGAAUGUUCGUUUUUCUUUUUUUAAUAUCUGAAUAUAAGUUUUUAGUUGUUUAUAUUUUAAAAGGAAAACUUCUUAAAUGUAAUAUUUUGACAUAUAUAACCUAAUAAAUAUUGACAAUACUUAUAUUUAUUUUUUAAAUUGUAAUUAUAAAUACAAAGAGAUAGACUUAUUAUAAAAUACACUCACCUAAAUCUUAUCAUGUUUAAAAUUCUUAUUCACGAUAGAAAAAAGAAAAAAAUUGACAGUUGAAUAUGCAAAGAACAAAGAAAACAGAUAAAAAAUAAUAAUAAAAUGAUAGGAAAUAAACGUAUUUAAUAGGGGUAUUAAUGAGAGAGAAUAUUAAGAUUCUAUUGGGAUGUUUUGCCAUCCAAAUAAAAGUCAGAAUAUUCAACUUUUUUCAUUCAAACAUAAAAAUCUUAUAAUUGGACAUAAGUUAUAAAAAAACAAAUACAUUAAAAAUCUAAAUGUCUGAAAAUAAUUAAAAGGGAAAUUAUCACUGUACCACCUUUAUUUUACCUUAUGUUCAUCUAACCAAUAUAAAAUUCUAACAUAUUUUCUACACUAUCUUUCUUUUUUAAUUUGUAUCAAUUAGCCACUUUUGUACUAACACCAUUAAAUAAUAUAAAUGAAAUGAAAAUUUUACAUCUAAAUAAAUUAAAAGAUCAUUUUAUCUUAUAAAAACUUUGAAAAAUAAAAAAAAAAAUUAUAAUUAUAAAAAUACCCCUAAAUUUAAUAAAAAAAUAAAUCCCAAAUAGAGGUGAUCAGCUAACUUUUAUUAAAUUUAGAUUUUCCAAAAUUUUAAAAAUUAUUUUAAAAAAAAUAUAAUUUUGAAAAAUUUUAAUAAAAAAUAACUGAAUUUAAUUAUUAAAAAAUAUAAUUUUACAAAAUUUUAUUAAAAUAACUGAAUUUAUUAAUUAAAAAUAAUCCCAAAUUUUUACAAUUUAGGAGAUUUUUAUUAAAUCCCAAAAUUUUACAAUUAUUUUUAUAAUUAUAAUUUUUUUCAAAAUUUUUAUAAGAUAAAAUGAGCUUUUAAUUUAUUUUGGGAUAAAAUUAUUAUUUUAUUUAAGUUAUUUAACGGAGUUAGUAGAAAAGUAGAUAAUUGAUACAACUUUAAAAAGAAAGUGAUGAAGAAAACAUAUUAAAAUUUUGUGGUAGUUAGAUGAAUAUAAGACAAAAGAGAAGUGGUGCAAUAAUAAUUUCCCUAAUUAAAAUUCAGAUUUCGGACAAGAAAUAAACAAUUCCAAGGUCAAAAGAGAGAGAAUUUCUCUUGUUGCCCGUGUAACCCAAAAUGACGUUAUGGGUUAUCUGAAUUGCUACUAAGUACUAACUGCUCAAAAAAGAGAGUUUUGCUGUCUGUUGAAGCCUGCGAAAGAUGCAGUUUCAUGUCCCACUCGUAUUGGAUGAACAAAAUCAAAAGUUAAUUGGAUUCAUUCUUUUUUUUUUUUUUGGCUGCAUUGAUUAAAUGACUGGAACAUAACUUAUGGAGUUCAAAAAAAAAUCAUAGAGGUGAAUUUAUGGCUGCUGCUGUGAAAUGGCACUGUUGAGCUGGUAGAAGUUGAAGGUAUCAAUUCCGGAUUCUUUUGCCUCUUGUACUUGAAUCAAAUUCGAAGAGUAGCAGUUGAAGGUAUCAAGUUGGAGAGCAGCAGUUCGAACCCCCACAAUGCAUUGUGGGGUUCUUCCUUCCUCAAGUAAAUUUAAGUGAAGACAGUCUGCUUCCUUACCCAAGUGUGAGGAGUAGACAUCCCUCGAAUAUUUGAGAGGGUUAAAAUCUGGGCAGCGCUCUAUUAGUAUUGAUGUAUGUUGGUCCCAGUUAUAGUCUGAUUUAUAAAUAUCAGUUAUAUUCUCAUGUAAUAUGAGUUGUAAUUUGAGCAAUAAUCUCAUAUAAUCAAAAAAAAAAAAAAUUUCGAAGAGUAGCGCUCUACUUUCACCCGGUAAAGCCAAGCAGACUUUAAAACGACCUUUCUCAAUUUCCCAUCUCACUUCUUUUUACUGUUUGUUUCAUUUCCAUCCGUUGGAUUUUACUCUUUAAAUCUAACGACCCUUAUGGCAUAAUAGAAUGAUUCAUUGAUACAAUUGCUAGGCAUUGGGAACAUUCUUGAAAAACACCCAAAAGUUUAUAGAGCCAUCAACAUUAAACCGACAUUUUUUGUUUUUUAAGAAUUACACCGACAUUCCAAAAACAUUGAUGGGCCCGUAAGUUCGUGGCGAUUAGAAAAACAAAAAUUGAUUUAAAUUCCUAUUCCUUUCAUUUUAAGGAUUCGUAAAAUUCUAUUCACUUUCUGUUAAAAAUUCUAUUUUUUAUCUUAAACAAUUACAUAUUCAUUUAAUAUUCUUUACUGUAAUUACAAAAGUCUUUGGUUGCUCUUUAAUUACUCAUGACGUCUUCGAUGUUGACUAAUUAAAACAGCAAAGAGUCAUCGGGAUCGAGCUUGUCAAUAUUUCUCAAUGUUUAUAAGCAUAUUUGAUGUUAAGUAUUUCUCGAAGUUUGUAAGCUUCUAAGGUUAAUACAAUUAAAAAGAAAAGUGUUGUUUGUUUUUUAAAAUGAAAUCUCGAUAGAACAAGGAUAGUAUCACUAGAAAAAUGUACAUGCAACUAAUCAGCGGACAAUAAGUUUACCUUUUAAAAGUAAAUUAAGUACAAAAAACAAAAAUAAAAGUUCAAAUUAAAUUUUUAGGCGCAUAUCCUCAUGAUUUUAAUUCUAGUGGUCAGCUAAAAUCAAAGUUGGGACAUCUAAUUUAUUUUGAAUCAAAAUUGACUGGGAUAUAUAGCACAAAUCCUCAUAUCAGAGACUUGGAUUUAUGUUACAAACACAAAUUGUAUGAAGUUAAUUUGAAGAGCUCUUAUCUCCAAAAUAAGAUUUGGUUAUUUGGAAAACCAAAAUAAGAUUUGGUUAUUUUAAAACUUUUUAACUAAAAGAGGACAUUAAUUUGACUUGAUAAGAAAGAUAAAAAAAAAUUGUUACUAUCACUAUUUUAUUCAGACCUACUAGCUAUGGAUCAAUGGCUUUUAUUUUGUUUGCACUGUUAAUCACUAUUUUAUCAAAAUUUCCUGAUUUUGAUAAAUCGGCCAAAACAUGUCUCUGUAGAAUUACCCGAGCUUAGGCUUUCACUAAAAAGCUUCUAUUUUCCGCAGUCUUGCUCUGGUGCCUGCUUCACCUGUACAUUUUAGCACCAAAGAAAUUGAAAAUUUAUCAAACAAUUGGUCAAAAGCCGAAUUAAUGGAGACUUGUGAAUCAGGUACUGGUUUAAACAAGGCUGAAGAAAUUGCCGAUAAUUCACCUCCUUUUGCUUCACUCCCCAAUCUAGCACCAUUCUCACUCUCCAUCACUUGCUCUGCAAUUGUCAAAAAUGACUCGGUUCAAAAUUAUCUUACAUUCAAUGACAGGCAAAAAGGAGAAAUUACCAUCAUUACACUCAUAUCAAAAUUUUAGAAAAUGUAGCAUAUAUUCCUGAUAUAGAAUUUGAUUCAAAAUAGUUUAUGGUCCUUAAUUAGAUAGCAAAUAACAAAAAUGCAGGAGAAGAAAUUACCUUAGGCUUAGGAUGAUCGUAAUUGCAGUGCAACCGCUUGAGAAUUUUGUCAGAGGCCUUGAAAUGGUUUCAUUUUCUUUGGGUCCUGUUACUGGAAAUCCUUCCACUAAUAAGCUUCUCAUUUCAUAUCCUUCCAGCAUCUUAUCAUACAUUAAAUUGAGCUUUUUUUUUUUUUUUAAAUUGUCCUGACCUCGAGCGGUCAUUACUCAACUCCAAAGCCAAACAAAAUGUAGGUCGCUUAACCUGCAAAACAAUUGCUCAUAUUGCAUCAAUAAUCUUUUACAGUAACGUUACCCAUAUCACAAAUUAAAAAUCGUGUAUUCAAAACGCUAUUAGAAACGCUAUUUAUGCUUCUUAAUUAGAUUAAAAACAGUAACAAAGCAAAUUAUAAUGAGAGAAGAAAUUACUUAUCAAGGCCCAAUCUCGAGGUUGGGAAUGUGAGAUAUCUUAUGCCAGUCUUCUCCUUCCCCCUUGCGAUAACGCUUUUCCAGAAGCCCACAGUUCCACCCAAUGUUAAAUUCCUUCAACGUUGUCGUCUGAUGAAAGUGGUCGGGCAGUGCCUUUAAUUUGGGGCAACUAUCAAAUGUCAAGGAAGAAAGACGUGGCAUGAUGCUGAUGAAGGCGUUUCCCGUUUUUGCAAUCCCAUAAUCCCAGUCUUCCAAUUCCAACAUCCAAGAAAUUGUGAGUGAUUUCAAUUUGGGGAAGGCAAUAGUAACUGAUGAAGAUGAACAUGAAGAUGAGUCAUGAUGAUCACUUUCUAUCCCCAAAAUUUCAUUAUCCACUCUUUUCACACUACACAUGAACGAUAUGCUGAGUUUUUCAAGGGAUGGCAAUUUUCCCAAAGGCGGCAGCUUCUCACAAUUUUCACAAUCAUCGAGAUCUAAACUCCUCAGAUUGGUUAAUGACAUCAUCCAGUUAGGGAAAACAGUGUUGCCUCUGUAUGACCCUAUCAACAAUUUCCUUAAAUUCGGAGGUGGUUGCAGGAAUUCAAGAAGAAGUUGAUCGUCCUCGUUCUUCCUCCUUCGUCCAUCUCCUUCUUCCUUGUUAAACAAAAGUUUCAAACAGGAGAGGUUUUUCAUUUUAUCGAGCUCUAAUCUCUUAGCCUCACCCACAUCCGUCACAUUUCCCAGUCUGCGUAUACCACAUACUUGAAGGAGUUCCAAGCUUUUAAGAGAUUCAAGCCUACAUGCUUUCCUGCCAUCAAUACCUCCUCCUCCACUCACAUAGAACUCAUCCAAGGUCCGAAGACUGGUUAAUCUCCCAAUCCCUACUGGCAUGUACCUUAAAGAAAUAGUACCAUAGUUUAGUAAAUGCCUCAUGUUUAUUAGCUUUCCAAUCCCUUGAGGUAGCUCUUUAAGUUUACAGCAGCAACUAAUAUCCAACUUUUGUAGAUUAUACAACUCACACAACGUGUCCGGAAGUUUCCUUAUGGAUUGAUUAGACAAGUUAAGGUACCUUAAAUGAACCAACCUUUCUAUGUUUCUUGGAAUCCGAGUCAAAGGCCCCAAUUGUAAUGACCGGGCCCAAUCGCCGAAUUCUAAUACCCUUAAACUUGUCGAUUCCCUAAAUAAUCGUUCUAAGAUCUUACCAUUUAAAUACAAAUGAAAAUAUCUGGAAUAAUCAAUUAUGAGGCUACGCAUUUUUUUAACCCCACAAGUGGAGACAGGAAAUGAAGCCCCGUUACCAACGAUUAACAGUAAAUGACGAACCUUCUCAUCAAAAGAAUUUAUGGCAUUCAGUCCACUAAUUUCCAUCGAAAGACAUUCAUUUUGACUUAUAAAUUGGCCAAAAUCAUGUACCAUAUCAUGCAUCUUGCACUGCAUAAUGCAAUUAUCAUAACUUUUCGUAAACUCUUGAAAGAAAGAGCGAGAAGCUAAGAUGCCAAAAUACUCUUCACCUUUUGACUCCAUCUCUUCAUCUUGUUCUGUAUCAAGAUAACCUUGAGCCAUCCAUAAUGUUAUUAGUCUAUCUUUUUCUAUAUUAUAAUCUUUUGGAAAGAUAGCACAAUAAGAGAAACAUUUUUUCACUUUGGACGGCAAAUCGUUGUAACUCAACAACAAUGAGGAUAGAAUGUCUUUCUCAAUCUCUUCUACUUUCCAUAAACCACUAUUUAAAAUUCUUCUCCACUCUUCUUCAGUUUCUUUAGAGCGCAUGAGACUCCCUAUUAUCUUUGCAGCAAGAGGUAAACCUUUGCACUUGUUUGCAAUUUUUCGCCCAAUUUGUUCUAAUUUUUCACGUUCCUCAAUGGGUCGAUCAGAAAAUGCUAUCUUAUUAAAUAACAACCGACAUUCCUCUUCAGUUAAUUCCUUAAUGGAGAUAAUAUUUGUGGAUCCCAUCAUGGAUGCAACUGACUUCUUACGUGUGGUAACUAAAAUUUUACUUCCAUGGAGACCAUUCUUUAGACAAUGAAAGAAUGGUUCCCAUUUCAUAUAAUUUCCAUCCCACACAUCAUCUAAGACAAGAAGAAAGCACAUUCCUGCAACGGAUUCAUAGAUAUGUUUAAUAAGAGAUUGGAAUUCACCUAAACGUGAUUCAUGACCAUCCAAAGCUUCAACAAUCGCUUUGGCAACCCUAAACUCCUCAAAAGUUUCUGAUACGCACACCCAUAGAAUUUUAUCGAACUUUCUCUUCACUUCCUCAUGAUUACAGGCUAGUUGUGCAAGAGUAGUUUUCCCCAUGCCUCCCAUGCCAAUAAUUGAGAUGAUAUGCAGGCCUUUUGGAGAAUCACUACUCUCACACAGCAGCUUGCUUAAGAGUUCAUUCUUCUCAUCAACUCUACCACAAAUCUCUUCCUCAUCAAUCAAGGAGGUGCUCUGAGCCCGCCCCGGUCUCUCACGAGUACUGUUACUCCCAUUCUCAACAAACUUAAAUAUAUAUUUUUGAGUGGCAAUAGCAUCUAGCUUUUCAUUGAUUUCUUUAAUCUUGACAGCAAUGUCAGGACGUAGAAUGAUUUUUUCAAAACCAAUGCUAGAGGCAGGGGAGCAGGAACAUACCUGCUUCUGAGGGAAAUGACCAUUCUGCUUCAUUUGCAAUUUGCGCCGUGCAGUGAUCCACUCAUCCAGCACAUCUUCAAUGUCGUAGGAUACGUCCUUGAGCCGACCCAGCCAAAGUCUGACGGACUUCUCCUUCACUUGCCUCUGCUCUGCAUCAUUGAGCACAGCAUGAAUCAUUUGAAGAUGGAUUGUAAGCUUUUCAACUUCCUGGUCAACCCCCUUAACUAGCUUUACCUGCUGUGUUACCUCUUUAACGGAAAAGGAAAUCAGCUUUUCUAAGAGAGGAGAAACAAUGGCAUCAACCAUGGUGUUGGUGAAUAAUUUGGGAUGACAAAAGGAUAGAGCAAAAAUGCUAAAAGGCAAUUACGUUGUGAGAAUGCAUCCAGCCUUUUGCGUUCUUUUUAUAUGCUGCAUCUCUGCAUCUACAAUAAUGCAAAGGAAUUCCCACACACUAAAGCUGAUGGGGAAAUUAAGUGAAUGUAAAUGACAUGCAAUUGCUGGGAAGUUUCAAAGCCUAUAGAAAAUUAAGAAGUAAUUUUUUGUCUGUAAUGGAUGCAAGUAAUACAAAGGAGUCCCCACGUGCUAAAGCUGAUGGGGAAAUUAAGUGGAUCUAGAUGACAUGCAAUUGCUGGGAAGUUUCAAAGCUCAUAGAAAAUUAAAUAACUCACUUUUGUAAUAUAGUAAAUCUUUGUUGAUUCAUUUGUGGUUAUGAUUUAUUUAUUAAUUUUCCUACAUAGUUGAUUAAUUAUCUUUUUCAUUUUCAAAUCAAAAUGUGAUUAUAUUUUUCUUUUCACUUCUCUUUCUUUUAUUCAUCAACAAUGAUAUCGAACGUUCAAGGAUUAUUAUUGAUGUUUUCAAAAGCUUAUUUGAUUUGCUUAUUUCGAAUUAGGAAAAAGAUAUCUAUAUAUUUGGAAAAAUUAAUAUAUUUUUAAGUUACUUAUAAUUGGAAAGAUUAUUUUUAGACAUCUCUUUAGUUAAUAAUUAUUCCAUCUUUAAUUAAUAAUUAUCUUACAAGAAAGAAUUUUCAUACAAAUUAUAUAUUGGAUAAAAUUUUCAUACAAAUUAUAUAUUCGAUAACCUUAAUAUUAAAGACUUAUAAUUAGUAAUAUUGUCUAAUCACCAAUUCAUUAUUAAUUUUUCUAAGAAAAAGAUUAAAUUCUUUAUCUAUCUAAAAAAACUUCAAUUAUCUAACAUUGUAAAAUUUCUUACGCUUUGCUUUAUAAAGAAAAUUAUUACAUUUGUUAGCUCACUUUUGAAGUUAAAAGAAAAAAUAGUUUCUUGAAAUAAUAAUUCUAAAGGAAGUAAAAAUAUACCUUAUUGACUACUUUUCAUUUUUAAAAUAUCUCACUAUCUUGUUGAUUAUUGAUAUUCAAGAUAUAGUUAAAAAUUGAUUGAAUUUGAACUCUUUUAUGUUUCUUUAAGUGUUGAAACUGCUGAAUGUAAGGAGCACUCAUACAAAAAUUUUGCCUAAGACCUCUAGUACACUAGAGCUGGCUUGAGGAGUGGUUAUCUUUUAAUCACUCUAGAUUUAUUUAAUUAAUUAUUUUGUAUUGAUUGGCCUCAACUUUACACUGUAAUAAUAAUAAAUAAUAAUUAAAUUAAUAAAAUUAAUAAAAUUUAAUAGCAACAACAACAAUAAUAAUCACAUAAUUAUAAUAAUAUGAAAAUAUGAUUCAAUUAGUAGCCCAUGUUAAUUUAAUUUAACAAACUUUGACACUAACAUUGAUUGUUUUGAAAUUGGUCAAGAAAUUAUGUUUUGAAAAUCUGCAUUUGCAUCCGCAAUAUAUAAUACAAAGGAGUACCCACACGCUAAAGCUGUUGGGGAAAGUGGAUGCAAAUGAAAAUGCAAUUGGAAGAAAGUAAGCGUAAAUUUUGUAUGUAAUAAAUGCAAGUCUUUCUUUAUUGUUUGUUCAUUUUUAUUCUUUUGUGGUUAUGAUUUAUGAAUAAUUUUCCAAUAUGAGUUAAAUGGAUCGUCUUUUUCAUUUUCAAAUAAAAAUAUGAUUAUAUUUUUCUUUUCGCAUCUCCAAUAGUUAUUCAUCAACAAUGAUGUGGAAACGUUCAAUGAUUAUUUAUUAAUUGAUGUCGUUUUGCUCGUUUUAAAAACAUUACAUGUUGUGGCUCAACUUAAUAUGCUCCCAUAGUUCCAAAUCUAGAUCCAAUUUACAAAUGUAGAUAUGAUCAUUUUGUGUUUUUUUUCAAAAUUUUAUUUAUUUUUGUUGAUUGCUUUGGUGGCACUCUCAUAUAUUGUGUACAAGUUAUAGAUGAAUAUAUUAACAGUUAGUACGCCAGUGCACUAUUUUAUCCACCAGUCAGUCAGUAAAAUUUUAAUUGUUCACCAAAUUAUUUUUUUUUACUAUAACAUGUAAUAAACAUAUUUUAAAUACAGCAUAAUACAAUAUAAUAUGCUAAACACACCUUAAAUGUUUUGACACAACCAAUUAAAAGGAUAAAAUUUUAAUAAGGAAAGGAUAAAAUUUUAAAAUAUCCUAAUUAUCAAUAUUUAAUUAUGCAGUUAAUUAAUGACAGAAGAAACUGGGUCACAAUCUCAAAUUUAAAGAUCCGAAUCAUUUAGACGUUUGCAUCAAAUUUCUUAAAUGAUGUAACAACGUUGGGAUCUCAGAGUUCUUAAGUUUUGACAAAACGGACACAAUGUGGUCAUUUUAAGCAAACGGGUCCCUGACUCUGUUGAAAUUGUUUGAAUUAACCUUCGUGUUAAGGUACAUUCUCCCUACCAAAAUUAUGUCAGAAACAGACGAAUAAUCGAUAAUUUCAAUAGGAGACAAGGAGUACAAAUGGGAAAUUAUAUCCCUAUUUGCAAAAAGAUUAAAAGAAAAAAAAAACUUAGAGACUUAAAUAUAUUUAUCCCCUUCUUAAAUUUGUUUUCGGCAACAGCUCCAAUAAAUAAUACAAAUGAUGUAUGACAGCACAGCACGAACAGUGAGUAUGAAAUGCAACCUAUUUGUUCAUAUUUCAAUGAUGCAGUCUCUUAAGGAUUUGGUGGCGACAAAAUUUAACUUGGAUGCAAAAUGGUUGACUAAUAAGAGUUUGUGAUUGUUUUAUUCAUACAUUAUUGACAAUGAAAUAAAUGUUAAGAUGAUUUCACAUAGAUGUGUCAUUUUAUCAUAUGCAUAAUAAUUUUUUGAGAUCAUUGAUGAUGAUUUUGAGCUACUUGGUUAGAUUGUCAAACUUCAAUCGUGGCUGCCGUAGAUAGUUAGAUUCAAAUUUUUUGAGGACAUUUUUCAGUCCAAUCAUCUUUGCUUUGACAAGGUCUAGGAAAAUCAGCGCAUGUACAGUGACCACUUGGGACCUAAAACUUUUGCAGACCUCACUAAUACAUCAGCUGACACCUUUGAAACCGAGAAACCUGUCGAAAGAGUCCUAAAAAUGUUAACAGACUUAAUCUUAGGUGACAAAACGAUAGGUGUAUCUGCGGUAUAGCCGCUGAUCAAUUAUAUAUGCUCUUAAAAUUUGGUAUGUUAUGGGUAACACGUCAUAAGUGAAGAGUAUAACAAAAAAUAUAGAGUUUUAAUGAUCAGAGAAUAUGAGGAGCUAUAAAUAACAAAGACUGUGCUAUGUUUAUUCUCCCUAAUGUUUUUAAAAUAUACAAAAUAUAUAAUUUAAUAAGUACAUAUGAAAAUUUUUAAAUGCAAACGUCUUUACAUUUUACAGUAUCAUCUCGUUUUUAAUUCACAUUUUAAAAUAUUCAGACUUCCCAAACAAAAUAUAUACAUAUAAUGUCUUUCAGGAGAUGGGAAAGAGACUAACGAGAUUGACUGCACAAGAUGAGAAUGAUCCAGACUGAGGUCUUGAUAGAAGAAGCUUUAUCCAUGUUUGCAGAAUAAUGUCCUUGGGACUUUGAUUUUACAGUGAGGGAGGACUCUGUAAUUGGCUACUGGCCUAUGGGUACUGAUAAUUUUAUAUCCAAAACUUUGAGACAAAAGCUAGGUGUAAUUGGCUACUGGCCUAUGCGUCUGAUGUGAGGUAAGUCCUGGCAAUAGAGGCUGCUUGCUCCUAGCUCUGUUUCUGUUUUGGGCUUGAACAUAAAUGAAGUAGAUGUCAAUAGAAAUGAAAUUUCAUGAAAUAAAUAAAUCAGCUAGCCAAUGCAUGCAUGUACUCUCUAGAAGCAAGUAAACAACAAUUAACUGAAUCAAAUGACAUAUCUAGCGAAAAAGUAACUGGUCACUUACUUCAGAAUUUGUUCAACUCAAAUAUUCCAAAUUAAUGUAAGACUUGUGAAUCAGGUAAUGGUUCAAACAUGUCAAUAAUUCACAGCUUUUGACAAGUUGAGCCACCACAGCUUCGUUCCUUAAUUUACUCGUGUUUAAAAUAGUAGAAAAUAGAUUUUGUAAACAAAGAAAACUAAUUGUUGAAUAAAGAGAGUGAAACAGAGUUGUUACACUGAUUUUCUUAAGCAACUCGCAUCCGGUCAUUCCAGGCAUACAGAAAUCUGUGAUUAUCAAAUCCACCUUUAAACCCUGAAUCCUGUGCACGAUUGAUUAAAAUUCAGCACGAAUUUUAUUUAAAAAUACAGAAAACUCAGCCUAAAUAUGUCAUUUCAAUUUGUCAAUCGUCUGUUUGACACUUCCUUUUUAUCGAUUAGUCAGCCGUCAGCCGACACCAAUGCCUAAGUGUGUGCACAUUAUUCCCUUAAUCCAGCAACUUUAUAUGUUCACAUUAUGGGAAUUGUUGGUUAACUUGCUGAUGAUUUUGCAUACUUUUUCAUUACCUUUUUGACAUUUUAAUCCCCACUCGUUACACCUUUUAUCUGCUGUUUCAUUUAUUUAUUUAGUUACUCUAUCAAAUCAAAUCUCUCUCAAGAAAUCUCGUUUCUCCUUUAUAAAUCUUUCAUUAUUUGAUCUCGGUACUCUUGCCUUCCAUUUGUUUCAUCUUCCUCUUUCACUUGAUUUUUAAUCCAAUUUAGUGUAUUAGUAGUUAGCAAAUUAAUUAACAGAAAGAGAGAGCCCGAUCGCUUCAUAAGAAGAUUUGGCAAUUUUGGAAUAAAUUUCAAGGAAACAACCAACAAGUAUUGCCAAUGUAGCGCGAUCGUCGGCUAGGAGUGGAAAACUUAAAAUUUUUCCAAGUAAGAUACCAAACAUCCUUGGGAUUCAAUCAUUUUCCCCUCUAAGUAAUACGUAUUUCAAAAUGUAUUAUAUAGUGUUGUGAAAUUAACCCUUGUAUCACUCGAUUAAUCACACCCCAUGAUCUAACUCAGACUCCAAGAAUUAAGAAUCAAACCUAAGCUAAUUGAAACAAACAACAGAUCAAAGAACACAGCUCAAAGAAUCAAGAUACACAAAGACUUAAGUGGUUCAGCACCUUUGAGGGUGCCUACAUCCACUGGAGAAAACAACAUAGGCAGCAACUUUAUUAAGCUUCAAGGUUACAGAGAUGAUAACUAGUAAUACAGAGAACACUCAGCAAAGCUUCACUCUCACCAUAGCUUCUUUAUCACUCUCUCCUCGAUACAGUUUGUUUACCACCAAAACCAACAUAUAUAUAUCAGUUGUUGCAGGCGUUACAGAUCCAGAAGAUUCCUUCCAAAAUCAACAACCUUAACUGACUGAUCACAAGCUUCUCAUGUGCAACUGAAAGACUUCCUUAAACGAUAAUAAGCCACGCCGUUUAAGUCUUUAAUAGGCGUGUGUUAAUCACGUGAGUGCUUAAGUGUUUGAACAACAUCAUCCACUUGUCGGUGCUGGAUUCUUGAUUAGCUGAAAUGACAUGUCACCCAUCUCUACAACUUUAAUACGACAAGUUGUUUUGACGAGUUUGAGUUCAUUUCAACAAUCUCCACCUCGAACUCAACACUCAUAGCUCCCUCAUUUCUCAUUGUCUUCUCCCCAUCUGCAGCUUCUUAAAACCUGCAGAUUCCUGCUAAGUUCAUGCAAAGGAUGAACUUGGCAGUGGGCACAACCUUAGUUAACAUGUCAGCUGGAUUUUCUUCAGUAUGGAUCUUCAGCAACUUCACAGCCCCCCUUGAUACCUCAAGCCUCACAAAGUGCAACUUAACAUCUAUAUGUUUUGUCUUCUCGUGAUGAGAUUGAUUCUUGCUAAGAUGUAUAGCACUCUGGCUGUCACUGUAUAUUGUUACAGUCUCUUGCUUAGCUCCUAACUUAGUUGUCAUGCCUUUUAGCCAAAUUGCUUCUUUGAAAGCUUCAACUGCUGCAAUAUACUCUGCCUCUGUAGUGGACAAAACUACUACAUUCUGUAAUGUUGCUUUCCAGCUAACUAUGCAGCCUCCUAGAGUAAACAAAUACCUUGUCUGUGACCUCCUUUUAUCAAGAUCACCACCAAAGUCAGCAUCUACAUAACCAAUUAGUGUGUGUCCAUUUUUAUCUUCUCCACCAUAAACCAAACCAACCUCCAAAGUCCCCUUGAGGUACCUCAUAAUCCAUUGAACAACUCUCUAAUGUUCAUAGCCUGGAUUUGCCAUAAACCUGCUCACCAAACUCACAGCAUGUGAGAUAUCAGGUCUGGUGAGUACCAUGACAUACAUGAGGCUACCUACUACACUUGAGUAAGGUAUACAAGCCAUUUUCUGUUGUUCUGCAUCAGUUUGAGGGCACUGAGCAGCAGACAAUUUGAAAUGGUUUGCCAAUGGUGUCUGCACUUGCUUAGCAUCAUUCAUUCCAAACCUCAUCAUAACCUUUUUAAUGUAGCUCUUUUGAGUUAAGAACAAAAUCUUGUUGCUCUUGUUCCUGAUAGUAUCCAUCCCUAGAAAUCAGAAUUCUCUUAGCUUCCCCAAGUUCCUGCAUUUCAAAUUCCCUACUUAAUAGUUUCUUUAGAUGAUCAAUUUAUUCCCUGUCAUGACAUGCGAUCAGCAUGUCAUCUACAUACAGCAGGAGAUAUAUCAUUCCCCAUCCAUGUCUCUUUAAAGUACACAAAGCAAGCAUAGCUGCACUUGUUAAAGAAGUGUGUUAUCAUGAAGUUGUCAAACCUCAAAUACCAUUGCCUAGGUGAUUGCUUUAACCCAUAUAGAGACUUUUUAAGUAAGCAGGCAAGAUCUUUACCAGAUGCCACAUACCCUUCUGGCUGCUGCAUUACAAUUUCCUCUUGUAAUUCACCAUGAAGGAAGGCUAUUUUUUCAUCCAUCUGCUCAAGAUGCAUAUCCUGAAUAGCCACAAGUGCAAGAAUAAUUCUGAUGGAAGCAUGUCUUACUACAGGGGAAAAUACUUCAGUGAAGUCAAUUCCUUCCUUUUGUGUGAAGCCCCUUGCCACCAGUCUAGCCUUAAAUCUUUUAGGCUCAGCUCCAGGUAUCUCUUCUUUUAUCUUGAAGAUCCAUUUACAACUUAUUGUCUUCCUCUUAGCUGGUUUUUCAAUUAAUUACCAGGUUUUGUUUUUCAUCAGGGAUGCCAUCUUUUCAUCCAUUGCCCUCUUUCAUUCCAGCUUUUUUUUGCCUGUGAUAGCUUCCUGAUAAGUCCUAGGUUCAUCAUCAUUCAGCUCUUGAGCAGCAGUCAAAGCAUAUGAAAUUAGAUCAGCCACUGCAUAUCUUUUAGGUGGUCUUAUAGUCCUUCUCUUUUUGUCUCUUGCCAAUUGAUAGGUGUCCCCUUCACUUUCUGCUGAUUCAUAUUCAACACCAACUUCAGGUUCUAUUUCAGCACCCUUAAUUUCUGGCUCAAGUUCUUUCAAGUUGUGAGGCUCCACCUGAAACUUCACUUUAUCAGACUCAGCACCUAAUUCAGAGUUGUUAACAGGACUCUUUGGUUGAUUCAAAAUCUCAUCUUCAUGGAAGGUUACAUCUCUGCUUAUAAUGCACUGUGGUGCAUUUGAGUCAACACACCACAAUCUAUAGUCUUUGACACCCUCUGGAUACCCUAGAAACCUGUAUUUUAAUGCUCUUGGUUCCAGCUUACCCUGCUUUACAUGAGCAUAUGUUAUGUAGCCAAAAAUUCUGAGUUUUAAAUAAUCACUUAUUCUUCCUGACCACAGUUCCAUUGGUGUUUUACAUUCUAUAGCAAUUAAUAGGCUCAUAUUGACUAGAUAUCAUGCUGUCUUUAAAGCUUCUGCCCAAAGAGUUUUUGGGAGCUUAGAAUAGAUCAAAAUGCACCUUACUUUCUCUACCAAAGUUCUAUUCAUCCUCUUAGCAAGGCCAUUUUGUUGAGGAGUAUAGGUGAUAGUUUUGUGCCUCUGAAUCCCAUUCUUCUCACAGAAAUCUUCAAACAGCUUAUUGCAAUACUCUAGGCCAUUAUCUAUCCUUAGAGUUUUCACCUUCAAACCAGUUUGGUUUUCAACAAAGAUCUUCCACCUUUUGAAUCUUUCAAGAACCUCAUCCUUACUUUUGAGUGCAAAGACCCAAAUCAUCCUUGAAAAAUCAUCUAUAAAAGUUAGAAAGUAUUUACACCCACCUAAUAAAGUCACUUGUGCAGGCCCCCACAGAUCAGAGUGUAUGUAUCCCAGCUUCUCUUUCGUGGUAUGCGCUGCAGUCUCAAACUUUAGCCUGGAAGACUUUCCUAGAAUAAAAUCUUCACAGGACCCCAAAGCUCCUAUAUGAUCUUUCCCAAACACUCCUUGUUUUUGUAGCUCUCUCAGACCUCUUUCACUCAUAUGCCCCAUCAUCAAAUGCCACAACAUUGAUCUGUUCCUACCAUUGUUAAUUACAUUUGCCUCUCCAACAGCAAUAUGUCCAUCCAACACAUACAGACCAUUUUCUUUUAUACCUUUCAUAAUCACCGUUGAGCCUUUAAUUACCCUCAAUACCCUUUUUCAGCCUUAAUCACACAGCCUGUUUGAUCUAGCAUGCCAAUUGAGAUUAAUUUUCUUUUCAAAUCAAGAAUAAACCUAAUUUGUGUUAACUCCCUCACCACACUAUCAAACAUUCUAAGGCUGACAGUCCCAAUACCAACCACUUUACACAUUGAGUUAUUACCCAUUAAAACCACACCCCCAUCACAUGGUUGAUAUGUAGUAAAAUAGCUUCUAUUUGGACACAUGUGGAAGGUACAACCUAAGUAAAAAACCCACUGACCUUUAGGUUUCUGAUUUGAGGCAAUUAGCACUCCAGCUGUUUCAAAGCUUGCUUUUUCUGUGGCAAUGGCUGCAUUUCCUGUAUUUUUCUUGGUUUCUUUAUUCUUGUUCUUUCUUUCAGAGCAAACUCUUUUGAAAUGCUGUUCUUUAUGGCAAUGGAAACACUUUAAGUGCUUCUGUUUUGACUUUGAUCUCCCUUGCUUCUUUCCUCUGUUCUCUCUUUUCUCAGGUCUGCCUCUAGCCAUCAGUCCCUCACUUGAUUCACUUUAUGGAUUAUCUUGCUUGUCUUUCAAUUUCUUGGUACCAAGAUCAUAUUUAACCUUUUCUAGGGAGAGUGUUUGCCUCCCAUAGAACAAUGCAUCCACAAAGUGCUCGUAUGACUUUGACAAAGAACCGAUUAACAGCAAAGCCUUGCUCUCAUCACUCGGUCCCUCAUCAAUAGUCUCCAAUUCAUCACAGACCUUAUUGAACUCAUCUAUAUGCUCAUCAAGUGAUGCUCCUUCAAUCAUCCUCAGUGAGAACAUCUUCUUUUUUAUAUAAAAGUCUAUUGGCUAAUUACUUUGUCAUAGACAGAUUCUCUAACUUGGCUCAUAGACCAGCAACAGUCUUUUCUUUUGCCACUUCUCUGAUUACAGAGUCACCAAGACUCAUAAUGAUUGUGCUUCUGGCUUUCUUGUCUAUCUCUGCUGCUUGUUCUAGGGUCUUGGAUGAUGAAGCUUCAUUUCCUUCAAGUUUAGAGACUAGAUCUAUGGCAUCUCCCAGGCCUUGAGUGAUCAACAAAGUCUCCAUCUUGAUUUUCAACAUAUUAAAGUCAUUCUGCCCUGUAAACUUCUCAAGAUCCACCUUCGAAGCCAUUCUUGAACCUUGAAAUCAGAAUUAAGGCUAUGAUACCAAUUGUUGUGAAAUUAACCCUUGUAUCACUCGAUUAAUCACACCCCACGAUCUAACUCAGACUCCAAGAAUUAAGAAUCAAACCUAAGCUAAUUGAAACAAAUAACAGAUCAAAGAACACAACUCAAAGAAUCAAGAAUACACAAAGACUUAAGUGGUUCAGCACCUUUGAGGGUGCUUACAUCCACUGGAGAAAACAACACAGGGAGCAACUUUAUUAAGCUUCAAGGUUACAGAGAUGAUAACUAGCAAUACAGAGAACACUCAGCAAAGCUUCACUCUCACCAUAGCUUCCUUAUCACUCUCUCCUCGAUACAGUUUGUUUACCACCGGAACCAGCAUAUAUAUAUAUAUAUAUAUAUAUAUAUAUAUAUCAGUUGUUGCAGGCAUUACAAAUCCAAAAGAUUCCCUUCAAAAUCAACAGCCUUAACUGACUGAUCACAAGCUUCUCACUUGCAACUUAAAGCCUUCCUUAAACGACAAUAAGGCUCGCCGUUUAAGUCUUUAACAGGCGUGUGUUAAUCACAUGAGUGCUUAAGUCUUUGAACGACAUCAUCCAUUUGUCGGUGCUGGAUUCUUGAUUAGCUGAAACGACAUGUCACCCAUCUCUACAACUUUAAUAUGACAAGUUGUUUUGACGGGUUUGAGUUCAUUUCAACAUAUAGGCUAUUCAUUUUCAUGAUUCAUCACCCAUAUAUAGAGCACAAAAAAUUUUCUUUUUUCUUUUUCUCCCUUGUCCAGGCUGGUAACACACUGAUACUACAUAAAUCAAUAAACUAACUAUACUAAGGUAAAUACAUAAAUCAAUUUUUUUUUUCAAAUUUUAAACAAGAAAACUCAUUUAUUAAACACAAGAAGUGAAAUCAGGAUUUUUAUUGAGAGAGACCAUAUCAAUUAAUUAGUAUACGCGAUAUUGAUAGAUUUUUCUUAAUCUUAAAUUUGUCAAAAUUUGUUUGAAGCUGUGUUUUAAUAUUUUAUCUAUCUUCGAGCCCUUUUAUUUUCUUCUCAUAAAAAAUUUUCCCUCAAAUUUUCUGUAUUUUGGUUUUAUUCAUUGAUCAACGUAAUCUACGAAUUGAGUAAUUGAUGAAGAAAUUGAAGUAGAAGUUACAAUGGGCAGCAGACAAAGAGGAAAAAAAAUUAGAGAGGGAGGGAAAGGAUAUUAAGGCAAAUUCUAUCAGCAUAAAGAUAAUAAAAUUAAAAUUAAAUUAAAUGUUAUCAAUAUUUUAUUAUUGAUUUAAAAUUACAUAGAAACCAAAAUAAUGGGACACGUGGCGAGAGGGGACACUAGCACUUCUCUUUCGAUCAAUACAAAAGCUUGUCUGAUCAUUAAAAUCAUAGUUUGGUGAUCAUUAAAAUCAUAGUUUGGUCUAAACAAUAAUAACACUUGAAAGGACUAGCUUGAAAAAAAUUUAAGUCCUUCACUCCUAGCCGGCGAACGGGCUACACUGGCAAUAAUUGUUGGUUGUUUCCUCCAAAUAUAUUUCAAAAUUGCCAAAUAUUCUUAUGAAAUCUCUUCUUAUAAGCAACAACAAGAAGAACAAAAGUCCAUAUGAUGAAAUUGAAAUGUCCAUAUGGGUGUGGUAGAAUAAUGGAGACUAAUGAGAUUGAGGAAAGAGAACUUGAGAUCAUAGCAAUUGCCUUGGAGAUUUGAAGCUCUGAUAUCAUGGCGACAAUUUAUACAAAGGCAUAGAUGAGUAGAGCCAACAAAAACGGGCACAUAAUCAUCAAGUGUGUUGCAAUUAAGAAUUUAUUUUGUCUUGGACAUUAUUAAUUCAAUAACUUCGAUAAGCAAUGAAAUUAGAAAUACAGAGAGCGUGUGGUAUGGUGCCGAUGAUGAUGAGAAAUUUUUCACGCUGCAAAACCAUUAAAAUAAGAUAUGAUUACUUAAUAUAUCAAAAUAAGAUAUAUUUUUUCAAUCUUAUCUAAAAACAUGAAAAAGUGAAAAUAAAAAAAUUGUGGUCAACUGAUUAUAAUUAGAAUGUCAAAAAUUAACAGGAUUGAUUGCUUAUUUUUAUGUUGAUCAUCGCACACCUCAUGAAUCUUCUACUUAUUUUAUUUUUAUAAAUAUAAUAUAACUAUCUAAUGAAAAUUAAGUUUAAUUGGCUAGUUUUUUUCUUUCUUUUUUGUUUUUCAACAAAAUUAUCUUUAGGUUCAUAUUGCUUUUUUAAAAAAAUAGAAAAAUAUGUUUAAUUAGCUCAAUAAUCUUUUUAUUCAUCCGUUCAUUAUGUAUAGCCACUCCAAACUAACACAAAUUAUCAUGGCAACUCAUGGUUUAAACUUCAAAUAGAUAGUCAGAUUGGAUAAGUCAAUACUAAAUACUAAAUACUACCCCAUUAAAUUAAUAAGAAAAUUCGUGAUGAUACCAUGUAAUUUAUAGAGGAGAAUUAAGAGAAAGGAGAUUACCAAUUUUUCUCUUACUGUAAUUAAUAUAUAUUAUUUACUCCCCUUCUAUUUUAAUAAUAGCCAAUAACCAUCUUGAUAGUAUAAGUUUACAAUAUUACACUUGUUUUCAAAUAUACAAUUAUUUAUAUUUAUUAUAAAUUAAAUAAAUCAUAUGAAUAGAAACUAAAUAAAAAAAUUGAAAUAUUAAAAACAAGAAAUAUGCGUUUUGAUGUGAACAAAAAAAUUAAUAAUAAAUUUUUUUUCUUGCAUUUUUUAUUUUGUGAAUAUUUUCUUAUAAUAAAUGCUUUAUAAUAUUUUAAAAUUAAAUAUAAAAGUACAAGAAAAAUAUUUUAUUAUUAAUUUUUUCACAUCAAAACAUAUAUUUUUUAUUUUUAAAACUUAAUUUUUAUUUAAUUUUCAUUCAUGUGAUUUAUUUAAUUCAUAAUAAAUAUGAAUAAAAGUGUGUUAGAAAAUAAAAGUGAUAUUGUCAACUUAUGAGGUCAUGAAAUUAUUGGUUAUUAUAAAAACAGCGAACCAAAUGGUAUAUAUUAAUUACAGUAUGGGAGAAAUUGACAAUCCCCUUGAGAAAAUUGGCAAAAUUAUGAACGUUAGUUUGUAUAACUUUAACUUCAAUCUACUUCAAAAAAAAAUUUAAAUAUAAUUAGACAUGGAGAAUUAAGAAAAUUAGUCCGUAGACGAAUUAGUACUGUAGCAGCUUUGCAACCGGCUUGGGCGGUCCUCCGCGUAUACAUAUGGGCCGUGGCACAUCAACGUUAUAAGAAAGCCGGUCCAACUUUGAAAGCUCUAUAAACUUGGAGUGUUUUACAAGAAUGUUACCAACGUAUCAAUGAAAAGUUAAAAGCACCAAAAACUUUCACUAGUAGACCUAAUAUAGUCCACAAAUCGUUUAUAGCUUUCUAAUUAUUUUUGGUGACCCAUUUAAGAUAAAAAUGACAAAGGUUGAGUUAUGCUAUAAUAAAAACUAGAAUUAAGUGCUUUAGGUGAUGCCAUCAUUUUUGAAAGAAGAACGUAUAAUUAAACGCUUUAUGGGAUGUCACCAUAUUUGAAACGAGAACCCUUUUUUUUUUUUUUGGUACUUCUUAAUCAUGAAAAAUGAAUAGCCUAUACACUGCAAUUCUAAACAGGCCGACAUUGGCAAUAAUUGUUAGUUACUUCUUCCAAAUCUAUUCCAAAAUUGCCAAAUCUUCUUAUCAAGCCUCUUGUUAUAAGCAACAAGAAGAAGAACAAAAGCACAUAUAAUGAAACUGAAAUGUCCAUAUGGGUAUGGCAGAAUAAUGGAGACCAAUGAGACUGAGUAAAGAGAUCCUGAGAUCGCAGCAAUUGCCUCGAAGAUUUGAAGCUCUGAUUUCAUGACAGCAAAAUAUGCAAAGGCGUAGAUGAGUAGAGCCACCAGAAACAAGCACAUACUCAUUGAGUAUGAUUUGAUCAAGGAUUUAUUUUUGUCUUAAACAUUAUUAAUUUCAAUAUCUCCGACAAGUAAUGGGAUUAGAAAUACAAAGAGUGUGUGGUACGGCGCCGAUGAUGAUGAGAAAUUGCACACUGCCAAACCAUCAAAAUAAGAUAUAAUUGCUUAAUUUGCAUAAUAAAGUUUUACGUCAACGUAAUGUAAAUGCUAUGGACAUUACUGUAAAGCUUAACUUCUUAUUCUUUCCCUUAAAUAUAUAUUUACGGAUUAAAAGUAGAUGCUUACCCAAUAAUAGUUGGUCCAUGUAUAUGGGUUACAUUGCCGGACAUGUUAAUCAGAGUGUAUGACCUGCAAAAAGUCGUAUUCUCUAUUAUGAAUUAAUGCAUUUAUCUCUCCACUUGAAACCCAAAUUCUGUAAUGAAACCAAUGGAUAUUAUUGAAGUUAAGAUUGCAUAUUGUCCAGAUGAAAACCAAUGGAUAAACGGGCACAUACCCAUCAGAAUAAUGGAUAUUAUUGAAGUUAAGCAAAUGAUUUAUACAUAUUUGAGAGAAGAGAAGAGGGUAAAUUCAUACCUUUGACGAGGGUCACGUCUCUGCACUUCCAUUUCUUUGCUUUCUCUUUCUGUUAAUUAAUUUACUAACUACUAAUACACUGAAUUGGAUUAAGAAGCAAGUGAAAGAGGAAGAUGAUGCAAAUGGAAAGAAAUGAAAACACAGAUGGUGAAGCAACAAAGAGUAAGCAGAGAAGUGCUUGUGGGGAGCGAGAGAGAGAGAGGAAGAGAGAGUUGAAGGCGGGAGUUCUGAGAGGAGUGGUGAAGGGGUUUUAUAGGGCUUUUUGAGGACGGCCUAAAUUUUGUACUUUUGGAAGGACACAAGCGAAUAUGAUUAAAGAUCAAUCUGAUUGAAGAAGCUUUAACCUUUUUAACUGCUUUAACCUUUUUGGAGAAUAACUGCUUUGUUCUUUAGUCAUACAUUAAUCCAAUGAAUAUGGUCAAAGAUUACCGUGGGAGCUGGCUAUAUCACUCAAAGCUUUGUCACACGCAUCUGUUACAAAAAUAGCUACCUUUUCUUUGCCAUUCUCUUUGUUCACAUAAACAAAUUUUAGAAAGAGCUAGCGCUACUUAUUAGAGGAAGAUAAUCGCGAUCCGAAUGUUAAAAAGAUUCUUGAUCUAAAAACAAUAUUCAAGGCACAAACUAUUAACGGAGCCAAAGCCAUCAUCCUCUCUCUUCUCAAGAAUGGAUCCCCCUGAGUUACAGUUAACGUAACUUACUGCUGCUUUUGUCUUUUUUGAAUUGUUACUGUAAAAUAUUGUUGAGCCCCUUGUACUUUAUAUUCUUUACAAUUUAUGAAUAAGUAUUAUGAAACUUUGCAUUGUAACAUUUCGUGCAGCCCCUUACACUAUAUUUUUAUUUCAUUGAAACCCUUAGAGUAUCAAAUUCAUAUCUAUAAUUUUUAAAUUCCCAAAAUACCCUCCAUUUAAUUAUAAUUAUAAUUAUAAUUUUAUUAUAAUGAAAUAAAACAUAGUAUAAGGGGCUGAAUGAAAUUCAUAAUACUUAUGAAUAAAUUGUAAAUAAAAAGAAAGCAUAAAUUUCAAUUUACAUACCCCCACCUAGAAUGACAAUAUUCUUCAACUAAUUCCACAAGGUUCUGAAAACAUAACUUUACUCCAUUUGUCGUUAAGAAGAUAAAAAGUAUUUCAUCAACAUGCCCUCAUUUUGCCCUCAUCUUUUAAAAUGAAAAUAGUAGUAAAUUGAUAAUUUCAUAUCUUGCAAGUAAAUUAAAGAUUGUCAUUUUAGUUGGGGUAAAUCAAACUAUAACCAAAUACAAAUGUUCAUUAAAAUAAAUGAGUGCCUAUAACAUGAUCUGCAUUUGAUUUCCAAACUUGUUAUUUGAAAAGCAAGCCAAAAUUGACCUUCUAAAGUAACUCUUGCUUGCUACAAAUCAAAUUAUUGGGAACUAGUGGAGAUAAUUUAAUUCAUUAGAAAAACUCUUAAGAUUGUGAUUGAUUUGAACUUGAAGAUUUUUCACCCAUAGGUAUAUUUAUUUCUUUCCCAGCACAAACAAAUUAUGUACUUUACAAAUGUGAAUAAAACAGUACCUCAGUUUGUUUACCUGCAACUGCGAGCUGCGUGAUAGUCAUGCCAUAAUCAUCCUCAG